rnacentral:lncRNA from 1 species
AGUAAUAAGGUACAUAAAAUAAUUAUCCCUGACGCAAGUGAGAAGCUCAAGCUGUGAACAAUAUGGAGCAUGUGCUAGCUUUGCCUUUCCAACACACCAGCGCACGCAUCUUCGUCACUUCUACUUCAUAUAUAUAUAGUUCAUAACAGCCCUUAAUGUUCAUUCUCUCUAUCUCCCUCUUUUUAUUUUACAUUUUCUUUUUCUAAUCAUUUUACAAUUGAGAAAGAUAAAGACUUGAUGAACUAUUUGUGAAAUCGACGACUUUGUGGCCCUGUCUCUCUUUUUCUUAUUUACAAUAUUGAACAACCACCAUUCUAUAAGUUGAUGCUUAUUGAGUAAUUGAUAUCCAACACGCAGUCAUAAAGUUUAAAAAAAUCAGUCAUAAAUGAGAACCCAAAACAUGCAAUUCACUAAAUAUAUAAAUAAUCAAUUAAUAUCGCUCAAUACAUUGUAAAACAAAACUCAUAUUGUUGGUUCAUAAAUUAUUAAAUUACGAACAUAUUUAUAUUCAGUGUCGGCCUGGAGAUUUAAAGAGCUAUAGGCAUUUUAUUAAAGUUUCAACUAAUUUUUUUCUUUAUAAAUUUAGGUGUCUACAAAAAAUUUUAGAACCCUAUUUCUAUUUCUAUGUAGUUUUCUUUGAAAAAUUUGGGGUUAAAACCAAAUGUUUCAUUCGGUAUUGUUCAUAACUGGUUUUGUUUGUAUUAUACACCAUGGUAUAUUUAGUAUUUAUUGAGAAACUCAUACAGUUUAUGAUGUUUAAUGUGUGCUCUAAUGAUCUCUUGGGUAUAAAGGAAAGGCAGGAGAGGAAUAUGCGAAGUAAUUCGUGGAGGAGUCCUAAAAUGAUAAACCUGCACAUUUCUUUAUAUAAAUAUAUUUAAAAACGACAAUAUUAUUUUGUUGUUUUUAGAAAGUGUUGCGAGAAGCUUCAUGAAACUCAGGAUAAGCUGCUACUUUUGCUUUUUAUUAUUUCUGUUUCUGACAUUUCUCCAUUUCCUAGUAAAUUAAAGGGUUAAAACUGCUGUAUGAACUGUAAUUUUUCUUCAGUUAAAAAGAAAAACUGUAAUUUUUCUAAUAUUAUUAUAAUAAGUAUUAUUACGACAGGACAAGAUUUAUUCUGCGCAUUUGGGCAAUUAUCAACUAAUAUUGCCGACAAAAAAUAAAUUCUGCGCAUUAAAUGAUGCAAAUCAUGUUGAAGCCAAUGGUGUAGCUCCUGCAUGACAAAAAUACGUCGACACCAAUCAAGAAAAUUAAGACUAGCGAUGACUUAUCUUAGUUUUUUCUGGUCGAAAUGUUAAAAACUUAUCAGCUAACCACCAUGGCAACCUCUGGAUCGGAAAGAAAUAUAAUGUUACAUAAAGGUUAUGAAAUUUAUUACGUACGAUAUAUGCCAUUACUCAUUAUGGUAAAACUAUUUGUUUUUGGUAAAAAUAAAUAAAUAUGUGUGUAGACAUCCUUAACGUGAUGUAUUUAUCAAGAUACUGCGAUCUAGCUAGAAUAAAUCACAAGAGAAAGACAAACAAAGUGACUUUUUCUUUAAUGUUGUAAAAAUAUUGGUUAUGUUAAAAUUUCACUGUAUGAUUUCGAAACAGUGUAUUUUGUUUAUAACAUAACUCGGAAAGAUAAGAAUAAUAAAAAUCAGAAACUUUGAAUCUAAUAUCAGGAAAUUAAUAAACCUGAUGAUAAUUUUCGUUUGCAUGUUGUUUUGUAUUUAUUUACCAUAAGUAGGGGACCAAAGCUUUUUUUUUAUGUCAACAGGGGACCAAAGCUAUUUGUUGUAUUUUCUAUGAAACCAAAACCAAUGGCCGGAAGCAGAGGAGAGAGGACCACAUAUUUCCUUCACAUUUUUAAUUUUUUCUUGUUAAAAGUAUCUGCAUUGUUCUGCAUUUUUUCAUCGCAUAUCUUAGACUUAGACCAAAAUUUGAGAAACUGUAAGCAAUUAACGAAUAACUUUGCGCAGAGAAAAUCACACCAAUAGAUUAAACUGAAAGAUGAUUAUCAACACUUUCAAAAAUAUAAACUGGUAAUAUAAAUAAUUCAUUCACAUAAGUUUUGAGGCAAAUAACUUUCUAUGAUAUUUUGUUAUUGUUUUCAAUCUCUGCUAUAUAUGUUUUAUCUAUCCAUAUUUUGACUGCACAUGCUACAUUUAUUUAGAGGCCACAUUCAUAUUACUGGUCGUUUACACUAUCAGACUAUUGCUCCAGCAACAACUAUUAAAGAACUAUAGUAUUCACAGUGCUGAAAAGUCAAAAUUGUACAAUAUACAAACGUACCAAUUACAACACAUCCAAAGUUUAUCCAAGUUUGAGGAUAAGUUUAAGAGUGUGGACUGGAGUAUGAAAAACUAUUUGAAUCUUGGACGUAUAAGAAAAGAAAACACAAAACGUUAUUUGAUGAGAUAUACAAAUAAUGAAUUUUUUACACUCUAACACACAUUAUGUCUUUCCAAUAUCACAUUAAGACACUUGUGGCUGGAGACACACUUUAUCUAUGUGCAAUGUCUUGCAUGCCCUUCAACUACACUCCCUUUUUCUAGCUCUUCUCUGACGAAUCAAUCCCACUCAACUCUCUUAUUGAUAAAAUAAUAAUUUUUAAAUUGUAAUUUCAUAAAUCAAUUUUUGAAUUUGGAAAACUACGUAUAUUGUCUCUUCCACUUAUGAGUCUCAGAUCUACUUUCUCCAUUUCCUGAACUCCUAUCCCUAAUCUCGCGAAACACCUUUAUAUCUUUUUCAUCAAUUCUUGGAGAACACCGGAUAAUCCAGAGGCCCUGCCCUUCAUCAUCUUUCUCCAAUUUCCUUUGUUUUUCGUCGCCCUUCUUCAUCAUCCGUAACGAACCAUGACGAAAUUGAAGUCAAAGAAGAAAGCAAAGAUUACUGAGCAACCAAACCCACCACAAACACUUCAACCGGUAUCAGGAUCAUAACUGUCAGAAUCAAGCCGUCGUCUCUGUCGCCUUUCGAUCCGAAGCUCCUCAAGCCACUCUCCGUCCAGUAAAAACUGUUGAAGAUGUUCCUCGAAGACUCUGUUCUCUAUCAUAUCCAAGAGGUUGGUUCUUCCAUUCAUCAAUUUGUUUUCUAUAAUUUUAAUUGAAGUUAAAGCUGAGGGAUUAUGUUUGUGUAACUCUGCUCAAAGCUGAGGGAUUUUUAUUAAUCCUUGUCCACAUUUUUAUAUACAUUAAUUGUGUCCAUGUCCACAUUUUAUAUACAAUAAUUGUGUCCAUGUCCACAGCUUACGACUACUUCUCCUAAACUUGAUGUAAAGAAACCCCAAGAUAUUGUUCGUCCUGGGAGUUUGAGUUUGUUAGUUGAAGCUUAUGAUCGAGGCGUUCAAGUGUGUGCUGAAUAUGCUAAAACUUUUUAUCUUGGUUAGGAUCUUUGGUUUCUCUUCUCUAGCUUUGGUGUAACGUUGAAUUGUAUGUUCAUUUUCUGAGUUGUAGUGGUUUUGUUACUGGAACUUUUCUUAUGACACCAGAAAGGCGUAAAGCCAUCUGAGCUAUCUACGGUGAUUACGGCAACAAGCAGAUCCAUUGUAAUUCUUUUAUCUAUUGGCCAAUUAAAUCUUUUUUGCAAGAAGCUGAAAUAAAUUCUUUUACCGAUGACUAAAAAUUUCACGUUUCAGAUAUACAUCUUUUUGUCAUUGAUUCAUUUUCUUUUUAUAUAUAUGUUCACAUUUUUAUCGUUCACACUUUUCCAUCCAUGUCCACACACUUAUUCCAUCUACGUCCACAUCUAGGCCUGACAUCUAGCUCGUCAACCUCCUCUUCAACAUGCGCUCCCUCGUCUGUUUCCAAACUGCAAAUAUUACAUACAAUCUUCUUUUCAUAAAUCUCAAGCAAUUACCUUUCUUCUUCUCAGCGGCGGCUCGUUUCAGUCUCCACACAGAAGAGAAACCCUGCAUUUAUUGUCGACACCUAUCAUUUUUGAAAACAAACCAGGAAUAAGCCCCAAACCGUCGGAUUGAUUUACAUCCAACGGCUGAAAUUUGUCCCUCUUACCAACAACAUACGUAACUAAGUUUAAUACCCACUUAACGACACGUUCUCUCUCAAUUUCUCAGAUCCACCAGCGAGGGGCAUUAAUGUCCAGAAAAAAUCCAGCACAUCAAUAAAGUGUCUGACCAGCAAGAAGUGUCUUAUAGCGUUAAAAAGAGAAAAAAGUGUCCUAUGUUGUAAUGCACUCAUUUUUGUGCAAGAAAAGAAAGACUCGUAAUCAAGAUCAAUUGAGUCGAAAGGUCUUGUUUACUAUGUGCUGAAAGACGCAAUGUGGCUGCUUAAAAACUGAUUCAACGAGAUAUAGGUAUGUCUAUUUUUUUUAAAUUAGGUACAUUUAAGUAAGAUAAAGAUGCUUUCGUAAAGGAAAAAAUAAUAUCGAAUUUUAAGGCUAAUAUAAACAAGAAUAUGAUAGAUUGUAAAUAAGUAUUCACAAAAUUAAUAUACAAACUCUAAACAUAUAUUUGCUUCAGUCAUGUUUUGCAUUAUUAAUUUACUUUGUUUUCUUCGAAGUUAAUUCACAUUUCUUCAUUAAAAAAAAUGGUACAAGAGCUUUAGGUUACAAAAUCCUAAAAAUGACAAUUCUGCAUUUAUUCAAUGUUCUGUGUUUUGAUGGAAAAAUGAAUUUUGGGAUGACUGGGAUGAGAUGAAUGAUAAAGAUGUCUCAGUGAUUUGACCAUGUUUGUCACACGACAUAACAUAUCAAGUAAUAGAUCUCACAACUUGCAAACGGAUAUGGGAUAAAUUGGAAAAAAUCAAGAAAACUAUACCUCAAUCAGAGGUUGUUCGGUUUGAAAUAUCUUAGAGUUGAGAUAUUGUUGCACAUGUAAACUAUUUUAAUUAAAUUAUCAGGGAUGGUGCAUGUGGAUAUGAAGAUUCAGGAUGAAGAUCAAGCCAUGAUUUUGAUGUAUCAUUUGCCUACUCAAUAUGCGACGUUGUUGAGGACUCUAACAAUUGAUAAAGUGACUACAAAGUUGGAGAUAGUUACUGCAGUGUUGCUUUCUCACCAUGAGAGACAACAUAAUAUUGGGAUGAAGGACAACUCUUAAGGUGACAUAUUAUAUGUCGGCCAAGAUAGACAAAAGGCAUAUGGAAAAACUGUGGGAUAGUUAUAAAACGAAAGGAUUAAAGUAAAAAUCUGGGAAAAAAAUUUUAGUCUGCUAUAAAUGUGGCAAAGUUGGCCACUAUAGAAGAGAUUUUCCGGAGAAAGAACAUAAUUUGAAAAAAGGUUUGAGUUUUGCGAACGUGGUUCUAAAGAAUGGUGACUCAAAAGGAUUAGCCGAUUCGGACAUGCUUGUUGUGACAUCAUGAGAUCACAUAUAUUCUUGGAUAAUGGAUAUCGGUGUCUUAUUCCUCAUGACUCCUAACAAGUAGUGUUCUAAGAUGUAUAAGGCUGGACACACAUAUUCUUUUUGGUUAGCAGACAUCAAAGUAUGUAAUAUCGUGGACAUUGGACAAGUCAGGUUUUAUAUGUAUGACGACUCAAUCAGGACACUGACUGAUGUCAAACAUAUUCAAGUCACGAAGAAGAAUCUAAUAUCGCUAAGAAUCCUUCAUGGAAACAUCUUCAAAUUUAGUUAUGAUGAUUAUGCUCUGAUUAAAGGUAUUCAAAUUAGCUAUAUUGGUGAUGAAAGACGUAUGACUGCGGGAAACGUGUAUCAGCUGAUAGAGAACAUGGUUGUAGGUGGAGCCGCAACUGCAGUUUCUGAGUCCGAGUGCACAACUCUAUGGCAUAUGCGUAUGGGCCAUACUGGCGAAAAAUGAUUUAAAAUAACUCCUAAGAUGGGAUCUUCUGGACAGGUUGAAGAGUUGCAAGAUAUAUUUUUACAAAUUAUGUGUUAUGGGAAAACUAUUUGAAAUAUCUUUUAAGACGAGGCAACACAUGACAAAAUAUCUCUUAAAUUAAAUCCAUUACGAUGUGUGCGAGCAAACUCCAGAACAAUCAUUGGGAGGAUCAAGAUACUUUGUUUUAUUCAUUGAUGACUUCUCCAAAAAGGUUUGGGCAUACUUCUUAAGGUAGAAAUCUGAAGUAUUCACAAACUUCAAGAAAUGGAGAGAAUGGUGACGUACUUGAGAUUGGAUAAUGACAUUGAGUAUACUAAUGGAGGGUUUCAGAAGUUUUGUGAGGAACAUGGCAUUUAGAGGCACUUCACAGUGUGUAAACACCUUAUCAAAACAGUGUUGGUUAAAGGAUGAACCGUUCGAUUGCGGAGAAGGCAACAUGUUUGAAAUUGAAUGCAUGGUUACCUAAACAUUUAUGGUCAGAAGUGGUUAACAUGACUGUCUACUUCAUCAAUAGAUCGCGAAGGUGUUUCCUAAAAGAAAAAUUCACAGAAAAGGUUUGGACUGAAAUAGAUAUUUGAUCUAUCAAACUUUAGGAUAUUUGGAUGUCCAAGUUACAUGAUGGUUUUAGGUGCGAAAGGUCAAAUAUGGAUUUAAAAUCCAAGAAGUGCAUCUUUCUAGGUUUAGGGAAACGUGUAAAAGGUUAUAAGUUGUGGGAUCAUGAGGUUGAAAAGGGGUUUUGGUCGAGGAAGGUCUUUGAGGGACAGUAUAAGGUGCAACAUGCAAGAUAAUACCAAGUGCAUGUGAUUACUGAGAUUGACACGAAUACUGAAAUAACUUAGAAAGAGUCUGGUGGAGAUAUUUUAGAUACAAUUGGUAAUGAGCAUGCAGAACAAGGAUAUAAAGAGGAGCGUGGAACAGAGGAUAGUAUGACUGCUAAAAAACCAAAAUGUGCAAUAAGGCUUCCUAUUAGGUUCGGUUGUGAAGACAUGGUCAAUUAUGCUCUGAUGGCCAAGACGAGUGAUUCUUCCAUCUAUCAGGAGGAGGAAUUAAUUGGUUUUAUGACGUUAGAGUCAGUAAGUCCGAAAAAGAAUCAGACGUGGGAUCUUGGAAUUACCGAAUGGAAAGAGAGCAAUAUGUUGUAAGUGGAUUUUCAAGAAGAAAACAAGGAUGUUUGAGAACGAAUUAGUAUAUUUCAAGUCGAGAAUGGUAGCAAAAAGGUACUCACAAAAAAGAGGUAUAGACUAUGACGAGAUUAUUUUGCAUGUAGUAAGGCACAUUCUCAUACUAGUUGUACUAGGUUUGUUAACUAACUGGGAUUUACACUUGGAGAAAAAGGAUAUAAACAUAUCUUUUUUCUUCAGGUAGACUUGGAGGAAGAAAUAUAUGUGGAGAAACCUGAAAGUUAUGUUAAGCUGGGAAAAAAAGCAUUUUGUGUGUAAACUGAAAAAGUCACUCUACAAUUUGAAGUAGGCUCCUAGGCAGUGGUACAAACAUUUUUGAAUUAUAUAUUUUGAAGAUUGGCUUUUAAAGGUGAGAGUAUGAUUGAUGUGUAUAUGUAAAGUUCCUUGACAGCCAUUCUCUCAUAUUCCUAUUGUUAUACGUUGAUGAUAUGUCCAUUGCUACAAAAAAUAUUGAAGAUUAUAAUUGAUUGAAAAGGUUAUUUGGAGAUGAAUUUGAGAUGAAUUAUUUUGGAGUUGCAAAGAAUAUUCUUGGAAUGAAGAUUCACAUCGAUAUAAAAUCUAAGAGAUGAUAACUUUUUCAAAGGUUUACACUGAAAAGGUCUUAGUACGUUUUGACAUGGUAAAGACAAAACUGGUUUUCAUGCCUUUGGUGAAACACUUCAUACUUUCAGUAGAGCAGUGUCCUAAGUCUGUUGAAGAGAUCAGAGAUAUAGCACAAGUUCCUUAUGCUAGCACAGUUGGAUGCUUGAUGUACGCAACGGUGUGUACUAAAUCAGAUCUAGCACAAGUAGUUAGUCAAGUAUGCAAGUUAUAUCAAAUCCUGGUCAAAGUACUAUCAAGUGGAUUCUAAGAUAUCUACAAGGAAUAAAAGACUAUGGGCUUAUGUUUGGAGGUCAAGAGUGUGGUUUAGUUGUGAGGUUCGUGGAUUCAGAUUAUGGUUGGGAGAUCUGAUAACCAAAAGUCAACUACAUGGUAUGUCUUCACUCUUGCAUGAGAACUUAUAUGCUGCAAAUCGGUGAAACAAUCUAUUGUAGCCCAUGUCAACCACAUAAGUUGAGUAUAUGGCCCUCGGAGAAGCAUCUAAGGAAACGGUUUGGGUACAAGGAUUUGUAUCUGAGUUGGGAGUUGAUCAAGGAAGUGUUCCGCUACACUAUAAUCGCCAAAGUGUGUUGUGCUUGGCUAGAAUCAAGUUUAUCACAUAAAGAUAAAGAACAUAGCUAUAAAGUUUCACAAAAUAAAGGAGUUAAAAUAUUUUUGAGAAGUCUUAUGGGAGAAAGGGUUUACGUCAAAAAAUGUAGCUGGCAUUUUGUCUAAGCCCAUUACAAUGGAGAAAUUCAAGCACUAUUUGGACUUUCUCCAUGUUGACUGAUUCUAGGAGCAGAUGAGGUUCUCCGAAGAUAAAUGGCAUAAAGAGCCCGUAGGGAGAUUUUUCAUCAAGGUUGAGUUUGUUGAUUCUAAAAUUGACUUAAUCUUUGUGCAAUGAAAAAUACUUGUGAUCAAGAUCGAUGCCUCGGUAGUGUUAGGGUCAAAUAGGCAUGCGGUACAACAUAUCUUUUAGGAUUAGAAAAAUUAUAUUUUAAUAAUAUAAUGAUUUUUUCAUAAAGAGAAAAGUAAUAUGAAAUUUUCAGACUAGUAUAUAUAUAUAUAUAGGUAUAAAUAAUUGUGAAUGAGUAUUCAGAUAAUCAAUAUCCAGAUCCUAAAGGAUGUGUUAUUUAAUCAAUUAUUAAAAUCAGUUAUCAUUCUUUUGCAAUCUAUCAAAUUUUAUUUCAAGAUAUUGUAAGUUGAUGAAUUUUAAAAUCUAUGUAGCAUGCCUUGAAUUUUGAUUUCAAAUAUUCAUGAGAUUCCAAAACAGAUGAUUUGAAAUUAAUUUAAAAUACAAAAAAAAAUUCUUUUCAAGUUGAAUAAAAAUAGAUUAAAAAAACUAAAUUUAAAUAAUUUAUUGAAUGACACCAUAUUUUAAAUAAGUUUAUAAAUAUUAUAUCCAAUAAUAAUAGAUUUUAAAACAUAAUUUAGAAUCAUCAUUAAAAUAAUAGCUGAUCGUGUUUAGAUUUAAAUGCAUGAUUGAAUGACACUCACUAAACGAAUAUUUGUCUCAAUUGUGUUUUGCAGUCUUAAGUUUCUUUUUUUUUUCUAAUUAUUUAUAGUAUAUGUGAAAGACUUAAGAAAAGUGAUUUUGCUACAUGUGUCACCAAAGUGCACUUACUUUUUUGGUCACACAUUCGUUUGGAAAUCCAGAGUUAAACUUGCUUGAGUUGGAGUAGUAGAAAGAUGAGUGACCUAUUGGGAAGUGGAAAACGAUAUUUGUGCGAAUGAAGCCAAAACAUGAAAAAUGUCAGGUGGUGAUUGCAGGAAAACUAAAGAUGACUAGUGAGCCUCCGAAAAAUUAAUGCACCGCCCACCCCAUAGAAUUGGACCCACGGAUCGAGAGAAUGGGCGUGGGAGGUCCAUUAGCCGUGGGCGGUCCGGGCGUUACAGAAACCAUAUUAUACAGAUGUAUACGUUUGAUUCAGUUCUUGUUUGUACCCUGCAAACCUAGGAGAAAAGCGAAGCAGAUAAAGGCGAUAUUUGUAACUGAGACUUCCAGAUUCGAAUUUCCGUUAAGAAUUUCACAAUAAGUAAAAAAACAUUAGUCUAACACACAAUAAUAACAAAAUAUGUCUAUGAAUCAAGAUACCAAACACUUUCGGCUUCAACGUUAAUCAGAUAACUCCAAAAUUAAGGUUUCUGUGUUUAAAGAGGUUGGCCACUUAUCCACCUCUCGAACAAGAUUGAACUCUCCACUGGUUUGUACUCAAGUGUGUGCCCACCUCCCUAUAUCAACCAAACACAAAUUAACCUAUUAUGAAAUCUGAUGUAGAAAACCUUUGCAUUACGUUAAUGAAAAACUUGGGGAUCAAAUAAUUACUUUCAUAGUGGCAAAUGUCAUCUUAUUAGCAUAAGUUUUGGUGUAUCUGCAUAUAAAAAGGUUGAUCAGGUUAAUACAAACUGAUUUAAAAGUAACCAUCAAAACAAUAAACGGUAUAAUCUACCCAGCGACUUUAUCAUGUACCAUCCAUGGCCUCCAUUUUUCAGUAAUGGAAAAGUUUAGUGACCUUAUCUAGUCUCGAGUUCCAACGAAAGGGUUUGUCAUAUCAUGAUCACCACUGUCCAGAAAAAAAUAUCAAACAAUUAAUUAAUGAAGAAAGUUGUGAAGAAGCUGUAAAAUAUUUAGUGUACCCGAAGAUGAGAGAUCGAUAGCCUUCAAUGUGUGGUAUGCUGCUUUUAAUGUUUUUAUUACACUGGACAUUAUAGUUACAUCGCUCCCAUCUCGCUGUAGUCCCCUGCAAUCAUGGAUUUUGAUUAUCAGAUUUAACCAAUGAAUAUGAUACCAAACAAGUUGUCAUAUUAUAUUACCUUCACACGAAGUGCUCUACUUACGCUCUCCUUAUUAGCACAGUAUUCGGAUAGCGUAUACCUAUACGUCUGACCAAAGAAAAUAGCCUUGUUCAAUACUCUUCAAUAUAUAGUAGGUUCUUAAGUGGCUACCCACUGGAUCAAAAGAUAACAAGAAGCUUACAUAGCAGUCAGGAGACGUUGCGUCACAAUUUGAUUCUAGGAUGAGUUCUUCAUAUAUUUUAGAAACAGACUGUAAAUAAACCACACAAUUAUAAGUUGGUGAUUUAUCAGUGAAGCCUACUUUGUGGUGUGUUUACCCUGUUGAAGUCUUCAACGAGUUUCAAACAUUCUGUGUUUUGAGGAUCUGUGUUCAAAUAAUUUCCUCUACAGCUUUUCUUCAUUGACUACAACAAAGGAGUUCUGAAAUUUUCAUUAAAACAACUUCAUUGUGGUGACAAGAGACAAAAGGGUUCCUAGGUUUUGUAAUUGGUACCUCAUAGAGUUCAUUAGAGAUGAGUGCCAUUCCAUGAGCAAGUGGAAUGCGACUAUUACGAUCAUGAUCAACAUUUGUUGUCGGGUUUCCGAGCAGAUAACCCUGUUGUUGGAAAACGUAGAGAGAGAAAUCAACUCUUUAAAAUUCUUAAUUCUUGAAAUAACGUAAAGAGCAAGCAAAUACUGAUGAAACCUGGAGAUAUAUUUGAGGUUUGCAACAUAUACCAUUUCCUGUGAUAAAUUGGUUAAAUAACUGAAUCAAGAAAGGGUAGUCAAAGAAAAGGGAUUGAGAUGGGAAUUAAAAAAACUUACCAUUUGAGAUUUCUUGAACAAUGGCUGGAAUCACCUUACCGGAAUAAGAGUUUCCGGCAACAUAGAACGGAUUGGAGAAAUACUCAGGAUGCUUGUCUAGCCACUGCACAAAUACUCAGCAACAAUAAUAUCAAAAUUUUAGAUGGUUAUCCAAACUAAAAUUUUAGAACAUUUGAUCUUUCUCUGCCUCACCAACACCUAUGUACCUGAAACGAUUUAACUCCAAAACUCAGAACACAGAUUCAUUUACAAUGGAACUGAUAUGGAGAACAAGAUGAAUGACAUAGAAGAGCACCCAGUUUCGAGCUCAAAAGGAAGAGGGCCUUCAAAGCCUGGAAGAUAUUUGAUGAUAGAGCUUGCAUCAGCAUGUUUAAUCAACACAAGCAGAAUUAUUGGCAGCAGCAACUUUAGUAUCCAAGAACCCAUUUUGUUUUGAGUUUUUGAGGUUUUGAGUGUUAUGAGCCUGAUGACAAAACAUAUUUACACUAAAAAACAGAUGAGUUGAACCGAACAAAAAAGAGAUGGAAGCUUUUCGGUUGAACCGGUCGCUGCCAUAUCUAAGCCAGGUAAUUUCCGGUUAGUCUCUAACCGAAUAUGAAAUCGGGGGCACGUGAGAAUGCACUUGGAAGGUAUAGUCGCAUGUAAAGUGCGUGUGCAGCCGGUCUAAAAUAACAUUAAAUUUUCAACUAUUCUCUCUCAAUUUCUCAGAUCCACCAGCGAGGGGCAUUAAUGUCCGGAAAAAAGCCAGCACAUCAAUAAAGUGUCUGACCAGCAAGAAGUGUCUUAUAGCGUUAAAAAAGAAAAAAAAAGUGUCCUAUGUUGUAAUGCACUCAUAAAUAAAAGGUGCAGCAAAGUUUGAGUUGAAAAAGAUACAGGAAUAGAUGGUCGGAGUAGGACAAUGGAAACAAAACAUUUGCACGCCUUUAUCUUCUUUCUUCUGAGUUCUUUCAUUGCAUCAAAGAUUCAGGUCCCACUUCUAUUAUAUGUAAAGGCCCCAUUUCAAAUUUAACCCCAUGUUGCCUUUACAAAAUAUAUAUGUAAAUAAAUAAACUAUCAUCCCAUUCAGCCGAAUUUUUUUAUUUUGUUUAGACCAAAAAUAAAUAAAUUAUUUUGUACCUGAAUGUUGUUUUAUAGUAAAAAAGUUGAUUAAAAAUAUCAAAUAAUCUAUAUGUACCUAAAAUGAUGUGAUUAAGAUCAGAAAUAGUCUAACUCCAGCCCCAAAUAAAUUAAACUUGUUGACUGAUACCUCUCCAUCAACAAGAGCGAACAUGUUUUGGAACAUCAUUACUGGACAAACUCUGAUAAUAGUAAAAAAAUUAUAUUCACUUGGAAAAUAUUCAACAAUACUUUUUUGUCAACAUAUUCAACAAUAUUUAUCACAAAACUUUGAGUUUUCUUUUUUUACUAAAUAAAUUUAUUUUUAUUUGUGGUUUUCACGUGAGAUGGUUAAGAAAACAACAAGAGUGGGCUUUUAAACUGGACCCACAUUGUGGCAGUAGCAGGCUGAGCGAGUAUGGGUCCUACAAAUACAACGCCCAUGAUCCCAAAUUUUCCAAAGAAAAUGGAGACAACCUCUGUGUUUAUCCGAAAGCCACCCUCACGCUUUGGAUUAUCUUUCUUUGGUAUUUAUUCAUUUGUCAUUUUAUUUCAAAAUUAAACACUUUAAAAUAAAAUGAUGAAGAAAACGCAGUGCUCCACAAACGUCCACACGUUAUUUGCAUUACGGCAAUUACGAAAAAUUUUAGUUUGAAGGUUCGAUUAUUUUGAUGUGAUUUUAUAGUUUCGCAUAAAACUCAUGAGUUAGGUGUUCAAAAUUACAACAGGUUAAUUCUCUAAGCAAAUCAAUCAAAUGAAGAUACUAUAAGUAGAUGCCAUGAAUUAUAUUUUUAUUUCAUUCUCUUCGUUAUAAAUCAUAGUAGAUGACUAGAUGUUUAAAGUUACGAUAUACAAGGCGCAGAUUAAUAACGGUUUGACUCUAUGUUCAUGCAUCUGUAAAUUAUUGGUGCCAUUUUGUUGUCAACUACAAUAACUGAAGAAAAAGAAACUAAAUCCCUCUUUAAAAAAAAAAAAAAAAAUCCCACAAGGAGAUAUAGACUCAGAGGCUCAGAAUAGUAAGCUAACGACAUCUUGUUGAAACAAACGAUCUUAUUUAGGUUACUAAUUAGGAAGCAAAAAGAUUGUUACAAGUUUGAAGUUCGAACUCUGACAUAGCCCAUGGGUCCAAACCUUAGGCACCCAAUUCCAUGUUGAUGGUGAUUUGGGCCGGGUUGAUAAGUAUAUUUUUGUGCUUACAUUUAAACUUGUAGUACGCUAUACCUAAGUUUCAUAUAUACAAUUUUCAUUUAUGUGCAGACCCAAACAUUUUUUAGGUUGAAUAGUUUUCUUUGCAAGUGUUUUCAAGUGUUUAACCAUAUAUAGAGUCCUGAGGAAAAACUGUCUGCAACAAUACAAACAAACAAAUAUCUAAACUACAAUAAAAUUAUUUACAAAUCCAAAAUGAUGGUAAAGAAACAACAUAGAUCACUGAUGAAAAAAGACUGCUAGGGCUGCAUGCUAAGUAGUCUCCAUGAAUGUUCACCACACGAGAACUAUGUUAUAGGUUAAAAACGAAUGAAAAAAUAUUUAUCUCUUUGAAUUUUUUCUAGCUAAGAAAAGAAAACAUGUCACUCUACCGUUACAAAUACAGUUUCACCAAUUCAUACAUUCCCUAGUCUUUAAAGCUUGAUAUCCGACAUGUAUUGGUAAGAGACUUCGACGUAUGUUUUUAUAGCUCCCAUCAAUUCAUCAUUACUUUUCCGUUUCCCGUUUUCUUGCAAACCUAUCUAUCUCAGAUUAGUUUACAAAUCACCACAAUAAAAUAAAUUAUAACACUGGCCAAUAUUGAUAUAACCACUCCUAACGAUUAUUUAAAGAAAAUGGAAUUUGAGAAUUGGGAACAUGAUCAUAUGACUUAUGAGUCAUAAGCAUGAUAUUAACACGAUAUAUGGGUCCACUUUCAAAGCUACCAAAGGAAACACAUAAGCACAUGCAGAAGUUUACACUACCUGGUUUGCUAUUACAUUUGGGAUCUUGUUUUUUCUGGUGAAAGUUACAUACAGUUGAAUACAAACUGUAAUUAUUAACGUUUUAUAAUCAUUUAUCGAUUUCAUCAAAAUAUAUAAUACCAAAUGUUUUGAUUGUCACAACUCACAAGCGAUCAAAUGUAUUAUAUCGUUAUUAUAUAUAGAUUCUAAUACAUCUGAAUCACGUAAGCAAAGCCUAUAUAGCAGAAAACAAUCUCCAAAUGAAAUAGUACUUGUUAGGUAGAUGGACUUAUUUUAACCGGAAAUAGUUGUUCUCAACGAGCCGUCAAACUUCGGGAAAUAUGGAUAUAGCUUUACUGUGACGCAACUAGAUAAAUAUACUUGAAAAAGGAGUCCGUUUUCUACUAGAGGGAUUUAGUUUCUUUUUCUUCAGUUAUUGUCUACUAACUGCAAAAAAUGAACAAAACCAAAACUUGAUCGGUGAAGAAGGAAUGUGGUGUGAUUUGAAUUUAUUUCGGGUGCCAUGUGCUUUCAUUCUGAUCCGUAUUCUAAAAAUCGAUUUAGGCAGCGUCUAGCCGUAAGAGGCAAAUUGGACCUAAUGGAGUGACUAUUGGUUUUAAGCUAAUAUCAUUUAGGUCUAAAUGUCGGUCUUAGACCGUCGGCAUAAUCAAUAAUCCUUUAUAAAACGCCUAACUUGCCUAACGAUUUGUUGAACACUGAUUAUGAUCAAAUGAGAGAGGAAAUUACUUACUUGAUCUGAUCUGCUUGUUAAUUAGAUUCUCACUCUGGUGCAUUUCUUGCCAUAAAAGACAAUAAGAUAAGAGAACUCAACUCUGUUUAACUGAUAAAGUUAUAAUAUUUGUGUGAUUCUGAGGUCUGAGUUUGGUCAAAGUUGUGACAUUGUUGGAAACCCUCUAUGAGUAUUGUAUUCAUCAUUGGAGAAUAUAUAUACCCCUUUUUUAUAGCUGCAGCUUCUGAUUGAUGUUGAGAAGUGGGAUUAGAGAAGAUUAGAAAACUGUUGAUCUUCAGAAUCUUUUCUCAUGUGCUCUAAAAUACACAUUUAAGUUCUUAUGAAAGGGCAUGUUUUGGUUUGCAUAAUUGAGCAGUUAGACUAGUAUUUUCCAUUCAUCAUAUGGAGGUAGUUGGUUGGUUAUUAGAAGUUGAGUUAUUUGGAAUAAUGUAGGUCUAGAUUCUCUAAUAAUUGAGACCUAAGGAAAGAUUGUAUAUAAUGCUGAAUAUGGCAAUGGACAAUGUGAAUCCGGCUUUCCUGCAUUCUUUUACUUGUGUCUUAGGUAAUAAGUAAGCUGAGAAACUUGUUGGUUUUGUAGAGGAUGGAAGGGACUGGAAGUCGCCAGAGAAAAGGUUCCUCCACUGCGCAGAAGCUUAGGCUUGGAGACUGCAAUGUGGAGGCAAAGAAUCAUGUUAGCAACGGCAGCUUCAUGGAUGUAAGUUGAUUUUCUUACUUUUGAUUGUGUUUCUGCCUGUGAGAAGCAUUUUUAAUUCUUAAGCUGUUCUUAUCAAAUGCUUCUGGAUGAAUGAAUGUGCAUAUGAUUAUGAUGUUUGUUAUUCACUGUGAUAUUCACAUAAACAUAGACAUGUAAGGCUAUAAUGAAUGAGGAGAUACUGAAUUGGUUCUAAAAAUCGGUAUAGGCCAAAACGAUAUAAAAAAAUCUGAUUUAUAUUAUUCAAAUCGGUGUAAACUAUUCUAUAUUGGUUUAAAAUUGACCUAAGUUAAUCUAAAUUUAUUAAUUUGAGCAAUAAUAUUAGUACAAAUUCAUAAAUUUGUCUAAUUUAUUUUGUUUUGUAUAUUUAAUUUUGAUAAUUUAUCAAAAUAAAUUUACAAAUGAAACUCAAAAACUAAAAAUCGUAAUAUAUAUAGAUAUAUCUAGUAAAACAAUAAUUCGUUAAUGUCUAGGCCUCGUUUAGGCUCCGAAUAAUCCGCUUUAUCUACAAAAACGCAUAUUUAACGCAUAUCGAUUUUUUUUUUGAGCAUUGACUGAAUUUGUUAUGUUUAGUUUGUGUUGCCUCUAUCAUCAACAAAUCCAUUUGCGUUCAAUGAACAAAAGACUUAACGUGGUUUGUUCGAUGCAGAUUGAGACUCGAUCACGGGCAGUGACACCAACUAGAUCAACCGUGGGAGUCAAAACACGGUUAAAAGAGUGUAGUAACGCUCUCACAACAUCAAAAGAGCUUCUCAAAAUCAUCAACAGAAUGUGGGGACAAGAAGACCGCCCAUCUUCAAGCACGUCCCUCCUCUCUGCUCUACACUCCGAGAUCGAAAGAGCUCGCUUACAAGUCAACCAGUUAAUCCACGAGCAUAAUAAACCUGACACCAACGACAUCACCUACUUGAUGAAACGUUUUGCCGAAGAGUGGAAAAGCAACGAGCAACGAGUUGUUGAGGCCGCAAUAGAAUCCGUCGCUGGCGAGCUCGAAGCGGAGAGGAAGCUAAGGAGAAGGUCCGAGAGGUUGAACAAGAAGCUAGGCAAAGAACUUGCUGAAACAAAAGCAGCUCUGAUGAAGGCAGUGAAAGUUAAAGAAGAAGUUGAAAAGGAGAGAGAGAUGUUGCAGUUAGCUGACGCAUUGCGUAAGGAGAGAGUGCAGAUGAAACUCUCUGAGUACAUGAACCACCACGUGGAAGAAGAUGGAGAAGUUGAUGAUGAACACGAAGAAGAUGAUGAUCUUCAUUCCAUAGAACUGAACAUAGACAAGAGCUAUAAAUGGCCUUAUGGGGAAUGUAAAAGCCUUUAUUUACAAAGAAGCAUAUCUGAUUGGGUUGUACAGAGCGGGAAGCUUGAAAAAAGUGGAGAAGGUUACUUGGAUGACACGCAAGGUUAUAAACCAAAUAAAGCUUCUUCAAAAGAUCAUCAUCUCCUCUCUGGUCCAAGACUGAGUAACUUCCGUGGUGGUUCGGUUCCGGAGUCGCGGUUAUCGGAUGCUGCUAAAGGUGAAAACCAGAGUGCUAGAAGAUCAAGAUGGUAAUAAGCUAAAGACAGCAGAUCAUAUAUAAAAUAGAAUGUAAAGAGGCUUUUACAUUUACUAAUGAUCUACCUUUUGACAUGAGUGAUUCUUCAUGUGUAAGUUGACAAACAAAAAGGCUUGAAUCUUUGGACUGAGUAUGAUCCAGUCAUGUACGAGCUUUUUAAUAUUUUACAUAAAAUUGUCUUCCAAUUGGAGAUUCAUAUUGCAUAAACCCUAAACCCCUUUUGAUCAAAAAAAAGAAAAAAAAACCUAAACCCUUAAAGAACCCUUCACUUUUGACUGCUGUCUCCUGCAGAAUCUGUCUCAAGAAUAAACACAGUUAACUGACUGGGCUUCAUAUUUGGGCUUAUUUACUUGAUAAUAAUAAAGACCAGAAUAUAGUUGAUCAGGCCUGUUCCGAGAGUUCAAAGGUUAAAAACACUGGCUUAAGACGCAAGGAAGGAUCAUAUAUAAAAUUUAGGUUUGUUGACUUCAGUGACUUGAGCAACUUUCUUUUAUUACCACAGUUUUUGGUGCGAAGAAACUUUCUGAAUAAGUAUACGUAACUUGAGCCCUUGCACAUUUUAGUACUUAACCAGUUCAUAUCACUUGUCAGGCUUAGCUUCAUUUUGCUUCCUACUCUUUGUCUCGGAUCCAACCUCAUGUAGGAACCUUAUUUUACUACCAUAGGACAACUGAUAUUUGUAAAGAAUAAUAAGAACAUAAACUAAAAUUUCAAUACCAAAAUAUAAAAAUAAAGAAGAAUUGCAGAGUCGAGAUAGUUAAUCUCUUUCCUUAAAUCUUUAAACGCCCCGUAGUGUGACGGUUUUAUGGCGCUCAGAUUCCCAAGAUACAACUGCAGCAUUGUUUCUGUUUACCAUCACCGAAAAACAGAAUCUAUCGAACCUAUUUCUGUGAUGUACUCUCAGACUCAAAAGAAUAAAAAAUACUAGCAUAACUAUUCUGAGUGGGAGAAAUGUUCUUGAUUGUAUGAAUGUGUGUAUUUUCUAAAUGGCUCACAAGCCUUUAUAUAGAAAUAUAAUGAGAAGCACAAGUUUCAUUUUUCAACACAAAAAUGAAACCUCCAUAGUGCACUAAUGGAGUUUUUAAUUCUUGUCAUUAUUAUGUGAAUUUAUUCCACAUUUUGACCAAGAAAUUAAAGAAUAAAAUUAUUAUUGUUUUGACCAAUUCAAACAAAAUAAUAUACUUUAAAAUGGAUUUCUUUUUUAUAUUUUAUCAAUAUAAAAGAUCAACAUAUAUUUGGUUUAUAAGAUUAAGUCAAUGAACAUGAAGUCCAACUAACAAAUCAAAAAACCCAAAUCCAAUUUCAAAUAUCCAAUGUGUGUAUUUGCUACUUUAUACAAGUUUUUCAAAUCACACACAUUAGACCUCCAUUUCUCAUUCAAAUAAAACUUCAUUUUUGACAUAUGAAUACACUAUUCAUAAUGUUCAAAAAAUAGUUCUAACAAUCCCCCACAUGAAUAGAAAUGACUCUAGACACUAGACGACUCAACAUACUUGACUUCCUAGACAAGACUCGACUUAAGGACUUUUGAGAGUACAAACGAAAAAUCCACUGCAUGAUGAGUUGGUAGCAAUUUUUCAGCCUUGAACCAGUCAUUGUUAAUAGCUAUCGGAUUUACUCGGCCAGGAGGUGGCCAUGAUGUCUUGAACCUCCCGGGCUUUGGUGUAAACCUAGAAAUAUAUUUUUAGAGAAAAUAAUGUAGGAACCUUAUUUUACUACCAUAGGACAACUGAUAUUUGUAAAGAAUAAUAAGAACAUAAACUAAAGUUUCAAUACCAAAAAAUAAAAAUAAAGAAGAAUUGCAGAGUCGAGAUAGAUAAUCUCUUUCCUUAAAUCUUUAAACGCCCCGUAGUGUGACGGUUUUAUGGCGCUCAGAUUCCCAAGAUACAACUGCAGCAUUGUUUCUGUUUACCAUCACCGAAAAACAGAAUCUAUCGAACCUAUUUCUGUGAUGUACUCUCAGACUCAAAAUAAAAAAAAAAAACUAGCAUAACUAUUCUGAGUGGGAGAAAUGUUUCUUGAUUGUAUGAAUGUGUGUGUUUUCUAAAUGGCUCACAAGCCUUUAUAUAGAAAUAUAAUGAGAAGCACAAGUUUCAUUUUUCAACACAAAAAUGAAACCUCCAUAGUGCACUAAUGGAGUUUUUAAUUCUUGUCAUUAUUAUGUGAAUUUAUUCCACAUUUUGACCAAGAAAUUAAAGAAUAAAAUUAUUAUUGUUUUGACCAAUUCAAACAAAAUAAUAUACUUUAAAAUGGAUUUCUUUUUUAUAUUUUAUCAAUAUAAAAGAUCAACAUAUAUUUGGUUUAUAAGAUUAAGUCAAUGAACAUGAAGUCCAACUAACAAAUCAAAAAACCCAAAUCCAAGUUCAAAUAUCCAAUGUGUGUAUUUGCUUCUUUAUACAAGUUUUUCAAAUCACACACAUUAGACCUCCAUUUCUCAUUCAAAUAAAACUUCUUUUUUGACAUAUGAAUACAUUAUUCAUAAUGUUCAAAAAAUAGUUCCAACAAUCCCCCACAUGAAUAGAAAUGACUCUAGACACUAGACGACUCGACAGACUUUCUAGACAAGACUCAACUUCCUAGACAAGACUCGACAAGACCUAACUAAGGACUUUUGAGAGUACAAACGAAAAAUCCACUGCAUGAUGAGUUGGUAGCAAUUUUUCAGCCUUGAACCAGUCAUUGUUAAUAGCUAUCGGAUUUACUCGGCCAGGAGGUGGCCAUGAUGUCUUGAACCUCCCGGGCUUUGGUGUAAACCUAGACAAUAGCCAUAACACAGCUUCAUUCUCUCACAGAAUUAGGUUCUCUAUUGUGUUCAUUUUGGCCGUGAACAGUCUUGGUUAAUCAUGAGUGAACUUGGAGAAUAUAGCCUUUCCUUCAUUCUCCUAGAAACGGCCCCAUUUCACACUCACAAGGUGAUUUGCCAUUAACUUUGUUUAGAGGAGUAUCAUGUACUACUCCAUUCAUAUCUCAAAGCUAUGGACACAAAUCAUUAAAAGCUAAUGCUUAUCCUGUAUUCUUUACAUGUAGCACUGUUUAAUCAUCAUAGGAACUGGGUAUAGACCGAAGUCUUACAGUGCUUUGGACAGACUUAGUUUCACUUAGUUGUCUCCUUGAACCUAUUUCUUGGGAUCUCCAGUCAGUUAGGUAGAGUUACCGCGGAAACUCAUCUUAAUUCACAGGCGACCCAUUCCUUUUGAUGAUAUAACAAUUUGAUCUCAUGACACACCUUUAAUUAAAGGAUCCUAGGUUGUCACCAUAGUGAACAUAAUCUCUUGAGAUUAGUGGAGAUCAAUUGUCUAAUGAUUUUUGUCAUCUUUUAUUCAAGAUACAAUUAACCAUUAUACACAAAACUCAGUGUAUGACACUAGCUUGUUUUUUUUUAUAAAAAAAAAUAUAUUGUGAUAACUAUCACUAAGUUCAUUUGGCCUCUUGCCAACGACUUUAUAUGGUAAGCAAAGCUUCCCCCCACAUUUCUUGAGAUAGCUCAAAACAUGCAUAAUUACAUUUAACAUCUCUUAAGAGUUUAGAAAAUUAAUCUACAACUCCUUUAGAUUUAAAUGAAUUAAAAGCAAUUUCAAAAAUUAUUACAAUUUUCUUGAAAAAUGUGUUUCAUUCUUAGAAAUUCACAUUUUACAUCCAACUAUUUUCAUAGUUUUCUUAAGUUGAUUUAUAAAUCCAACUUGUAUGUUUUGGAUCUUUCCAAACACAUAUUUUGCUUUUUAGCAAAUAAACAUAUCAUUACAAGAUAUUAUUUUACCAUCCCAGGCGGUAAGCCCAGACUAAUCCCCACGAGGCCUUCCAUCCGGGCACGCACGGUUAUAGGCGGGAAGGUGGCCAAGGCGACUCGAACGCAGGGCGGGCACUUCAGCCGGAGUCCAAUACCACUAGACCAAGAGCUCUUGGUUUAUACCACUUGAUCUCUUAAAGAUCAAAUGUUGUUUAUAUUUAUAACUAUGGUAUCACUGUACCUGAAACUUGAAUUCUUUUUCUUUUCUCAUGGUCACACAUUUACUUAAUAAUUAAAUUAAGUUAUUCCAAGAAAAGAAAUCUGAAACAAGAAAUCAAAACGUUAAGCAUUCUUUAUAAUUAAAGCAAAUUAACACCAUCAACCCAGUCAAAGCAGUAACACAUUUUGACCAAUAUUAAAAAAUAAAUAAAAACUGAUUAAAUAACCAUUCAAUCAAUCAAUUAAUUAUUAUGAAAUUAAGAGUUCACAAACCCCAUUCCAAAACGUUACCAAAGACGUUUGGAAAAUGGUUUUCAUUGUCGCCAUUAAAGGUAUUGAUGAUAUGAUCGCUUAUGUUUCAAUUCCUUUUUCCGUUUGACCGAAAGAUGAAACCUGUUCUUAUGAAGCAUAAAAGAUAUCAAAUUCAUUAGCUCCAAAAUAUUAAUUAUUUUAAUGAAUCUAACAACAAAAUCUCAAAUAAUCAAGUUUCAGAAAUCAGAAGAGAUAAUUUCCCAACACCAAGAAUUCUCUAAUUCUUGUUUCUCAUAACCUGUUCUCAAAAAAAACUUUUAACAAAUAUCAGUAUUGUUAGUGCAGAAGCAUAAACAAUAUUUAAAGAUUUAAGAAUGUAGGAACCUUAUUUUACUACCAUAGGACAACUGAUAUUUGUAAAGAAUAAUAAGAACAUAAACUAAAGUUUUUCUUGAUUGUAUGAAUGUGUGUGUUUUCUAAAUGGCUCACAAGCCUUUAUAUAGAAAUAUAAUGAGAAGCACAAGUUUCAUUUUUCAACACAAAAAUGAAACCUCCAUAGUGCACUAAUGGAGUUUUUAAUUCUUGUCAUUAUUAUGUGAAUUUAUUCCACAUUUUGACCAAGAAAUUAAAGAAUAAAAUUAUUAUUGUUUUGACCAAUUCAAACAAAAUAAUAUACUUUAAAAUGGAUUUCUUUUUUAUAUUUUAUCAAUAUAAAAGAUCAACAUAUAUAUGGUUUAUAAGAUUAAGUCAAUGAACAUGAAGUCCAACUAACAAAUCAAAAAACCCAAAUCCAAGUUCAAAUAUCCAAUGUGUAUAUUUGCUUCUUUAUACAAGUUUUUCAAAUCACACACAUUAGACCUCCAUUUCUCAUUCAAAUAAAACUUCUUUUUUGACAUAUGAAUACAUUAUUCAUAAUGUUCAAAAAAUAGUUCCAACACCUCACACAUUCAAUAUUAGAUAGAUGAGUAGAUGUAUGACCGUAUGAAUGGAAGUGGCUGAUAUCGAGUGAGAAUGCUUGAUAAGGAAUAGAAGAAACACGAUUAAUUAACUUAUUUAAAAGAAGUUUUAUAAAAUCACAAUAUAAACACACAAAUAGCAUGCAUUAUAUCAUCAAAUUUAAGUCUCCAAGUACGUGAGGCUUUUGAUUUGAUCCAUAAACAUCAGGUCGAACAUUUGUUCGCUUUCUCCACACUAAAUCAGCGGUCCGGUAUACCUUUGAUUUCAAUCCACACAAUAUAAUUGAUGCGUGACUACAGCUAUUUGUAACAUACGAUACGAAAUCCGAAUAUUGGUUAUUCAUUCAUACUUACUUCGUGGUUAACAUUAAUUGUAAAUCCAGCCAAGCAUGUCAUAGUUUCAGUUGAAUGAAAUUAAUUGUAAGGUUGCUAGCUUUAAUGGUAUUAGUGGUUCGGAAGAUAUACUAUACUAUAAGUGUAGUCUGUUGUUUUGAAUAGAGAAAAUAUAAAUUUGUUAACAGAAUCCUUCUUCCCCAAAUAAAUCAUUAAAUAACUUCACAUGGGAAAUUAACUCAAACUGCAAAUAUUAAUAGCUUGCUUUUGGUGUGAAGCUACGUGAUAUUGUAGUCAUAGUAUUUACUUUGGCAUGGCCAUCUUUUUAUAUUUUACUAGUUUAUUUACGAGAUUUUGUAAUCCUGUGAUUAACAUUAAUACACAUUCAAUUCUCUUCCUGCUUCGAUUAAGACCCUUUACUUGUACGUAGGUGGUCUAUAUAAAGACGAAUACAUAUCUGUUUUCAUUAAAUACAAUCAAAGACUAUUCGUUUUCUCCUGUCAACAAAUACUAUUCGUAAUUCUUCCUUCUUGAUAAAUACUUGUACCAAAUUAAUUUCGGAGAAAAUUAACAAACACAUAAUGAAUGCGAUUCAUAUAUAUAUUAGAAAAUUAUGGUUAUACUUUCGUUUCAUUGCCAUGUAUUCUAAAUAUUCAAAGGCUCAAAGCUAGUUAUUUGAUUUAGGACUGCAAUUCUUAUUAUUUUUAAACAAAGGUAUUAGGACUCCAAGUAUUGUAUCUGCAUAUAUAGUGUUAUACAUUUGUUUGGAAAAUAAAUAUUACAAGCUAUAGUAUAUAAAUACGUAACAUACGAUGUUAUUGUGUUUCCCACCAUAUUUGACAAUUACAUAUUAACAACCUACGAAAAGUUUAACAACAAAAUUGGAUUUGAUUUUAGCACAAUCUCGUAUCGUAAAACUAAGAAUCCACGUAAAUAAAUAGAGUACGUCUAAUCCUCCACAAACAUAGUUCAAAACUGAAAACGUACUUUAAAAAUAAAAAAACCAACUAAAGUUUGUAGAUUAUUGGUUGGUGGAUCUAAUUUCACCACAAAUUUGAUAUUACUUUCAAGUGAAUGAAAAUUUCAUAAAUACCAUAAAUUUAUGAUGAUAAAACUAAAUUAACCCUCUUAAAUCAUUUAUAAAUAUCUUAAAAUUAUUUAUAAAAGUUUAUCAACCCACAAUCCCAUAAAUACUAAACCCUAAAUAAUAAUCACUAAACUCUAAAUCCAAAUGUUAUGAUAUUUUUGAUCAAAUAUAAUUUUUGAAAAGCUGUAUUAUCCAAUAUUUUAAACAAUUUAUUUUAUUGGUUUGAUAUUAGUAUUAUCAUCAUGUCAUAAUCCAAAUGGGUAAAGUUGAGAUGAUAUAAAAAUUUAGAAAAAGCAUAACUAUAAAAUGUAUGAAUGUAAGAAAAACUAUAAAAUGUAUGCUUUAUAUUUUAAACGAUAUGUCAACAUUGCCAUCUAAAAAGGUAAAGAAGAAUUGUUUUUCUUCAACAAGUUAAGCAGAAAUAGUUGUUGGAACUAAAAGACUAGUCUAUCUAGCUAUCAUAGUUAUUUCACCUAUCGUAAUUAAAUUGAGCCUUAAUGAAAAUCUCUCUCUCUCUCUCUCUCUCUCUCUCUGAAGAGUGGCUUAUUUGUGUGUAUGUGUUUGCGUUUAUAAAAUGGCCUUACAAGAACCAACAAGAGAAAAACUUCUCAAUAAAACCAAAAUCUCUUUCUCAACUCCCAAAGAAAGAAGGAACAAUGAGCCUGAGGAACAAGAACGGCCCUAAACUCGAGCUGAAGCUGAACCUCUCGCCACCUCCUUCUCAAGCCAACCUGAUGAGUCUAGUUCGUUCUCCAAGCCGAUCCAACACAACUUCACCAAGCUCAUGCGUUUCAUCUGAAACGUACCAGGAGGAGAUGGAGACAACAAUCUCAAUGCUACUUGUUGGUUGCCCUCGUUGCCUUAUGUACGUUAUGCUCUCUCAAGAUGACCCAAAAUGUCCAAAAUGCAAAAGCACCGUCCUACUAGAUUUCCUCCACCAAGAUGUCUCCGCCGCUACAACCGCUCCUGCCGACAUCACGAAACGCAAUAAGACCUGGUGGAACUUUUUUGUUUAAUGAAACCCUUUUCGGAACGUAAACCUAUAGACUAGCUGAUCCAACCGUACUAGUUUCUAUAUUUUUCUUUUGCUUCUUCUCGUGGUUGUUUUGCCUUAGAGUAGUGCUAAUCACGCUCCACAUUUAGACUAAACAUGAAGUGGAGCGGGAGUAGCACUAACUUUGCUUUUAAUGCAAUAUGAAAUUAUUAGAGCAAAUGAUGUUCAGUAUGAGAAACAUUUGCACUGUGUCUCUAUGUGCUUCUCAACCUUUGCACCUUUGAGAUUUGAAAGACUUAUUUCCUCUAUUUCUUAAAAUUUGCAAACGGUGUUUCUUGAAUUAAAUUGUAAAAGAAAAAAUUGAUAUUUGGUUGGACCGUUGAACAAAGCAGAUACAGGGAAAGAAUUUAAAUUGGAAAUGGUUAGAGAUAAUCAACAAGGGGUGAUAGACUAAUAGUAAGACAUCGGUUUCAUCUGCCUGGUUGUGGUCAUCUGAGAACUUACAACACGUUUCCUAAGAUUCGAAUUUUCUUUAACCAAAAUUACAACAAUAUAAUUUUGGUUUAACUUUCAAUCUAAACAGUUUACAUGGUAGUUGGGCAACAUGUGAUUCAGUUACUCUUGCCAUUAAUCAGAAACUAUUCCGAACUGGGAUUAAACAGUAUGGUAACAAAUCCACUAUAUACCAUUAAAUACGUUUUUCCAUGUGUUGACCGGAUCAGCUGAUCAUAAAAAAAGACAUCAGUUGGUUGAUUGAGAUGUUGUCGAAUGUUUUGGCUGUCUAGAAAACCUAGUUGGAAAUGGUUAGAGAUGAAACAAAAUACCACAAUGUCAAAAAGAUCUAUGCAUUUUGAAAAGUACAACCUUCAUAUAUCCUUUUUAAUAACCAAACAUCAUAUAUCUUUUUUUAGCAACAAAUCAUCAUAUAUCUAAACAACAAAAUAAACGAGAAAAAUGUUAAUUGAAGUCUAAACCAACAAACCAUCAUUUAAUCUUAUCAGUAGCUAAAAAAUAAAGUCUGAAAGAUUGUUAAUUUUUCUUCUGAAGAUGCUAUUAGGGGUGCCAAAUACAAUUUUUUUUUUCUUUUUUCUUUCUUUUUUUUUUCAGUUUCAUAAUGCAAGGGGUGGAAAGUAAAGAGGGGAGAACUUAUAGCUUCAGUGGAUUAAAAUUGAUGAAUUCAUUUAAACCAAGUAUAAAUGCAAUAGUAACUGAGGCAGUUGAGAAUAAUAGCGUUACGUAAGUAUAAUGAUAAUACGAAUUUAGUUCCUCCUACAAUAAAAAAUUAGUUGUCUAAAAUUUCUCCUACAAUACGAUUGGUGUAUUUAACUAUAGGUCUCUAAUUUUCUCGGCUUACCAAACACUUUAUCAUCUUAAAUCCUCACUAAUCCGAUUUAUUGACUUGAUGCAACUGUCGCGGCAAUUAUGGAUAUGUUUAAUAAGUAGAUUUGUCUGAGCCAGACCAACUUGUACAGCCUCUUAAUCAGCCGUUAUAAACACUUUUGAUGCAACCGGGUCUUGAUACGAGUGGCAACGUGCUGCGCAACCCACACCGAGCCAGCCACGGUGCAGCAAAACCCGUGGGUGUGACCUUCCCUCUCGAUAGAUAAGCAAGUACCAGGAGCAUGCUUUGAAAUCUGCACAAUGGAGAUUCAACGGGAGACUCUCUUCCUUCAUGUCUCAGAAAAUAAAAAGAGGAAAUCUACUAACCUCUUCAAAGAGUUGCAGCGGACCCCAAUGAUCAUCAAUGCCAAAUAAAAACGCAAGCUUGCUCUGGUUUUCUCUCAUGAACUCCCAGUCUGGCUCUGCAGCGAGCUUAUAACCAAAAUGGAUGGCAUAAUUUGAGUUCAAAUCAAAACUCCAUAAGCACAUUGUCAAAAAAAAAAAAAAAUACCUCUCUAAACUCUGUCAUUGCCAUAUAUAGAACAUUACGCAUAGUGUGAUACUGCAAAAGAAAAAAACAUCAAAAGCUAACUCGCCUGAAAAUUUACUAGGUUGCAAGAACUUGAAUACCAUCAAGGAUUUUAUACAACCUAUUUUUUCAAAGUGAGUGCAAGUGAAAGCUAAAAUAAGAUCAAUACUGAUACGUUACAGAGAGUGUAUUUCAGGAAGAAGAAGCAGGCUAAGAGAAGUGAGAAUGGAGAAGAGGAAAUCUCAGUGGCGGGCUAGUCAGCUUGAAGAAACAGAGUACAAAGACUCCCUAUCACUCAGAGUCUUUGGAGCAGCAAAGAAGAAGGAGUGAAGAGCAAAGACUCGGAAGCGUUGAGAGUCUUUGCCAAAUAAAUGAGAUGUCGUUAUUUCUUUUAUAAAUAGGAGUUUGUUAGGCAUUGCCUUUCUCAUGCUUAAAGUUGUGUGUAGAGUCGUUAUGAGACUUCUAUCCCUUUGAUCGUCAUGAGAUCAUAGGGCCUCUUUGAGCUACGAUUUGUAUUUCGUUUUGGGAUAUUCAGUAAGAUCGUUCUAUUUCCUUCUUAUUGAGAUCCAUUGUGUGAAAUACUAGUGUGAGGGGUUUUACGAAAGAGAGAGAUCGGAGUUAUAAACUUAUCAAAUUGGUGCGUUUGUGACGUGUUCGAACGAGGUAGAUGGCGACCGUUGAGGAUUCUGGCGUUAUGGGUUCGGAGUAUGACGAUACUGUGGCCGAGAUUUCUCAGGAUGUGAUGUUUCUGAAGCGCGAGUGGGACCGAGUCAACAACUCGGUGAUUCAGGUGACGGAUCAUGUUGCGGGGAUUGAUCAAAAGUUGGGUACGUACGAGAAGCACUUUGCGUCACUCGAUCAUCGUUUUGAUUUGCUACAUCAGGUUCUCACGAAGAUGGAGGCUAAUCAGAUCUCUGACAAAGCUCAUGGGAAGGCGGUAGCGUCUUCUGCGGAUGGAUCGCCUCCUCCGAUGAUGUCAGCCACACGAUCGACAGCAUCAGCUCCGACGGUGGGGUUUCAGUUGCCUCCUGCUGUGUUUGAGAAUCGCGAUACCUUGCUGCGGAAGGUAGAGAUGCCGGUGUUUGAUGGAUCUAGUCCUUUUGGUUGGAUUGCUCGAGUUGAACGAUAUUUUCGUUUGGGGAACUUUCAUGGGUUGGAGAGAUUACAGCUUAUUUCGAUGAACUUGGAAGGAGCUGUUCUCAACUGGUUUAAUGGGGAGAUGGAGCACGAUCCUUUCACUGAUUGGCUUCAGUUCAAGCAACGUUUGGUGGCUCGUUUCAGGCAGCGUAUCGAAGAUGAACCGGGGAAACGUUUAUUCUCGAUUCAACAAACUGGAAGCAUUGCUGAUUAUGUUAAUGAGUUUGAGGAGCUUCGCUCUAUUGUUACGGGGGUGGAUGAGAGGAACUUAACGCAUGUGUUCUUUAAUGGCUUGAAACCCGAAUUUCGUGAGGUGAUUAAGAUGAAAGAGCCUCAAGGGUUGACUCAACAUAUUGCAGCGGUUAUUGGUAUGGAAGGGAGUGCCUUUUGUCAAUCUGUGAGCGUCGCGGUUCAAGCAGAUUACAAGUAUCGCAAGUCUACGUCAGCGGGUUUUCGUGGUGGGUUCACUCAACCUACUAGUCAGGCUAAACCAGUGGUGACUACCACACCUUCGCAUAAUGGGUCAAAUCAACGCCCGCGUCAAAAGUAUACUGACGCAGAGCUGGACGCCAUGCGUCGUGACCGCAUUUGUUUCAAAUGCAAAGGGCCUUACUCUAAGACUCAUGCAUGCCCGAAUAAGGACCUGCGCAUACUGACUGUCUUGAAUGGCUUUGAAGUGGAGAUACUGGAUGACACAUUGUGGGAUUGGGGAGACGAUGCGAAUGAUCCAAACAAACAGCUUAUGGAGUUGUCGUUGAACGCGUUUUUAGGCAAAGAUACUCCAACAACUACCAAGUUACGCGGUCGUUUGGGGCCUCUGGAGGUAGUCAUUCUUAUUGACAGUGGCGCAACGCAUAACUUCAUUGCUCCACAUGUGGUGGCAAAGAGUAACUUAACAGCGGGUCAGGACCGAAAGCUUCAGGUCCUCUUGGGUACUGGAGUGGUUGUUGAUGCUCAAGGGGUCUGUAAAGAAGUGCAAUUUACUGUCCAGGAGGCAACGUUUUCAGCAGAUUUUGUGUCUUUGGAGCUGGGUGGGGUAGAUGUUGUGCUUGGCGUGCAGUGGUUGCGGAAGCUAGGUAAAUGUAUGGUUGACUGGGAGAGUCACGAGCUGACAUUCUAUCAUGAGGGGAGAUCUAUUACUCUCAAGGGUGAUCCGGGGCUUCAUACAUCAAAUAUGAGUCAACAGACAAUGGCUUGCUCUGCAAUGUGUUCAUUGUUUGAGUUGGACUCUGCCAAAAGCCCAACGAUACCACGUCAACUGCAACCCUUGCUACAGGAAUUCCAUCAAGUAUUUGCACCACCUGUGGGUUUACCACCGGUUCGAGGACAAGAACAUCGAAUUACCUUGUUACCAGGAACGACGGCAGUCUCAGUACGACCAUACCGUUAUCCGCAAGCUAGUCAGAAGGCGAUGGAGACAAUGGUUAGUGAGAUGCUAACUUCUGGUAUUAUACGGCCGAGUCGCAGUCCAUUCUCGAGCCCGGUUUUAUUGGUACGCAAGAAGGAUAAUACUAACCGUUUUUGUGUGGAUUAUCGAGCCUUGAAUCGCAUGACAGUACCAGACAAGUACCCCAUUCCUCGGAUUGAUCAACUUCUUGAUGAACUCCAUGGUGCUGCCUUCUUUACCAAACUGGAUCUGCGUUCCGGUUAUCACCAAAUCAGGAUGUGUGAAGGCGACAUUGAGAAGACUGCGUUCCGCACACAUGAUGGGCACUAUGAAUUCUUGGUAAUGCCUUUUGGUCUCAUGAAUGCCCCUGCAACCUUUCAAGCCUUGAUGAACGAUAUCUUUCGUCCGUUUCUCAGAAAGUUUGUGGUGGUGUUCUUUGACGAUAUACUGAUCUAUAGUGCGACGAUUACUGAGCACAUUGACCACCUCCGGUUGGUCUUGGAACAAUUUGUGGAGCAGUGCCUGUUUGCCAACCUCAAGAAAUGCUCUUUUGGUCAACAGAGUGUGGAGUACUUGGGCCACAUUAUAAGUUCUCAAGGUGUGGCUACUGAUCCAGCAAAAACGUCCGCUAUGACACGUUGGCCAAGUCCUCGAACUGUGAAGGAAUUGCGUGGCUUCCUUGGCCUUACGGGUUACUACCGCCGUUUCGUUCAAGCAUAUGGGUCUAUCGCUAAACCGCUCACUGAGUUAUUACGAAGGGAACAGUUUCUGUGGUCUAAAGCAGCACAAGCAGCGUUCGAUAACCUCAAGCAAGCUAUGGUGCAAGCGCCAGUCUUGGCUUUACCAGAUUUCGAGGCAUUAUUCGUCGUUGAAACUGAUGCUUCCGGUUAUGGUCUUGGGGCAGUGCUCAUGCAGAAUAAGAAGCCUUUGGCAUAUUUCAGUUAUGCGUUAACUCCACGAGAGCAGCUCAAACCUAUUUAUGAGCGUGAGUUGAUGGCGAUUGUCAUGGCUGUCUUAAAAUGGAAACAUUACCUUAUGGGAAGACGUUUUGUGGUGCAUACUGAUCAGAAAAGUCUUAAGUUUCUGCUUGAACAACGGGAAGUAUCAUUGGAUUAUCAGCGGUGGAUGUCUCGGUUGCUUGGGUUUCAGUUCGACAUCAUUUACAAACCAGGCAUCGACAAUAAAGCUGCGGAUGGACUAUCACGACAGAUGCAACAGAAUGUCAUUCAGGGUUGUAGCCUUCUUCUGUCACUCAGUGUUCCGACUGUUCUUCAAUUGCAAGAUAUUUAUGCAGAAAUUGAGCAUGAUGUCGACAUUCAGAACAUUAAGCGGCAGCUGCUGGCCGGAGAACCUGUGAAGAAGGGUCUCUCCGUCAUUGAUGGUCGUGUGUGGUACAAACGUCGUCUCUUGAUUCCUAAGACAUCACGUUUUAUUCCGUUAAUACUGUCUGAGUUUCACGAUGGCGUAACGGGUGGACACUCGGGAGUGUUCAAAACUCUUAAACGAAUUCAAGGGUCUUUUCAUUGGGCAGAUAUGCGUACUACAAUCACACUGCACUCCCACGAGAGUUUGGCAAGAUAUCAGUAUGGAUUUCAUUGAAGGGCUUCCGUCUUCAGGGGGUAUCAAUGUUAUCUUCGUUGUGGUGGACCGCUUAAGCAAGUAUGCUCAUUUCUUCGGUCUACGCCACCCCUUUACUGCAGCUGAUGUGGCUGGCGUUUUUCUUUCAGAGGUAGUAAAGUUGCAUGGUUUUCCGGCUUCAAUUGUCUCAGACCGUGAUCGCAUUUUCCUCAGUACCUUCUGGAAAGAUUGUUUCCGUUUGGCGGGGACUUCGUUGAAGUACAGUACGGCAUUUCAUCCUCAAACGGAUGGUCAGUCUGAGGUUGUCAAUCGUUGCUUGGAGACAUAUCUGCGUUGUUACGCUUCAGCUCACCCUAAAACUUGGAGUAAGUUUUUGAGUUGGGCAGAGUUUUGGUACAACACGAGCUUUCAUACGUCCAUCGGCACCACUCCUUUCAAAGUUGUGUAUGGCCGUGAGCCCCCUUCGGUGAUCACGUUUGAGAUGGGAUCGACUGCUAAUUUUGAGUUGGAGCAGAAUCUGGUGGAAAGGGACGCUAUGUUGGCUGAAUUACGUGAGACAUUAACUCGGGCUCAAGAAGUGAUGAAGGCAUCUGCUGAUAAACAUCGGCGUGACGUUGAGUUUGAAGUUGGCACAAUGGUGUUUCUCAAGUUGCGACCAUACCGUCAACAAUCUGUUGCUCGCCGUCCGGUUCAGGACCGAAAGCUUCAGGUCCUCUUGGGUACUGGAGUGGUUGUUGAUGCUCAAGGGGUCUGUAAAGAAGUGCAAUUUACUGUCCAGGAGGCAACGUUUUCAGCAGAUUUUGUGUCUUUGGAGCUGGGUGGGGUAGAUGUUGUGCUUGGCGUGCAGUGGUUGCGGAAGCUAGGUAAAUGUAUGGUUGACUGGGAGAGUCACGAGCUGACAUUCUAUCAUGAGGGGAGAUCUAUUACUCUCAAGGGUGAUCCGGGGCUUCAUACAUCAAAUAUGAGUCAACAGACAAUGGCUUGCUCUGCAAUGUGUUCAUUGUUUGAGUUGGACUCUGCCAAAAGCCCAACGAUACCACGUCAACUGCAACCCUUGCUACAGGAAUUCCAUCAAGUAUUUGCACCACCUGUGGGUUUACCACCGGUUCGAGGACAAGAACAUCGAAUUACCUUGUUACCAGGAACGACGGCAGUCUCAGUACGACCAUACCGUUAUCCGCAAGCUAGUCAGAAGGCGAUGGAGACAAUGGUUAGUGAGAUGCUAACUUCUGGUAUUAUACGGCCGAGUCGCAGUCCAUUCUCGAGCCCGGUUUUAUUGGUACGCAAGAAGGAUAAUACUAACCGUUUUUGUGUGGAUUAUCGAGCCUUGAAUCGCAUGACAGUACCAGACAAGUACCCCAUUCCUCGGAUUGAUCAACUUCUUGAUGAACUCCAUGGUGCUGCCUUCUUUACCAAACUGGAUCUGCGUUCCGGUUAUCACCAAAUCAGGAUGUGUGAAGGCGACAUUGAGAAGACUGCGUUCCGCACACAUGAUGGGCACUAUGAAUUCUUGGUAAUGCCUUUUGGUCUCAUGAAUGCCCCUGCAACCUUUCAAGCCUUGAUGAACGAUAUCUUUCGUCCGUUUCUCAGAAAGUUUGUGGUGGUGUUCUUUGACGAUAUACUGAUCUAUAGUGCGACGAUUACUGAGCACAUUGACCACCUCCGGUUGGUCUUGGAACAAUUUGUGGAGCAGUGCCUGUUUGCCAACCUCAAGAAAUGCUCUUUUGGUCAACAGAGUGUGGAGUACUUGGGCCACAUUAUAAGUUCUCAAGGUGUGGCUACUGAUCCAGCAAAAACGUCCGCUAUGACACGUUGGCCAAGUCCUCGAACUGUGAAGGAAUUGCGUGGCUUCCUUGGCCUUACGGGUUACUACCGCCGUUUCGUUCAAGCAUAUGGGUCUAUCGCUAAACCGCUCACUGAGUUAUUACGAAGGGAACAGUUUCUGUGGUCUAAAGCAGCACAAGCAGCGUUCGAUAACCUCAAGCAAGCUAUGGUGCAAGCGCCAGUCUUGGCUUUACCAGAUUUCGAGGCAUUAUUCGUCGUUGAAACUGAUGCUUCCGGUUAUGGUCUUGGGGCAGUGCUCAUGCAGAAUAAGAAGCCUUUGGCAUAUUUCAGUUAUGCGUUAACUCCACGAGAGCAGCUCAAACCUAUUUAUGAGCGUGAGUUGAUGGCGAUUGUCAUGGCUGUCUUAAAAUGGAAACAUUACCUUAUGGGAAGACGUUUUGUGGUGCAUACUGAUCAGAAAAGUCUUAAGUUUCUGCUUGAACAACGGGAAGUAUCAUUGGAUUAUCAGCGGUGGAUGUCUCGGUUGCUUGGGUUUCAGUUCGACAUCAUUUACAAACCAGGCAUCGACAAUAAAGCUGCGGAUGGACUAUCACGACAGAUGCAACAGAAUGUCAUUCAGGGUUGUAGCCUUCUUCUGUCACUCAGUGUUCCGACUGUUCUUCAAUUGCAAGAUAUUUAUGCAGAAAUUGAGCAUGAUGUCGACAUUCAGAACAUUAAGCGGCAGCUGCUGGCCGGAGAACCUGUGAAGAAGGGUCUCUCCGUCAUUGAUGGUCGUGUGUGGUACAAACGUCGUCUCUUGAUUCCUAAGACAUCACGUUUUAUUCCGUUAAUACUGUCUGAGUUUCACGAUGGCGUAACGGGUGGACACUCGGGAGUGUUCAAAACUCUUAAACGAAUUCAAGGGUCUUUUCAUUGGGCAGAUAUGCGUACUACAAUUCAAAACUAUGUUACUAGUUGUGGCGUGUGUCAGACUCACAAGACGUCCACACUAUCACCGGCUGGUUUACUUCAGCCGUUACCCAUUCCCACGAGAGUUUGGCAAGAUAUCAGUAUGGAUUUCAUUGAAGGGCUUCCGUCUUCAGGGGGUAUCAAUGUUAUCUUCGUUGUGGUGGACCGCUUAAGCAAGUAUGCUCAUUUCUUCGGUCUACGCCACCCCUUUACUGCAGCUGAUGUGGCUGGCGUUUUUCUUUCAGAGGUAGUAAAGUUGCAUGGUUUUCCGGCUUCAAUUGUCUCAGACCGUGAUCGCAUUUUCCUCAGUACCUUCUGGAAAGAUUGUUUCCGUUUGGCGGGGACUUCGUUGAAGUACAGUACGGCAUUUCAUCCUCAAACGGAUGGUCAGUCUGAGGUUGUCAAUCGUUGCUUGGAGACAUAUCUGCGUUGUUACGCUUCAGCUCACCCUAAAACUUGGAGUAAGUUUUUGAGUUGGGCAGAGUUUUGGUACAACACGAGCUUUCAUACGUCCAUCGGCACCACUCCUUUCAAAGUUGUGUAUGGCCGUGAGCCCCCUUCGGUGAUCACGUUUGAGAUGGGAUCGACUGCUAAUUUUGAGUUGGAGCAGAAUCUGGUGGAAAGGGACGCUAUGUUGGCUGAAUUACGUGAGACAUUAACUCGGGCUCAAGAAGUGAUGAAGGCAUCUGCUGAUAAACAUCGGCGUGACGUUGAGUUUGAAGUUGGCACAAUGGUGUUUCUCAAGUUGCGACCAUACCGUCAACAAUCUGUUGCUCGCCGUCCCUAUCACAAGCUUGCUGCUAAGUUUUACGGACCUUUCGAGGUUCUUGAAAGGAUUGGCCAGGUCGCAUAUCGUCUGCGCUUACCAGUGGAGUCCAAAGUUCAUCCUGUUUUCCACGUUUCGCAACUUAAGGCCGCCGUCGGGACUAAUUUGCGGGCUACGCCUUUGCCAUCGUCAUUUAAUGUGAAUGGUCAACUGAUCAUUCGACCGGAGAAGGUAUUGGGUACACGGUACACAGCUGAUGGUCGCUUGGAGGUGUUGAUUCAGUGGUCGGAUCUUCCGUCUCACGAGAAUUCAUGGGUUUCAGGGUUCGAUUUUGCUACACAGUUUCCGGAGUUUCAGCUUGAGGACAAGCUGCGUUUCAUUGGGCGGGGUAAUGAUACGUUACAGAGAGUGUAUUUCAGGAAGAAGAAGCAGGCUAAGAGAAGUGAGAAUGGAGAAGAGGAAAUCUCAGUGGCGGGCUAGUCAGCUUGAAGAAACAGAGUACAAAGACUCCCUAUCACUCAGAGUCUUUGGAGCAGCAAAGAAGAAGGAGUGAAGAGCAAAGACUCGGAAGCGUUGAGAGUCUUUGCCAAAUAAAUGAGAUGUCGUUAUUUCUUUUAUAAAUAGGAGUUUGUUAGGCAUUGCCUUUCUCAUGCUUAAAGUUGUGUGUAGAGUCGUUAUGAGACUUCUAUCCCUUUGAUCGUCAUGAGAUCAUAGGGCCUCUUUGAGCUACGAUUUGUAUUUCGUUUUGGGAUAUUCAGUAAGAUCGUUCUAUUUCCUUCUUAUUGAGAUCCAUUGUGUGAAAUACUAGUGUGAGGGGUUUUACGAAAGAGAGAGAUCGGAGUUAUAAACUUAUCAAAUACCUGCCUCAAGUGAGUGCAAGUAGCUUGAACAGCAGUAUCAGACCAUGAAGCUCCAAGAGAGUAUGAUACAAGGCGACGUGCAGCCGACAUAGGUAACAGUCCCAACGAUGCAACCAGAAAGCUUGCUGUAGCAGACAGAAGAGAAGACCUGGAAUCCAACAAUGUCAUUUAUAAGUAUUGGUUUCAUUGGUUACUUCAUAACGAGGAUUCAUAAGAUAUUGAGAAGGAAAAGCUCACGCUGCAAGUUUCCCAAUUAGUGAUUGCUUUGUUGAUUGUUGGUUCAGAGUCAAAAAUGGAUAUAGGCCAAUGCAAUAUAAAACCUACAAGCAAUCCCCAGAGAAUAUACAUGAUCACAUAGCCUAGAGAGAAACUGUGUUAGAGGAAGUAUGGUUUUAGAGGAAUGAGUCUAUACCUUCUCCGAGCACUUCCUUAAUAUUUCAAGUGAUAUAUAAGACCCAAUAGAAUGCCCAACCUACAAAAAGGAACCUAAAUCUGAGUUGGAAUUUUUUUUGUUAAAUUAAUAGAUGUAUGUAUUUUUGUCAUAAGAAGUUGUAUGUCAAUGGAAAACAUGUAGUGUGGUGCAUUGUAUACAUGACAUAUAUAGAUAGCCUUACCAAUAUGAUUGGGACUUUCACGCUCUCUAACUCCUGCCUAAUAAAUUCAACCUGUAUGAUAUAACAGGUUACGAUCUUAACUUCAGGGUAUAUCCAGGGCAGGUAAAGAGCUUAAAAUGCCCACACACACAUAACAAUAAGGUGCUUAAGCGAAGGAAAAUGAUGGUGCUUUUAGGCUAAUAAGGAACAUGUUAUUAUUACCUUAUGAUCGAUUUGGUCUUGCAAGGAAAACAGCUUACCAGAUUCCCAGUCCUUAAAACAAAGCAACACGAAACAUACAAAGCUAAGAGUCUAAACGCAACCAUCAAACUGCAAGAUCUGAAGCAAAGUUACUUAUAGUGUUGUUACCUUGCUGGUGUGAGAUAUUUGCCCAACAGCUACGCAAGAACAGCAACAAACCAAUCAAAACCAAUGGAAUCAAACUCGAGAGUGGAGUGGGCAUAUAUAUAUAUAAACCUGUAAUCGACGCAUUGCCAUCAAGAAACUGGUGUAAAGAUUCCAAGAAGUCAUUGUAAAACGACACAACACCUGAAGAUUACCAAACCAAAAUGUAUUAAUAAACACAUAACCACAGUUCUCAAAAUCUAGUAUUUAAAUGAGCAUUGAGCAUAUAAUAAUAUAGAAUGAAACCUGGGUUUCCCGGAAUGAACAGUACAUGAAACUUGGGACUCUCAGCUUGAAUCUCCACCACUUCCGUCAUUGAACUUAAGAAUCACAAAACCAGAAUAAAAAUUGUGUAAAUUUACAAUUAAAUAUUUCAAAUUAAUCGAAGAAAAAAAGAUAAGAGAUUAAUAAUAUAUAUACCCACCCAGAGACUCUGCACAAUCUGGGAGUAACAGUUCUUUUAGCUUCGUUCAUCAAUUCCUUCUCACUCUCCAUAUCUGCGAUCACGCGAUUCAACCUAUAUCUUCUACGAGAGCUGUCGACAGUAGUAAAAAAUAAAACUAGAGACGCAUUCAAAAGGCUGUAAACCAUGUGGGAGAAGAGAGAGCAAGAACAAAAAUGCACCUGGAAGCGGAGGAGGAGUAUAGAGUUUGGAGAAUCGAACCGCCGAUCGGAGGAAGAGAGCAGCGGAGAGACGGAGUUACCAACGGUAGUCGUAGAAGAUGAUGAUGAUGAUGACCAUAUCGCAUUUUUGCUUUAUUUGUUUUUUUUUGUUUCUCGUUAUUUUUUUUACAACGUUCAGGGAUGCGACGUCGUUUUCAAUGUCAGAGAUCUUUGGGCUUAUGGUAACAUUUAAAGGUAUUUGGGCUUAUCAGAACGUUUUAGAGAUAUUUGGGCUUAUGAUAACGUCGUCUAUGCGACGUCGUUUCAAGUAUUCAGGUCUUUGGGCUUAUUAGUGGAUACUCGGAUAUCAGAUCGGUUCUAAAGAUGUUGGUACGAUCGGUUCUCUUCUUAAUUUCGGUUCGCUUUUGGGUUUUUUAAUUAGACAACAUCGUUUACGCGACGUCGUUUCGAGUGUUAGUAGUUCUUUGGGCUUAUCUCCACCUCACACUUCCACUACAAAAGAGAGGUCCUUUCGUUGACACACACAGACAGAUAAGUGUUUCCCAGAGAGAAGAGAGAGAGAGAGAGACAAGUCUCAAUGGCGUCUGUAGCUUCUUCAACCACUCUCAUCUCCUCCUCCGCUAGUGUUCUCCCAGCCACCAAGUCUUCGCUUCUUCCAUCUCCCUCCCUCUCUUUCCUUCCAACCCUCUCCUCUCCUUCCCCAUCCGCUUCUCUCCGGCUCGCUCGUCCCUCUCCCCUCACCUCAAUCCGCUCCUCUUCUCGCCGGAGCUUCGCUGUCAAGGCCCAAACCGUAAGUUAUCUAAAUGUCCAUACUUUCUCUGAAUCCAUUAACCUAUCAUAAGACUUCGCUCUCUUCCUAUGUAUAACAGUCUCUGUGACUGGUUUGUGUAGAUUAUUUCCACUUAAAGUACAUAACUUUAUCGACAUUUUGUUCAUAGGGUUGUUGGGUUUGUGUAGAUUAUUUCCACUUAAAGUACAUAACUUUAUCGACAUUUUGUUCUUUUGUGUGUUGAUAGGAUGAUCUUCCAUUGGUUGGAAACAAGGCGCCUGAUUUUGAGGCAGAGGCUGUGUUCGAUCAGGAGUUCAUCAAGGUAUCUUUUUGUCUAAACAACCUUUCUUCUAACAAUGGCUAGUUAUUUAUAUAUGAGGCAUGAGUUUAAGUUUGUAACUAAAUGAGUAUGUGUCUUAUUGGUGUGGAAAGUAAUUGGGUAAAUUGAUGAAUAAAUGGUUUCUUUCAGGUCAAGCUCUCUGAGUACAUUGGGAAGAAGUAUGUGAUUCUCUUUUUCUACCCCUUGGACUUCACUUUCGUCUGCCCAACAGGUUUGCUAUAAUCAUACCCAAGUUGAAUAUCUGAGGCUCACUGCACAUCCUUAUCUCAUUUCUCUUUUUUGUAUUCUAGAGAUUACUGCCUUCAGUGACCGGUAUGCAGAAUUUGAGAAGCUGAACACAGAAGUGUUAGGUGUCUCUGUUGAUAGUGUGGUAAGUAAAACAGUUUACAAGUUUACAACAAUUCUUAUCUUGUUUCCAAAUUGCUUCGACUCAUCCUUACUUGUUGUGUUGAUGAUGUCCACAUAGUUCUCCCACCUUGCUUGGGUUCAAACCGACAGAAAAUCUGGAGGACUUGGUGAUCUCAACUAUCCACUUAUAUCAGAUGUCACUAAAUCUAUCUCAAAAUCUUUUGGAGUGCUCAUCCAUGAUCAGGUAACAUUGUUACCCUCUCAAUCUUCACUUUCUAAAAGUGUUUAGUAACUAAUAAAAGUGAAAAAAAAAACAGGGAAUAGCGUUGAGAGGGCUUUUCAUAAUAGACAAGGAAGGAGUGAUCCAACAUUCAACCAUCAACAAUCUUGGUAUUGGCCGAAGUGUUGAUGAGACAAUGAGAACCCUUCAGGUAUAAUAAAUACUCUCAAGUUCAAAACCUGUUCCUUUUCUUUAUCUCAUUACUGUUUGUGUGAUGCCAUAUUAUUCUCAAUGUUGCAGGCAUUACAGUACAUCCAGGAGAACCCUGAUGAAGUCUGCCCUGCAGGAUGGAAACCAGGGGAGAAGUCAAUGAAACCUGACCCCAAGCUCAGCAAAGAGUAUUUCUCAGCUAUUUAGAAAUAUCUACAAAACCUUUGUUAUAUGUGAGCUGAGUUUUUAUUUUAAACGCUGAACAUUCCUUUGUUUGAAUCUCCACUUUGUCCCCCCAGAAUCCUUGAAACUUCAUUUUCCAUUAAUAAAAGUCUUGUUAUCUCCAUUUUCUCGCUUGGAGUAGGACUCAAUGUGGUUUCUUUCUUUCUUAACCAGCUUUUACCAAUGAAAACUGUUUAAAAUUUAUAAAUCAAUUUUUCAUGUCAAACCGAUGAUGUGUUGGUCUCUUAAACACACAAAAAUUAUCAAAUAUAUAAUUAAUAAGAUAUUUAAAAUACAUAAAAUUUUAAAAGUUGGAAAUAAUCUAAAAUUUCAAAAAAAAAAUUAAUAUUAUAAACUUAAAAAUAAAUAAAUUCAAAGGUAAUAAAAUAUUAAAAAAAUAAAAUAAAUUAAAAUGAGAAAAUAUUGCAAAAUUCAAAAACUUAUUUGAAAAAAAAAAACACCAUAUUUUUCUUCACUCAUUCUUUUUCUUUUUGGUGCUUUAUUUUAGAUUGUAGGUAAAUCUCCACUUGUUUUUUUAAAAGGGUAUAUCUCCACUUGGAUGAUAACAUUAUCAUCAUCAUCAUUAUAGAAUUACUAACAGGAAUUGCUGGCGCCAUGGCAACUGGCAAAAAAGUUUCACCUAAAAUAAUACAACUGCAAGGUGGCCUUCGUUUUGUGUGAGAUUGAUCAACAUGGCUAAAAACAGAAACGUGGGUUGAUUAAGCUAUAAGACAUGCAUUAUGUUUAAUUAGUAUAGAUGAUUAUUUGAUGUGACAAAUUAAUUGGCUGAAAGGAUUUUGCCUUGUGUCACUAGGCAAGAUAAUGAUCAUAUAUCACCUCUUGGUAUUGUAGAUUAAGCUAAUCUAAAAAAAAAAAAAAAGAGCUAAUAAACAGUGUCCAUAAUCAGGGAAUAACAUUAAUUAGUGAACAAUAAGAGAUUUAAGUUAAUGUUUUUCUUAGAUAAGAUAAAACCAUGGGUACUAAAAAAAAAGAAAAGCAAAAUGAAAAAAACAAAUAUUUCAAAUUAAAACAUAGACUAGGAAACGAAAAGCAAGAGGUGCUGCUGAUAACUUAGUAACAAGAUCACACCAUCAAGAACCGCCAGGACUUGCAUACUUCGUACGUUUGCCUUUUCGAUCGAAGUCAGCAACUCGCGAUCGCCUAUUCUCCUUAAUGCUACGUUUACGAGAGGCAGGAAGUCUCAUCUCCUGCGAGAUGAAAAAAGUUCAACAGGGGGUUAGUGAACAAAUGGUUAGAGAAUGUUAAUAUACAGAGAGGAGAUGGAGAGAGUGCUUACUUCAUUUGCAUGUUCUUCAUCAGUAGAGAGAUGCUUCCUGAACUGAUCAAUGCUUUUGGUACCAAAGUGACACAAACUGCAAUUAAACGUAGAGGUAGGUUCACCGCUUUCACUGCUACACUUGUGAAGAACAAGUCUUGUUUGUUCGGAACCUGCAAGUAAGCUUUCCUACCGCCACUCUGCAGAACUGAGCAGGAAUGACGUUUUGGAAGGCCUAAAUGAAUAAGCCAGGAAAAGCUUGUCAUUAUUCUCUUGUAGUAGCUCGACAAGAUAAUGUGAAAUCCAAUCCACAUGAUCCGAUAUGACCAUCAUUAUAGUAACAGCCCGAGGAGGAUUAUCAUAAUUAGGGAUGUCAAUUGGACGGAUUGGGUGGAUUUGGGCGUGUUCAGAUUGGCUUAUUUUUUUCUGGGCGUUUUUUGGUCAAACUUAAAAGAUGUACAGAUUAGAAAUGUCAUAUAUCUAUACUAUUAUUUAUGAAGUGAUUUGGCUUAUUUGUCACAUUCUCCAUAAUUUUAGUUAAUUUGCUUACUUGUCAUAUUUUCCAUGAUUUUAAGAUAAAUCAUUAGUUCAAUUAACAUUAUUAUUAAUUUUUUUAUAUUUUGAUAUCUAUAUAUUAUCAUGGUAUUUAAAAUCAUAAUAAACAUGAACCUAUUUUACCGAUAUAUAUACUAAUAUUUUCUAAAUUUUUUUUUAAUAUAUAAUAAACAUGAUAUUCACGACAUUUAAUUAAUAAAUAGAUAUCUAUACUAUUAUUUAUGAAGUGAUUUGGCUUAUUUGUCAUGUUCUCCAUGAUUUUACGUAAUUUUGCUUACUUGUCAUGUUUUUAUUAGUAGGUUUUAGCUAAAUCAUUGAUUUAUUAUUUGUUAUUAGCUGAGUCAUUAAUAUACUAAUUUAAAAUUAUCCUUAAUGAAUCUUGUAUAUAAUUAAAAACGAAUAUUAAUAAUAUUAAAUUUCUAUGUUAUAUUAAAAACGAAUUUUAAACAAUAUCUUUACUGAAUUUUAUAUAUAAUUAAAAAUGAAUUUUAUUUUAAUAGUAUAAAAUUUAUAUGUUAUAUGUUACAUUAAAUAAUUGAUUAUAAAAAAUAAGAUUAUUCUUAUAUAUAUUGUGUUGCUAUCUGAAAAUAAUAUUUUAUUAUAAAAGUUAAAAAAGUUAAGAUAAAAAAACAAUUGAUAAUUAAAUAUUAGUCAAGCAAAAAAAUUAUAUAAAGAUAUUUUCUAAACUAUUUCUAAGAUAUUAGUGUUUUAAAAAAAUUAACACAAUAGUAAGUAUAUAUUUUGAUAAAAAAAAUAUUUGACAUAUAUAAAUACUUUGAUGUUUGAUUUAACUAUUUAAAACCAUAAAUCAUAACUUAUUAUGUUGGUUUUAGAUUAAAAAAAACAUAAACUAAUAAGUAUUCAUAAGAAGUUUAUGCCCGCAUGUGCGGGCAAAACACCUAGUAUAUAUAUAUAACAUCUUCUUUUGGUACUUUAUUCGUGGAUUGUAGUUUAAUCUCCACUUUGCUGGUAACAUGAUCAUCAUCAUCAUUAUAGAAUUAGAAACAGGAAUUGCUGGUGCCAUGGCAUCUGGCAAAAAGAUAUGCAUCUCCGUCGGGUAUAAAUAUUCGUAUAGCAGUCAAAGGUAUGACUGUUUGUAGCAUAAACAAAAUAAAUAUGAAAGGUAUUUGGUAUGAGGGAUGAUAAUAAAACAUGUGUGGAGAUGAGUUGGCUUAUGUCCGUCUUAUGAGAUAGCUGUCUAGCUUUUUCAACCCAUGACUUUGCUAAUACAUCUUGUUGUUUUAGACUAAUAAGCUCGUGUUAUACUCUAAUACAUGGGGUAUUUGACUAAUGGAGAAAAAUCAGGAUUAAAAACAAUAAACCAAUUUCCAAAAAGGUCUUACAAAGGUUUUUUGAUAAUAAAAAGUUUUGUUUGUAAGAAUAGACAUGGCGAUUAAGAAUGAUCUGAGAACAGCUUGUUCCAUAAUAGCAAUUUGACUGGCAAAAGAGAUGAAAACUGUGCUCUAGUCUCCUUAGUUCUCUGCUUGCAAAGAAGCUGCAAGAGAAAGAAAAAAACACUGAAAUUGCGAUCCAACGGGAAAAUAACCAUAUAUUUUUGUUACUAAAUUAUCAGUUAGAUCUAAGUACCUUUAACGGAUGCUGGAUCGUCUUGUGGCCUCAUUGCCGGGAAGAGAAUAACCUCCUGCAACAUUUUAUCAGUUCAGUUCAUGAGUUUAGUCUGAAAGAUUUAAUAAUCAUUAGCAGAGAAUUGAGAUAAGAGACUGACCUUGAUGUUUUGUGAGUCGGUAAACAGCAUGGCAAGCCUGUCUAUGCCCAAUCCCCAACCACCUGUAGGAGCCAAUCCAUACUCUAAAGCACUGCAGAAAGUCUCAUCUAAAGCCAUGGCCUCGUCAUCUCCAGACUGUCUAUCUUUGAGCUGAUCAGCAAACCUUUGACGCUGGACCACAGGAUCGUUCAGCUCGGUGUAGGCGUUGCAGAGCUGCAAUCACGUUUAUACCACGUUAGUGAAAAAAGUAUAAGGAUGUGUGAUGGAAUCAGAGAUGUAGUUAGCUUUGUACUUCAUGUUUGUUGAUGAACAGCUCGAAUCUCUCAGUCAGAACAUCGUUCGAUCUAUGCCAUUUAGCCAAUGGAGACAUGAUCUCGGGAUGGUUGAUGAUGAACGUUGGGUUCACACAUGUCACUUCUAGAAACUCUCCAACAAGCUGCAAAAAGAGACAACAUCUCAGGUUUCAAUUUCCUCUAUGCACAAACAUCAAAGAGGGAAGAACCUGAAGAUUUUUUUACUUUAUCUAGUAGGCGAGCGGUAGUCUGAGGAGGCGGACAUUUCACGUCGAACCUGGCACAAGCAUCAAUCAGAUACUUGUUGGCUUCUUCGCUAGCCAAGUCUUUUGGAAUACUGAGGUUAGCCACCUUCUCUAACUCUCCUAUCAUCUCAAUCCUCCUACAAUUACCACAGAUAAGCUUUAACCUCCUGAAAAACUUUUUGUUUAACCAAUGAAGAUAUUGAUUGAUUAUCAAACCUGAAUGGAGGAGUGAAGUCGAUUUCGAUUGGCUCCUUAUCAUACCCAUUAGCAUGAUACUUAAUUUUGUAACCACCUGUUAACUCUUUAACCAUGUCACUCAACAUAUCCUCAGUCAUCUUCAUCAGGUCGUUGUAGUCUGCGAAAGCCAUAUAGAACUCGCAAGUGGUGAACUCCGGGUUGUGUGUCAGGUCAAUACCCUCGUUUCUGAACUGCUUCCCAAUCUCAUAGACACGUUCUAAGCCACCGACGAUAAGUUGCUUGAGGAAAAGCUCAGGUGCGAUACGCAUGUACAGCUUCAUGUCUAGAUCAUUGUGAUGUGUCACAAAGGGUCGGGCAGCUGCUCCACCAGCAAUCAUGUUCAUCAUAGGUGUCUCAACCUCCAAGAAUCUUUGGUUGUCGAGAAAUCUCCGGACGUAGGAAAUGAUAUUGGCUCUGGUUUUGAAUAUCUGGCGAACCUCCACGUUCAACAUUAGAUCAAGGUAACGCUGGCGAUAUCGAGAUUCCUAACAAGGGAAACAAAGAAAGUAACAUUAAACGCUUGCUCGGAUAGAAACAGAAUAAUAGAGAGAACAGUAUCUAAAACACAACCAGAAAGUGAUCAAACAAAAGAUAGAGGCUACAACAAUCUUUAUAGCUUUUGAAAUUUUACCUGAUCUUUCAGAACAUAUGCUUCAGGAUUUCUCGGUUCACCUGGAACCCAGUUUUCAGGUUUCUACGUAAAGAAAAUAGUGAAACAGAUCAGUGUCAAUUCAAGUAAGUUGACUCUAAGGUAAUGUAACAGCCACAGUGGAGUUGCUUUACCUUUGCGCCAACACUGUCAGCCUUUCUUGGCAUCAUGUGGAGGCAAUGUGACAGAAGAAUAAACGAUCGAGGAAAAAUACUCAACUCUCCUCUCUUAGUUUUUCCUGAAAAUCAGAGUAACUUAACAAUGAAAAAGGAGGCGAAAUACGCUAAAAAAACAUAGAGAGGCUGCACAAACCUGGAAACCCAGUAACACCAACAAUAUCACCACGCUUAGCAUUCGCAUGGAGCUUUGAAAACUCAGCUUCAUCCAACCCUGACUUACUAAAACAAGAAAAUAAAAAAAAAGCAACACACCUAAGUAAAAAUCUAUUCCACAGCAUCAAGCCAUCAAAGUUAACAAAGAAGAAGCAUUCACCUUGCAUCAGCCAUAACCUGGACCUUGAAAUUCUCACCGUGUAGAUCAUAAAAGAAUAGCUUCGAAGAGGAAGCUCGCUUGCUCAUUAUCCUCCCUAUCAAAAAUCAAAUGAACAUCCUUUCCACUCUUAAGAACAAAAUGCCAUUUAGCAGAUUCAACAUACCAGCUAGAGAAACCUCAGCGUCUUCAACAUGAUCCCCAUUGUUCAAACCACCAUACUUCUCAAUGUACUCAGGGAUAGACAUCGACACAGCAAACUUGUGAGGGUACGGAUUCUCCCCCUUAGCCUUCUCCGCCGCGAGAUACUUCAAUCUGUUCUCAAAGUAUUGCUGCCAAAGAUCACAGACGUAAGCUGCAUUGCAUAAGAUCAUAGUACUGAAUCGAAUUGUAUACCGUUGGAUCCAUAUCCUCAUCAUCUGCUGAUGAUGCCACUGACUUCUGGGAGCUUGCCUUUGGAGCCUGAAUCAAUCAAAUUAUCUUAACUAAUCAACCUGAUAAUCUGAAUGUACAGUGUUUGCUCUUACUUGUUUGGCUUUUUCCUCUUCCUUGCGUUUCCUCUCUUCCUCUCGCUGCUUCAUCUUCAGUUCCUUCUUCAGAGCACUGCAACAACAUCCGCUACAAUCAGAUUCCAUUCACAAAGAUGAUCGAGAGACUAAUAAAACGUACUUUUUACUCCGAGCUCCGUCGCCAGCCUCAGCAGUGGACGAGGGAGCAGGAUCCAUGGAUAGUUUUGACAUUGCUUGUGUGGUUUGAUCAGCUGAGCCUUCCAUGGAAAUCGACUUCCUGGUACACGAAUCCAGAAGAUGACGACGGCGAAGAAGAUUGAAGAUGAAGAAUGAGUCUUCUUUAGGGUUUAUCUUUAUUAUUAUUCCUCGUGAUUUUUACGCGGGUUUAGUCAUUUUGGUUUUCUCUACUCUUUCCGGUUUAUUAACAAACCGAUCCGGUUCGUUCGUUUUAAAAGUACAUUUUCAUUGAUUAUUGAUUAAUGAUAGCACACAGAGUAGUUCCUCUUCUAUGAGAUUUAUUCUUUUCUGAAACAUCAAUAAUACCCUAAAAUGGAUUUCACAAGAAUUAGUAUUAUAAAAUAAUCAUAAAUAUUAAAUAAGUUUCUAAAAUUAGUAUUUUUGAGAAACUAACUUAAUAUUUUAUAAUUAUUUAUUAUAAAAUAUUAGUUAUUGAGAUAUUCAUUUAUUUAUAUCAAUAAUAUUGAUGCUCUAACCUAAUAAUGUGAUCUACAAAGACCUUGUGAGAAUUAAACAGAACUCAUCUUUAUAUCACACAGCUUUACUGCAUUGUUUCUUUUAUUAUCACUAUAUUUGUUGACAACACUUGUUGCCAGGGGCGGAGGUAGUGAAGGAGAAGUGGGGUCAGCUGACCCCACUAUUUUUUUAAAUAUAUUUGUUUUUGUUUAAGAAAAAAAUUAUUGACCCCAUUAAAAUAUAUAAUUUGACCCCACAAAAUAUAUAAUCCUACUAAAAUAAUUACAAUACAUUAAAAAUUAAAGUUAUAAUUUGUAGUUUUUAAUGGUGUAUAAAUUAUGUUUUUGAAAAAAAAAAUUAUGACCCCGGUAUAAAAAAUUUCUGGCUCCGCCACUGCUUGUUGCUAAUCUUACACUAUCCAACAUGUAAGUUGAAACGACUGAUGUUUCCUUAUAUUGAUAGUAGUUUGCUUUAAACUCUUUGCAACUUCAAAGACACAAAACCUUUUGGUUUUUACCAAUCUCUAUUUCAAAGUCCUUCUCAUCCAUGACCUGACUCCGAAGCAGCCUGGUCUACGUUUUCUCUGCAGAGUCGAUCUCUUACCUCCUUCUAAACCGCUUGGUUUGUCGUCACUAUUCUCUUCUGUUCUGCUAAAAAGAGUUGUGGCUUGUGAGAUUGUUAUCCUUGUGACCUCUUCAAAGUUUGUUGUAAGAUCGUUCUUGGGAGAUGCAGCAAAAGAACUUGAUCCACUUCGCCUAUUAACAACUCUAAAAAGAUUAAAAACCAUUUAAUAUUAAGGAAACCACUUUCUUGAGAUUCUUUAGUCUUUACCUGUUGUUGUUGUUGUUGUUUUGGUUGUGAUAAUGUGUGAGGGAUGCUUCAUCAAGAACAUCAGUCUUAGGAUCUUUACAAACUUUGCUGCUUGAAACAGCCGCGGUGCUCUCUGAAUACUGUUUUGGUGAUGGUGAUAAUGACGAUGAUGAUGAACCUUCUUCUUCCUCUGAAGAGGUUGAGGUAUUAUCAUAUUUUUUAGAUUUUCUAACCAUUGAUAUCACUCUCUCUAGUGUCCCUAGUGCUUGCUUCACCUCUGGACUUAGGCAGAAAAGUGUUUCACCAUCGUUGUUCUGAGACUUCCCAAUGACAUUUUCAUCCUCUUCCGAGAAACAAGAAACACUUUUAUCUUCUUCUUCUUCUUCUUCUUCUUCCUCAAUCUCAUGAACAUUUCCUUUGGAAGGUGCACGUUCACUUGCUUGAACAUUUUCAUCAGUGUUAUCAGUAGGAGGAUACAGAGCUUUACGUACAAGAGUGUACAAUGGACCAUCUAAAACUUUGGCGUAAUCUUCUGAUUUAGCCACCGAACCAAUAGUCUGUGUACACAUUCAAGUAAACAAACCACAUCACACAACUUAGCAACCUGAGAAACCAAGGUUUAAUGAACUAAAGAAGCUGGAAAGUACCUCCUUGAAAAGUCUGAAACCGUUGCCUAGGAGCUGCCUAGACAUAAAGUUGAUCAGAGAUGGUGGAAUCAAGUCCAGCUUUAUAUCGAACUCCACUAUGUAUCUACAAAAGUUUUAUAAGAAACCAAGGAACAUUUCAAGUUCUGGUUACAUAAUGUAUCACUCUCACACUCAUCCUGAGAUUUUAGGGAAUACAAACAAUUUUAUAAUAAUUUUAAUAAUAAUUUCUUUUUUUACAAAUUUGGGAAGUUUUUGCUAUGUAGAAUUGUAGAUUAUUUUUUAAAAAAAUUGGGGCUUUAAACCAAUGUUUCAGCUCAUAUGACCACAGCACUCACCUCAAGUAACUCCUCUCCGGAGACACCUUUUGUAUAGCAACUCCUCCUACUAAAUCAAUCCUCACAGCAUUCACUGCUUCUUCAGAUAUACAGAUGCUCUCUUCUUCUGAUGCUGAGAUCUAAAAGAUGAUACCAACAAAGAGUAGUUUUAGUAGUGGAUUAGGAUGAAAACAAUCAAAGAACCUAACACGGUUUUACCGAGUUGAGUAGGAUGAUCACUAAACCGUCUUUAAAGUACUCGAAUAAGAAAAACUGCACAAUAGCUUCUCUGUUUGUCAUUGGCCAUGGUACUUUCACCCUUUCCUCCAGAAAAAAAAAAUAUUAUUAUAAUUAUUUCGGAUUUAAUUAUUAGAUUAGCUUCAUGAAAAUAGAAAGAAAGGAACAGUUUGUGAAACUGACUUCACUAAACAUAUCUGCUCAUUGAUCCUAAGCUUUUGCAAACAUUUACUUUGUAAAAUCCUGAAUGCUGGAAAUACAGAGUUUGGCCACCUGAAAACAUAGACACCAUUAAUUUACAUGUCAGAUAAUUAAUAAUUUGCCUUGACAGAACUAUUUGUAUUUAGGAUAUACUGAGUGUUCUCAUUGAGAAAUUUUUUUUUUAAGAGAAAAACCGCACAUUGUUCUGCCAUAUCAAGAUGUUUUGAAACCCAAAAUAUGCAAAAAAAAAAAAAAAAAAUCUCUUACCAUUUCUCAUAGAGUGAUGAUUCCCAUGAUACACAUAGACCUGCAUAAACGCAGUUAAAACCAAAUUGAAAACCUUUUUUCUCUCAGUCAUAAGAAAACUUACAGUCCUGGAUAGGCCCAUCCAUGUAACCUUCCACAAGCAACGUGUGAAAUGGACUUCCUUCAAGUCCUUCACGGUACAUAACACGACAAUCUUCAUGAUCAUGUUUCACCUUCAAGCAAGAAAAACGAAAAUAGUUUGCUAACAUGAUGACAAUUCUGUUUUCAAAGUUAAAGAUGCAUAUCAACAACAAAAGUCUUUCUCCAACAGAAUAGGAAACCAAAAAAAAAAAACAUACUUUCCAAUCACUAGACGAUGCUUCGUUGGUUGAUUUAGACAAAUCUUGAUCCUUUGUUGACACACUCCUAAGCUUGUCAAGUACACUAGAUAAAUCAGCUACUCUUUGAUCCAACAUAUCCACACUACAUUCUGUGAUCAAACAUGAAAAAAAAAAACAUUAUAACAAUGCAAAGAUAAAGCAAGUAAGAGAGUUUCCUCAUAUAGCAAAUGAGAAACAAGGGAAACCUUCUUCCUUAAGCUGGUUUCUGAUAAGGGUUUUAAGAGUUUUGUCAUUAGUGAGCUCAGGAGAUGUCAAGGUCUUGUCAAGUUUCUCUCUGUACUCACAAAUCUCUCGUUUUUUCUCCAUACAAUACACCUUUGGAAAACAAAUGAAUCCUCAAAUCGAAAUCAAAGAUGGUCAGAUCACGGAGCUUCGUGGGGGAAGAAUAAAAAGAAGAACUUAAACGUAAGGCAGUUACAAGGAAGCUAAAACUUUUGAGCUUUGCCACAAGAAAAAAAAAACUCAGCUAGGUGUUGAUAUGAUAUGAGUAAGCGUAACCCACGAGAUGGGCAAAGAACGUGGAGGUGUUUUCUCAAUAAGUAGUAAAUACUCUCUUAUUUUCUCGGGAAGAUACAAAAAAAGAUCUGGGAAAGAAGAAAAAGGAGAAUGUCUCAUUUCCCAAAACGCAUACAGUUUGCAUGGACAUUCCAAACUGAUUUAACUUUUUUGUUAGUCUUGUAAGGACGAGGUCGGUCAAGUGUCGCUAUCCGUUGAAUUAUGUAUGAAACCAUGAACCAUCUUCUGUUUUAAAGAAAAAAAAUCAAAAGAAAAAUACAAUUUGAAAUGAGAAAUAUUCUUAUAUGAUGCUUGAUUUUUAAAUAUUUUAAAUUUAUUUAGUUAAAAAUUGAAGAACAUAUUUAUAUGUUGCUCUAUGGCUCUACUUAUUGCGCAUGCAUUUUUUUAAAGAAAAAUGAUAUCAUAAAGCUUUAACACAAACAAUAAGAUUACUUAGAUAUAUCACUACAAAUUAGAUAAUAAUGUGCAUGAAUGGAAUUUUAUUUCGAAGUUUUGUGUAAAUGCAUGAAUCUAAGUUGGAAUCGAUUUUAUAAACAGAGCAAUAAUGAUGGAAUUGAUUGCUUUUAGAACAUAUAUACAUUAAAAAAAAAUUGUGUGUAAUUUUGAUGCAUUUGGUGUCUUCUGAAACCAUGUGGGUAAAUGAUGAGUUUAACUGAUGUACUGUAGAAACAGUUUGUAAGAAAGUUGAGUUUGGCUCGAAUCUCAAAAGUAUCAAUCAUGUUCCAUCUUCAUUAUCAUGUCACUCGUCUCUUUUCGUGUUCUCAUUCUAUGGAUGUAGCUGCAGCUUUUCAAAAUCCUAUCCUAUUGUAGUGAACAUGAUCAGCCAAAAAUCAUGUGUUCCAAACUCGAAUUAUAUAAUCAUAAUAGAAGUUAUACUAUACUAGAGACAAGGACAUUGCAACUACCACCAUAGAUUGAACACAGAGUGACGUAAGUAUCAAAGUUUCCAGCGUUAUUGUUUUAGACAGCCAUUAGUUUUCACAACACAUAGUAAGAAAAACAAAGUCUCACAUAGUUUUGAUAACACUUUGCUUAACUACUGACCGCAGCAACCGCCACCAUUGUUCUGUUGGAUUGGCUGACCUUUCAUUUGGACAGUUCCACUUCCUGAUGUCUUGUUUGCAUUCGUCUGGCUUCCCAUUCUGAAACAGUAAUGAUGACAUAUGGUCAGAUUCAAUAAAACGAAACUGAACAAGUAAAACUCUAUACAAUAAGAUCAAACACAUGAAAAAAUCUACCAUAUAUGAUAUAAUAACAGAAGGAAAGAGAACAUUAAUGCAGGAACUUUGUAUCUCUCCAUCAGUCAUCAAGACUCCAAAAACGUAUAUCCGAUUUAACAUUUUAAAUAAAUGGUUCAUUUCAUGAAUUGCAGCAGAAAUAACCCAGAGAAUGCUUUGAUGUAUAAUGGCAGUUAAUGAGAAGAAUUUAGACAAGCUUCACUAGGGAAUAUAGACUAAAAUGUUGCAGAAACUGAGGAAAUUUAAAAGACAGCGAACAUACUUCUUCUUGAUCUCGCCAGCAAUAGUUAAGAAUGCUUGUUCGACGUUGGUAGAAUCCUUAGCACUGGUCUCAAGAAAGGGAAUUCCGAGUUCAUCUGCUAAGGCCUGUAUGAAACGUAAGAUACGCAACGCAGGAGGAGAAACGGCUACUGAACAUAAGAUAAUUUUAAUCGCUGAAAUCAUAUUAUCUAACUUUGAGACUUUGGUCAAUGAUCAUAUAUACAUUCAUAGCCCCUUUUAAGCCGUGGUAUAUAACAAUACCAAUGAUCGUAUAAUCAAAUGAAAAAAAAGGUAAAGUUAUACGAAAGCAAUGCUAGCAACUCAUCUAGAUAGUGGAUGCGAGCUAACCUUUCCAGUUUCGGUGGAAACAACUUUACUUUCAACCAUAUCAUUCUUGUUACCAAUAAGAAGCUUGCAGACACUAUCAUUAGCAUAUCUGUCGAUCUCACUCAACCACUGCUUCACAUUGUUGAAGCUCUCCAUCUCAGUACAGUCAUACACAAUCUGUUGCGUAUAUCAUCAUACAAAUUCAUCAUUUUAAACACCAAAUAUUAAAAUAGUCUUCCAGGAUUCUCUUUCCCACUAACAAACAAAGCAGAGAAAAAUAUGCUAAAAUCGCCACAAGGUAAAGUCGUAUAGACUAAACCACUUAAAAGAAACUGAACAAAACACAAAUCUAGUUAAACAAAAAGUAAGAGUACUCACGAUGAUUCCAUGAGCUCCUCUGUAGUAGCUGCUAGUGAUGGUCCUGAAACGCUCCUGCCCAGCAGUAUCCCACUGAAGAUAACCAUCAACAGUAACACAUGAUUAUCCUAAACAUGUUAUAUACAAAUGAUCUUUCUUACUGAAGAGAAGAUCCACAGUACAUGACUUUAACAUAUACAAAAAUGCCUUAAACUCACGAUUUGCAGCUUAAUCGUCUUCCCAUCCUGCUCAAUCGUCCUAAUUUUCUGCAUUUCGAACCACAUUAUAAGCAAACUUCGUAAUGAAAAAUCAAUUCACAUAAUCAAUACUAUAUAGUCUAUGCUCUAUGGUCCUAAUUUUUCGCCAAUCGAACCACAUUAUAAGCAACUUUUGUGAUAAAUAUAAAAACUAUAUAGUAUAUGAUCGUUUAGGGGUUAUGAAAGUAACGUACGAAGUCAACACCAAUGGUACUUAUGUAACUGUCGAUGUACGCAUCAUCCUGCACACAAAAUCAAAUCGAACAAAAAAAAAAAAUCAGCGAAUCUCAUUUUAAACAAGAAAAGAGAAUCGAAUCAAAAUCAAGUCGAGCUCACAGCGAAUCGAAGAAGCAGGCAUGAUUUUCCAACGGAGGAGUCGCCGAUCAACAGAAGCUUGAAGAGGUAAUCACUACAAAAAACGCACAAAAGGAAGAGACGAUUGAGCUGAAGAGUCGGGGAAUGCGAUAGAGAGGGAAAACACUUACUACUCGUUGCUCAUGGUUUCUCGAGCUCUUGGUGAGUUUUUCCGAUUGAUUCGAGAGAUUUUUCCCAGGAAAAAAAGAAGUUUUCUAGGAAAAAAAUAAAAGGAGGUUACGGUUAGGCGUGUCGAUUAAAGUGCUGUGAACAUUGAUUGAACCCCACGACUUCAAUGUUGAUUUUCUUCUACAGUUUUUAAAUUAUUUUCCUUUACUUGUCUCCGUGACAAUAAAGAAGCUUUUGACCUUGUCUCACUAAUUUCUUUUACGUAGUUGGAACUUUAGACUUGAUCUUUUGGGCCUUUUAAUACAUAGUGGGCCGGGCUCAAAUCUUGGAGUUCGACCCAGCUAUCUAGUAGUGUUCCUUCCGGUUCUGGAGAGAAGUGGAAAAACAACUAUUAUGUUUUGUUCGGAGCUCAACGUCAACUUAUAUAUACUAGUGUUAAAUAAAACAUAUGGUAUUGACAAAUUUAAGAUUUAUAUAUGAUCAAUUUUUUGUAUAUAUGUAUACAGUGUUGGUUUGUUUGUAUAAUCAUCUACACGUUGAACUGAUAACAAUUUUAGUUGGAAUUGUGGAUCAAAACUUAAAAUUUAUUAUGGAUUCGAUAUAUUUUAGUAUUUUCUUUUACUAACUUAUAGGAGAAUAAAAUUUAUAUUUUUUCGAUUUUGAAGCUACACUAAUGAUGAUACUUAAUGAUGGUAUUCUUUGUUUUCAAGUUGCAACCGAUACUUUCUAUAGGAUCAAAGUUAGGUUAACAUGAUAUAUAUCAUUAAUUAAUAAGAAAGAACAUGAUCAUUAGCGUUUUCUUAAACUACGAUAAACAAUUAGGCAAUUCAUUCAUUUGUGCCAAAGUUUUUUCUUAAUCUUCAAUAUCAUUUUCCUAAUUUAAGUUCUAAAAAAUUGUGUUGUAAAGAAAAAAUAUUUGAUAUAUAGAUUCGUUUGGUAAUCAAUUUGUAUGUAUAUAUAUUUUUAUUAACAAAACAGAAUAAUUACUUUUACCAAAAUUUCCAUUAUGCUAUAUAUGUGUAUCACAUUAACGUUAUUAUUAUGUUUUCCAUGAUUAUCUGUGAGCAGUUUUCCAUAAUCAUAUCCGAGUAGUUUCUUUUAUUGAUAAUAGUUUAAUACAAUAAAAUAAGAAAAUUUAGUAAUUCAUAAUAUUAUUAAAUAACUAAAUAUUAGCACACAUUAUAUUUUUCAACGAAAAAAAUAUAAUUUUGUUUAAUUUGUUAAAAAGAUGAAAAUAACUUUUAACAUAAAACAAAAUAAUAAAAUUACUAAAAUUACUAAAAUCAAUAUUUUUAAAAAGUAUGAAGACCAUAGCAAUACAAUAAAUUAUAUAUAUAUAUAUAUAUAUAUAUGUACAUUAUACAGUUAUAUUUUAAAUACUCGGUUUAUUGGGUUUGAUCGGUUUAUAAAGAUUUCGAUAUUAGGUUAAGGUUGCUUAUAUCCCCUAUUAACUACUACGAAUUACACUUAUUAUAUGUUUCCUUAAUCCCCAAAUAAAUAUUAUCAAUGAUUGCCUCGGUGACAAAGUAUUUACAUUUUAAAUAGGGAUUUUCCUUAAUUACAUGUUACUAAAUUGUGUAUCAAGGCACUAUAUUUGAUAUUUAAUCAUAAGAUUUUUCAGAUAAUAAUCUUUAAUUGUUUCUUUUAAUAAGGAAAAGAUAACAAACAUACUAAAUAGUAAGUCAAUCUUCCAAGUCGAUAUUCGUUCGGUUCAAUUAAAAUAAAAAAUUCACAUCAAACCAACAUCAACAAUACAAAAUACGAUAUGAGCUCUGUAUAUAAUCCCGAUUUAGUUAGCCGAUUAUUACUUAUAUUAUAUGAUUUACAUAUAAUUAUAUUGUUAUAUUUUAAUUAUUCGGUUUAUUGGGUUUGAUCGGUUUAUAAAGAUUUUGAUAUUAUGUUAAGGUCGUUUAUAUUCCCUAUUAACUACUACGAAUUGCACGUAUUAUAUGUUUCCUUAAUUCCCAAAUAAAUAUUAUCAAUGCUUGCCUUGAUGACAAAGUAUUUACAUUUUAAAUAGGAUUUUCCUUAAUUACAUAUUACCAAAUUGUGUAUCAAGACACUAUAUUUGAUAUUUAAUCAUCAGAUUUUUUCAGAUAAUAAUCUUUAAUUAUUUCUUUUAAUAAGGAAAAGAUAACAAACGUAACAGUAAGUCAAUCUUCCAAGUCGAUAUUCGUUCGUUUCAAUUAAAAAAAAAUCUGCAUCAAACCAACAUCAACAAUACAAAAUACGAUAUGGGCUUUGUAUAUAAUCUCGAUUUGGUUAGCCGAUUAGGUUAACCGUUAUUAACAUAUUUCGAUUUCGUUUGGUUAACCGUUAUUAAUCUACAUAUAUAACGGUUAAACAAUAAUCCAUACCACGUAUACAAUCUUCUUCUGCUCAGUUUUCUGUUCUUCUCUUGUUGUUGCGAUAUGGGCUCUGUAUAUAAUCUCUUACUAGGAUAAGACCCGCGCCUUGCGCGGGAUUAAGUUAUUAUUUUUAUUAUAUUUUGGAGAAUGAGACAAUAGUUUGGCUUCAUUUAGAUUACGGGUGUUCAAUCCGGAUAUCGGGUUGGUUUUGGUUCGGUUCGGUUUUUUCGGUAUUUGGUUAGUAAAAUAUAACUACUAUUCUAAAUCCAUAUUUACUUUGACUUUAGUCAUUCACAUACUUUUGAAAGAUUUCAACUGGACGACUAAAUUGAUCAGCCAAUCUUGUUGCUUUAAAUCAUUAGUGUUUAUAUAUAUAUAUAUAUAUAUAUUAUUUAGUUUGAAUAUUUAUUAAAUAAAAAUUCAUAUGCGUUAUAUUUUAUGAUCAUUUGUAACUUAUUAUAACAAAAAAAUAAUCUAUUGAUCACAAAAUUUUCAGAGUGGGAAUAUUCAAAUUUCUAAUAAUAUAUAGACGUUUUGAAAAAUUCAAAUAUAACAUAUAAGAAAAAAUAUAAAUAUUUUUAUUAUAUAUUUAAUGUGAUUUUUUAAUAUCUUUCAAUAAUAUAAAAUUAAAAAAAAAAGAACUAAGAUACCAAAAUUGUUAUCAAAUAUUUAUUAUUCAUAAUAAUUAAUUUUCAUAUAUACGUUAAUCAUAUUACGUAAUUUCGUAGCUUCUAAUUAAGGAAAGUGCAAAAACAAUAUUUGGUAGAUUAUUUAUCAAUUCGAAUAUUCGAUAGUUAGUUUAAUAAAAAAUAUAAUGUAAGUUAAGAUGGACCAACCUAUUUUUUUAAGAAUAGUAUAUUUUAUAUAGUCAUUUAUUAAAUGAGAAUUUAUAAUCAUACAGUUCUAUGAUCAUUCAUAUCAUUUUAUAACUGAAUAUUUAAAUCAUCGAUAACAAAAUUUUCAAUGUGAAAUCUUUAAUAAGUUUAUAAUUUAUAAAUGUUUUUGAAAAUUCAUUGAAAGUUUUAAUAUUAAAAUAUUUAUGUAAUCUUAUGGUAUAUAGUAUAAUCUAUAUAUAUAUAUAUGUUUUAUUAUUAAAUGAUAUUUUUUACUCAUAUGGUUUUAAAAUCAUGUGUAUCUUCUUAUAAUAAAAAUGUUAAACCAUUGAUCAUUAAUUUUUAACAUAAUAAUUUUAAUAGUUUUAGUCAUUUAUUGUCGUUUUUAAAAAUUCAAAAUAUAACAUAUACGAAAAAAUCUAAAUUUUAUUUUUAUAGCUAAUUUGAUUGUUUAAUUUAUUUUAAUAAUAUAAAAUUAAACAAAAAAUGAUGGAGGAGAUAUACAUUGUUAUCAAAUCUUUAUUAUUAAACUCAUUAAUUGUCAUAUAUAUAUUAGUCAUUUAUGGUAAUUCCGUAGGUUUUAUUUAAGGAAAGAAAAUAUCAUAUCAUAUCAUUAUAUCAUAUAGUUUGACCAAUUUAUGUAUCUAACAACAUAUAAAAAACGAAUGUGGACCUACUUAUUUUUCAAUUGAAUGUAAUUGACUACCUAAUUGAGUGCCACCUAUGCAUUGGGGUCUCUUUUAAUUAAUACAAAAUUGAGGUUACAUCUUUUCAAAUGUUCCUCAAUUAAUAUAUAAGGGAUGUAUGUGCUGUUUACUGUACAAAGCUUCUGAGAUUGAUAAAUGAUUAUUAAGACAAUGUAAAAGUAAUAUUGUUCUUCAGUCCAAGAGAUCAGAACUUAUUAAAACCAAAUCACUAAUUGAUCACUAAAGCUUUGAUCCCCAUAGUUAUUGUAGUAAGGUUUGAGCUUUGAAGAUAUCUACAGAAAACCUAAUGUCAAGUUGUAUGAUCAUAUGUAAAUUGUUUCAUAUAAAUGUAAGUCAAAGGUUCGUAGUACAUAACCGAAUGUAAGAUGACUUGUUGAACGUUUUAUUAUGGACCAAUUUUUUAUUAUGCUUGUGUCUCACUAAUUUAUUAUGCUCGUGUUAACCGAAUGUUUAUAAGUAUAUUUUAUGUACCUAGUGAAGAUGAGAAUUAAAUUUGGACCAACUUUUUUUUUAAUUGAUUGUAAAGCUGCCACGUAAGGUAAAUUGACAUCUUAAUUGAUUGACAACUCAGCAAGGUUCUUUUUUAAUUAUUACAAACUUAAAGUUAUAUUUUUUAAAUGUUUCUCAAUUAAUAUAUAGGGGAUUAGCUUUCCAUCACGGCUAACAUACUACACCAGUGAAGUACCGCUGUGGCAGCUAAUAACAAACGAAACGGAUGCGAAAAAUUAAAUAUAAUAUUAAAAAAACAUUUCUUAUCAAAAUUGGUAAAAACCAAUAAGCUACAAAUACUAUUUAUUUCAUAUAUUUUAUUUUGUUUAUAUUCAUUUCAUAUUCACAGUUUAAUACUAAAGACAAAACUUAUUCAAGCAUACUUAAACCACAAAGUUACAAGACACAAAACCUAACUCUGAGAGGAAAUUGAGACCUAAACAAGCCAACUAUCUUAUAACGUCAACAUGGUCACCAUAAGAUUGGAUUUGAGUUUCGUAUCGGUUCAGAGGAGAUUCAUGAAAGAACUGUGGUUUUAACUAGUGUUCGGAGAGAGGAAUACAAAAACAAUGUAAGCAACAGGUUCAUUAGACACGCUUACAUUUGAUCAGACUGGCACUGCAUAUGACACACAUAAUACCAGAUGAGCAAAUAAAAUAUGAUAAUAACAAAUCCUUGCAUUAUGCUCCCUCUGUUUUUAAAAGAUGCAUAUUCUAUACUUUUCACAUAUAUUAAGAAAACUCAUUAAAUAUGCAUUGUUUUUUAUGAAUAACAAUUUUUCAUAAACUUUAGCCAAUAGAAAUUCAAUAAACACCAUUAAUUUUUUUGAAACUUACAUUUUUUCAUAAAAUCAUACAUUGAAAAGAUAAAAAAUGUAUCUUUUUGAAACAAUUUUUUUUUCUAGAACAUACAUCUUUUAGGAACAGAGAGAGUAUUUGACAUGUCCACCAUUUCUAUCAUUUUAUCGCUCUAAUCAAAUGUUGAUUAAAAAAUUCUUAAUUCACUAAUAUACAUUCUUACUUUUUGUCUAUAUACACAAUAAAAAUAGAUACUCCCAUAAUCCCACUCCUUAAUUUAUCAUUUAUUGUUUCCAUCAAAUCUGCUUUGAAAAAAUCAAUGUGUUUGCUAUGUAGCAAAAUUUAGCAAAAACAAAUAUAGACAAAACCCAAAUUUAAAAUCUCAGUGAUUUUCCUCAUCAAAAUAUCCUAGUUAUAAAUACACUACAUGACAACAAAAGAAAACAAUCUCAAUCUUGAUCUUAUUCAAGAAUCACAAAAAGGUAAAGAGAGAGAUUCAUUAGAAAAAUGGCGAUCGUGGGCCCUCCAUUUUGCGCACCGUACCCGGUAGAUUUGGGUAUCGUACGUAAGGUGAUGACUAUAACAGACGGCAACUUCGCCGUCACAGACGUUAACGGAAACCUCCUUUUCAAAGUCAAAGAACCAUUGUUUAGCCUCUCCGACAAAAGGUUCUUACUAGACGCUUCAGACAAUCCGAUUCUGACGUUGAGAGAAAACGUAAGAGCACAAAUUAAACCUUUUGUUUUAUAACGUGUGCAUGGAUUAAGUCCCAUUAUUCAAUUUUUUUUGUUAUGAAAAAAAAUUGUAGAAAGUGAGCCUGCACGAUAGGUGGCAAGUAUUUAGAGGGAAGAGUACUAACCAAAAUGAUUUGGUGUACACGUUGAAACGAUCGUCGAUGAUUCAAUUGAUGAAGCCAAAGCUAGACGUGUUUUUGGCUCAAAACAAGGAAAUGAAGGUAUGUGACUUCCAUGUUAAAGGAAGUUGGAUCGACCGAUCAUGCGUCGUCUACGCCGGCAAAUCUGAUGCCAUUGUUGCUCAGGUAAUCAUAUUUCAUCAUUAUCCGGUCCAUAUAGCUAGUUCAUACACAGAGCCGGUUUAUAGACUUAAUCGAAUGAAACACUAAAUUUUUGCCUCUAAAUUUUUAAAACCGAUUUAUACAGGUCCAUAGUAGCUAAUUUCUAUUGACAGAACUGACUUUAAGCACAAUCUAAUAAAAAUAUUCGUUUUGUUUUCCAGAUUUAAAGAAAUAUAUAUGUAAAUCGCAUGGUCCUAAAUUAUAAAAAAAAAUCUUAUUAAAAUUAAAUUGUUUAUGAUCCCAGAACUUUUUGAUUAUACCAUGUUCAUAUAGUCCGAUCGUAACGUUUUUUUGUUGUUGCGUUAUAUGGUUUUUCAGAUGCACAAGAAACAUACCGCGCAGAGCAUAUUAAUAGGGAAGAGUAACUUCUCGGUCACGGCUUAUCCGAACGUUGAUUAUGCUUUUAUAGUCUCUCUCAUUGUAAUUCUCGAUGACAUUAACCGAGAAGAUUCUGAAGACUAAACACACAAUUUUAAUGGAAUGAUUCUUGUUUUGUAAUAGUAUGAAAUAAGAAUUCGUGAAUCUUGAUGUUUUGUAUUGAUAUGAAUAUGAUAUUUUCAUGGAUACAUUUCUCUUUGUCUCGACAAAGGAUUAUCGAAAGUCUUCAGGGUUAUUCAGUUCCUUCAACAGGUAAUCGACUGUACUCUUGAUAAGUGUAACAUUUGACUUAGACAGCUUCUUCUUAUUCACUACUCUCUUUUUCGUACUUUUUAUUCUGGUAAAAGGAUCUCCAACUCAUUCUAUUUUUUGGUUUAAAAUAGUCUCGAUUAAAAAUGCUUUAUCCUGUAUUUUAAGACAAUCUUCAAUACAACUAUAUUUUCCUUCUAUAACAAAGUUUCUCUAUAAUAAAGACUAAUAUAGAAAUGUUUAAAAAAAUAGAAUAAUAUUAGAGAUGGUCUAGUAGUGUAAAAUCUGAUUUACUAUAUAAAUUGAGUUUAAUCCAUUUAUUUCUGUUAAUCACUCUACUUUCCCUCUAAAAUAUAUUAUCAUUAGAAUAGAACUAAUUCUAUUAUAGAAUUACUCUAUUUUUUUUAAAAUGGAACCAUUGGUGGUGAUCUAAGGAUCAUUAAUGAUUAAGGUUUGAUUGUAUAAUGCAUGUGAUUUAUCUAAAUAUGUAACAAAAGAUUUUACCAAUGGUCCAACAUGAGAAAAGAUUGGGAAAUUUCCAAAUGUUUUUUUGAUCAACAAUUUUGGUAAAAGAGUAAGGGUAUUUUCCUUUUUAUACAAAGCAAAUGGUGUGACAUCAUGGAAUGGUAUAUUCCAACGAGCAAAUAGCUCUACAUGUCGGCCACGGAUGAUGAUGAACCCAAUCCAAUCUUGAAUGAGAAUUUGAUGCAUGUUAGCUCCUUCUUGUGCCCAUCAAGCAUCUUCAUCGUAAGUGAGUAUUUACCCUAUGAGAAGUAACAUGAUUAGAUUGCUCGAUAAAUGCAGAAUCCGACCAACAAUUUCUGCUAUGGAAAAUAUAAUAAAACAAUCUUGACAACUACUAGGCCAUUUGUUAUGUUUGCUAAAGGAUAACAUAAAAUUCAAAUCAGCGGUUGACAUAUUAAACUUUGUAUUAAUUAAAUAAAAUGUUUGUUUGUUUAAUUAAAUAAUAUGUUUGUUUCAUACAAAUUUUCAAUUGUAUUUUGUGUUUUUUUUUUUUUUUGGAAUCAAUUUUAAAAUAAGUUUUUUUGUUACAUUAUUUAAUUAAUUUUAUUUGGUUAAGCACACCCUUAAUUAAGUGAUCUCCCUUUGAGAAUGUCCCAUGUUCCUAGCCUAAAUACAAUAUUAUACUACUAUUUUCACUCUAAGCACACACCUAACCGCUCCCCCUUUGAGGAUGCCCUAAUGACUCAGCCUGGUAGAGUAUAUCCCACAAAUCCAGGGGCAGAUCUGGGCACAGCCCAUCAAAAGAUCUAAGCAAAAAGAGAUAAAGAACACUCAAUAAACUUACAGGAGGAGUAUAACCGGGUAGAACUUGCGAGUGCGCUACUAAGAAAUCUCCAACUGCCACUGGACAACUUGUCUCAUCACAAAGAUCAUGCGUCUCAGAAUGAAUAUGCCACCCAAAGUAUGACACUUCGAUCACCAGCUUUCCUCGUGAGAUCACAUUAUCUUCAUAUACACAAAUCAAACAGAAAAAAACACCAUAAUUACAAGAGAAACUCCAUUUAAAUCUAUCAACUUCUUGAACAACAAUUAGACAUAACGAUCGUUCUGAGAACAUAACAUGUUCAAGUUUGCAAUUGACACUUUUACAGAACAAAACAUCACAACAAACAAAGAUAUGUGCGUCAUAUAUGCAAUGAAUGUGUACCCUCACCGAUCUUCUGUAUCACCCUUGAAGGUAUGACCGAUGUUUUCCCCAUUUCCUGCGAGUGCGCUACUAAGAAAUCUCCAACUGCCACUGGACAACUUGUCUCAUCACAAAGAUCAUGCGUCUCAGAAUGAAUAUGCCACCCAAAGUAUGACACUUCGAUCACCAGCUUUCCUCGUGAGAUCACAUUAUCUUCAUAUACACAAAUCAAACAGAAAAAAACACCAUAAUUACAAGAGAAACUCCAUUUAAAUCUAUCAACUUCUUGAACAACAAUUAGACAUAACGAUCGUUCUGAGAACAUAACAUGUUCAAGUUUGCAAUUGACACUUUUACAGAACAAAACAUCACAACAAACAAAGAUAUGUGCGUCAUAUAUGCAAUGAAUGUGUACCUGUGUUAGCAGAGAUGCUGAAAGUGGCUGGCUGGCCAGUAACUAUAGGAUCAGGCGAUAUAUCAACUCCAUGGACCUUUACUUGAUACUCUUCGUUGUUAUCUGCAACCAAACACAUACCAAAUCAGAUCAAGAUUCUGGGUUUCUCUCCAAAUUUAACAGGAGGAUCAUCAUCAUCAAAGACAUUGACUUUGAACCAAAACUAAGAUUCAAACAUCAAACCCAUCUCAAGAAUCAAAAGUCAUCGACUUUCAAUCUAAAGUUAACAGAAUCAACAUCAAAGACAAUGACUUUAAACAUCAAACCCAGCUCAAGAUCAUCAAAUUACAACGACCCAGAAUCAAAAGUCAUCGACUUUGUCAUCGAAAACACUACAAACGAGACGAAACACAGUUGAGUUCAAAGGGACCAAAACAUACCGCAGUAACUGACAUCGGUGGCUCUAACAAUCGUCGAGACGAAGAGAAGACAAGAGAUAAUAGCGAGAGCAAAUCUCGACAUGAUUGACAGAUUCUCGGAGCAGAAGAAGAGUUUUUUUUUCAGGAGUUUGAGAUGAUGAUUAGAGAGGACAAAGGAGACUAAAAACAAGCAAAGAGACAGAACAUACAUGCUUGAUUCGGGAUUCUCGUUUCACAAGGAAUGUCUGAUAGAUCUUGACCGUUCGUUUAGGUGGGUCCUUGAUUUAUGAAAAUUGACGGUUUGGAUUUUGUGGAAUGUGUGGUUAACCGCAGAGGAUUUGGCAGUGAACAAACCGUUAGGUGGGAUUUUUGUGUAUAAUUUCAAUUUGUGGUUAUCACUUGGCAACAAAAAAUAGUUGGAAUUUGCCAGCUCAGAUUUGACGUUUUUUAAUAAUACAGCUCAAAAUUGACUACCAUUAUUUUGGAAACAAAUAGAAUAAUUUAUUAGUUCAAUGAAUCUGCUCUUUCCAACAUGAAAUCGAUUUAUAUAUAAAACAUUUCUUCCUAAAUACUUCCACAAAUAUAAACUUUUUAAUAUUAAUAAAACAUAUUAAGUUGCAAUAAUAAAUGUAUCAUAUUUUUGUUGUUUUUAUUUUUUAAUAAAUUCUAACCAAUAGAAACUAAAUAAAGUUAAUUAUUUUUCUAACAAUUUACAACAUUUUAAUAGAAAACGCAAAAAUAGAUUUUUGUGAAACAAAUUUUGUUUUUUAAACAUCUAUUUUAAUAAAUAGAAGGAGUAUAAAAUAAUUUUAGAGAUUUUAGCACCUUUUCAGUAUUAUCUAUCCAAAUCAUAAUUGCGAGAUGACAUGACAUGACACUUAAUGGUGGUCAUUUUUGUUAAAAUAUGAUUAAUUAUUUUUCAUUUAUUAUAUUUAAAUUAAAAUUAAUAUCAAACUUAUAUAUCAUUGUAUGAGAAAUUCCUAAGGAUAACAGUUUUUUAAAUUUUGUCACAAAAAUAAUAUUUCAUGAGAAAAAUUAUCAACAUUUUUUUUAUUAAAAAGUAAAAAAUUAUUUAUAUCGUAGAGUUAACUAAUCUAAAUUUAAGGUUUAAAGUCAAAGGGAUGGGUUUUGAGAAUAUGGUUUCAAAUUUUUAAAAAUAAAAAUAGACUAUUUUGGUUAUUUUUUUUAUUAAAGGCUUUUUUGUAACAAAAACUCAAAAAUAACUAUUUGAAAGAAUUGUCUUAUAUGUAUUCUAUUUUAUUUUUUAUUUUUUAUUUUUCUAGAAUUUAGAAAGAAACAUUGUUUCUCUAAAGAUUUUGCGAAGGACAGAAUUGGCCAAAAUUCUUAUCUUAUUUAUCUAUUCAAUUUUUAGUAUCAUUUUUUUCCUUCAUUUUGUUUUUUCUUUUCUGUAGAAAUAUAUUAUAUAUUAAACAUUAUUUUUAGGCCCUCUUGGCUCAGGCCCAUAAGGUAAAAGGCUUAUUUGAUAAAUCACACUGACGACAAUUCGGAGCGAGAAGUUUCAAAGGAGCUUCUUUUUUUUUCUGUUCCUUUUUGACAGAUGGCUAGAUUCCUUCUCCUCUGUUUCCUCUUCGCGGCGGCGCUGACGUCAUCAUUGACGGAAGCCGGCGACGACAACAGAGUCUACUCUCCUUGCUCAGAUUCAACAGUCGCGGUAGGCGACGGAUUCACUUUCGGCAUUGCCUUCGCGGCGAGAGCUUCUUUCUUUGGCACCAAUCGUUCCGUUCAGUACUCUCCCUGCGAUCGUCGCCGCCUCUCCCUCAGCGGCAACUCUGAGCUCGCCGUGUUCAGACCUAAAGUCGAUGAGAUCACACUUCUCACCAUCAAUACCUCCUCGAGCUCCUCCAGUUUCCGCCCGGUUCGUUCUCAAUCUCUGAUCUAUCGUGGUGAAUUAAUGGUUUGUUCAGAUUAGAAAGGAUUAGGACCAUCGUAGGGGAGUUUCAGUUGGAUCUGAAUUUUUCUGACCAGAUUAGUUUAGUUUGUUGGGUUGUCGUAAAGUUUGGUAGUUAGUUGUCGUGAUGCUAAGCUAAUGGAUUUUAGUAGCUUCAUUGCUAAACAUGAUAUGAGAUUACUAAUUUUUUUUUUUUUUUGCUUAAAAGUUGAGGUCUUGAAUGUUUGUGUUAGCUUUUCAUGAUGAUACAUCAUACUUUGUGAUUCCAGGAUUCAUCAAAGGGAUACAUGGUAGCUUUCGCUGGUGCGAAAUACGCUGCAAGAUCAGUUCCAAUUAUGGUUGCUGACAACGAUCACGUCGUGACAAGCUUCACCCUUGUAAAGCUCAUAUCAGUCUACAUUUUCAUCUUAUAGAAACUUCUACCUCUAUGAUCAUCACAUGUGUUAAUCUUUAUUUUGUGGAAAUGAUCUUACAGGUUCUUGAGUUUCAGAAAGGUAGGCUUGAGAACUUGUUCUGGAAGAAAGACGGAUGCUCCAAAUGUUCUGGAAAUGCCAAAUUCGUGUGCCUCAACAAAGAAGAAUGCGCUAUUAAAAGACAAAGCUGCAAGAACCAAGGAGGGCAAGUAGAUUGCAGCUUGGGGAUCCAGUUGGCGUUCUCCGGCACGGAUAAGCACUACACCGCGUUGAACUCGUGGUACGAAGUUGCGAAUCUGAAGCAGUACUCGCUUUAUGGCCUAUAUUCUAAUCUGAAGGGUUCACUAAGCAGCCAAUUCAAUAACCUCUUCUGAUGAGUUUCUUUCUCCUCAUGUGUGUUGCUUCUUUUGUAAUUUUGUAUUAUCAAACGGUCCCGUCCUCACAUGAUGUAUGAUAUAUAUUUACUUUAUUCUAUUACAUGGCUUGUAACUUUUUCAUGAACAAAGAUUUACGCUAUCAAGUGCGUUUGGUUCAAAUGCUCUCAUAUACCUCCGCCAAACACAACAAGAAAAACACAAAAUCAUAUAAAGUGCACCAAAUAAUAGCAACAUAGCAUCAUAGAUAGAUACAAAGGAAAUAUUCUACUGGUUUGAUUAAAAAGGUUUCAAAGAAAGAAUAGAUUUGCAAAUUACGAAACUCACUUCAACGCAAUAGAAGACGCCUUGCCUGAGGAGGAUUUGGUGGUGACCCUUGACCUGAAGUUGGCUGACCUCCACCACCACCGCCACCACCACCUCCGCUGUUCCAUGGUUUAACGACAGCAAGAACCACAACAACUAUGAUAAUGAUGAGAAUGAGAAUAGCGAUACAUGUCCAUUUACGGGUGUUCUUCUGGUAAACCCGAGCGGUCUGCAGCUGCUCAGUUCCACCUCGGAUAAAGGAGCUAGCUCUGCCCACGUGGCUCUCGAUGUCGUCGAGCUGAGCUCCCUGGUGCUCGACCAGCACCGCCAUGUCGAGAAACACUUGGUGAAGCUCCCUGAGAUUUUUCUCAAUGUCUUUAACAGCGUCAUGCCUCUCUUGGAUCUCGUUGAUGGUGUCUAAGACACGUCCUCUUCCUUGUUCUUGUAUUGCUUUCUGCAAGAAUCUCUCACUUUCUCCUGCAAUAAAAACAGUUUCCCAACGUUACACACCACUCACCUAAAAGCAUGUCUAGUUUCUGAUCCCACGCUUCUUUUCAAAUCCAGGUCUAAGCAUGGCAUGCGGAUUCGAACAUAACCGAACCAAAUCAGUUCAGGUUCGGUUUGAGUUCAGUUUAAUUCCACAAUUGAAAAAAAAAAUCAGUUGUCGGUAGGUUGACAAUCAGUUCGGUUUUUCAAAGAAAAAAAAACCAAAUCAUACCGAUUUUAACCAAAUUCUAAAUCAAACUAAUCAAAAUUUCCACCUAUCAAACCGAAAUAACCAAAAUUAUCCAAUUUUUAAAUUAAUUUAAACCAAAAUCUAAUUGAAACCGGAAACUUUGGUUAAAUUCGGCAGAAAUUCAACAAAGGAGCUACACAAAUACCAAACCAAAAAAAACUUCGGUUCAAUCCGCCACAGCUUUCAGCGAAUUGAACUAACCGAAUAACCAAAUUAACCGAACCGAACUACCCGAAGGAACCGAACAGACUAUCUAAGCAUCCAAACUCCGAGAAUUCAACUAACCUGUAGAGAUCAACCGAUCCAAAGUCCUCUCAUCCGGAUUCUCUCCGGUGACAGUGAAGUACCUCCUCUGCACAGUAUCCCUAUACUCAGACGAGAUCAGCUCCCUCAAGCGGUUGAAACUAUCCAUCGAAUCCUUCAGCUUCUUCCUCAAACCAUUGAGAACAGACGUCCGUGUACGAUCCGACGAGGAUCCAGGUCCACAUCCGGGAAGGCUCCGAUUAGCGGCGUUGGAGCGAUCGAGCGCCUCGAGUUUCACCUUGAUCAUCUUCGCUUUCUUCAGAGCCACUCCGACGUCAGCGUCCAUCUUGGAACGGAGAUCCUUGACGGCUUCGGCAUUGUGAAGCGUCUUGCUGUGCUCGUGAGAGGAUCGGAGCGUGUCGUUGAGCCGAUCUAGCUCCUUCAGCUCUUCUUUGACGGAUUCGACGUCUUCGAAGAACUUGUCGAGGUUAACUCCCGCCGGAUGCGUCAUCUGGACUCCUCCGCCGCCGCCGCCGUUGUCUCCGCUGCUGCUGCGGAAGCGGGAGAAUGAGCUGGAAAACAGAUCGUUCAUCGAGAAUCAAAAAUCAAACUUAAAAGUCGAGAGGGAUUCAGAUCGUAUUCGAUUAAGAGACUUAAUAAGGAAGGAAGAAAGUCGUACUGAUUCAACCACACGGUUUGGUGGACGACGGAAGAAGGUAGAGAGAGAGAGAGGAAAAGUCCAAAAUUUAAUUAUUUUGUUAUAAUAUGUUUUUUUUUGGAGAAAGGUCAAAAGAGGAGAGAGGAGGGAGAAAGUCAAGAAGGAGGACUUGGUGAUUGACUUGGAAGCUUCGUAGUGAUGGCGGAGAAGGAAAGCUGAUAGUGAAAGCGUGUAGCGUUCAAAUAUGGUAAGCAGAUAAAACCAGAGCGAAGAGAUUAAUUGUCAUUGUUGGGACAAUAUUUAGGCCCAAAUCAUCAGGAAUUCUAAUAGGCCUGGGUUCAUUUAUGUCUUUUAGCCAUUAGAAAUUUAAAUUUCGAGGUUUUUUUUAAAACAAUUUGAAUUUUGAAGUGAGUAUUGACUAGGGCUGGACAAAAAAUUUGAAUCCGAAAAACCGAACCUGAUACGAAAAAGUAGUACCAAACCCGAACUAAAUUGAUUAAAUAUCCGAACGGGUUCAAAAUUUUGGUAUUUAGAGAACCAAAACCAAACCCGACCCGAAGUGAAGUAUUUUGGGUACACGAAUGUAUCUGAAAUAGAUUUAUAUACCUAAGUAUAUUAAUUAUUUUUUGGUUUAAUGUAUAUUAAAAAUAUCUAAAAUAUAUAAGAUAAUUUUAAGUUGUCCAAAUUUUUUGAAAAUAUAUACAAAUAGCAAAAAUAAAUGUCUAAGAUAGCUAAAUAUACUCAAAACACCAAAAAUACUUGAAAUAUCUAUUGAUUAUCUAUCCAAAUAUUCAAAACAAACCAAUUUAUAUAUUAAUUUUAGGUAUUUUGACAUAUGUUAUUCAAAUUUUUAUGUAAUAUAUUAUUUUAUUUAUAAAUUUUGAGUUAUUUAAAGUAUAUAAUGAAUUUAAAAAUUUAAAAAUAAUUUAAGUGGAUUAUCCGAAUCCGAACCAAACCUGCAAAUAUCCGAACCGAACCCAAACUAAAAUUUAAAAAUAUCCAAAUAAGGUUAAAAUCUUUGAUCUAAAAAUCCGAAACUUAAAUAGACCCGAACGGAACCCGAAUGGGUAACGGAACGUCUGCCCAGUUUUGACAAGGUCACAUAUGCUGGUGGGGCAAAAAGUGAAAUGGAUCGGUAUCAAACUCUCCGCUCGGUUCCAGAUUUAUGGGUUCGACCGGCCGGUCUAGAUCUGAAAUCACUGCUCAUCAUCCUCGUCACUCUUAUAUGAAACACGAGACCUAAAAAAUAAAAACCCUAAAUCACACUCUCCUACACUCCGUUCCCUCCCAUUUCUCCGUAAGCUAUUUCACGCAUCUACGAUGGCGUCGAUGAUGGUAAGUCAUACCUACACUCUCUCAUAUCUGUUUAAACUCUAACUGACGCGAAUCUACACUCUCUCUCUGCAGCAACCGCAAAUCAUACUGCUCAAGGAAGGCACAGACACUUCCCAGGGGAAAGCGCAGCUACUGAGCAACAUCAACGCCGUCACUGCCGUAGGCGAUGUGGUUCGAACCACGCUCGGUCCACGAGGGAUGGACAAGCUCAUCCACGACGAUAAGGGAUCCGUCACCAUCUCCAACGACGGCGCUACCAUCAUGAAGCUCCUCGACAUUGUCCAUCCCGCCGCUAAGAUCCUCGUAGAUAUCGCCAAAUCGCAAGAUUCCGAGGUGCGAUUUCGCAAAAUUGAAUAGUGAUUUUGUUACUAUUGAGCUGGAUCUUUGGAUCCUUGAGUGUUAGUGAAGAUCUUAUAAUCCGUUGUGAGUGAAGCUUGAGCUAAGCGAAGAAGAUGAUGUAACUAACUUUCUAUAUUGAUCUUAUCUGAAAAUGUCACUGGUUUGUUACUGGUUCACUCAAUGCAAUUACCAAUACUUAAACCACACUAAACCAAUACUAAAAGACAGUUAUAUACUCCAAAAUGGAGUAAAAAUUGAAUUAUUCCAUAAAUAGAGUAAUGCUUUUAUUUUUUGUUCAUUGGAGUAAAAUAUGGAGUAGGGUUGGAGAUGUUCUAGUAUGCGUGAUUGUGUUCAUGAGCUCUGAAUAUUCUCCUGUUUAUGCUGUUAUUUAGGUUGGUGAUGGGACAACUACGGUUGUUCUUCUUGCUGCUGAGUUUUUGAAGGAGGCUAAGCCGUUUGUUGAGGACGGUGUUCACUCCCAGAAUCUGAUUAGGAGUUAUCGCACUGCAAGCACUUUGGUUUGUAUUUUUCUUCUCGUUACUACCUUUGCAGCUCUUUUUGAUUACUCUAAUCACCAAUGUAUAACUGCAUAGGCAAUUGAGAAAGUUAAAGAACUUGCUGUUAGCAUCGAGGGUAAAAAUGAGGUGAUGGAGAAGAGGAAGAAAUCAAAGAAACAUGAGUCCUCUAAGCUUAUUGGUGGAGAAAAAGAGUUCUUUGCUACUAUGGUUGUUGAUGCUGUUAUGGCCAUUGGGGAUGACGACAGGCUAAAUUUGAUCGGAAUCAAAAAGGUAAAUACUUUCUCAAUCUAAAUCAUUUUGUUUCUUUCAAAAUAUUAGUAUUCUAUUUUCUUUUGUUAAUUGCUUCGCAUUGGCUGUUACGUUCAUGUUACUUGAUUUUUUAAUCGACUAUGCAUCUAUGUCCAAACUUGUGCUGUGUUCUGUCUGACUCUAUCGUGCCAUUUAAACUCUGGCUAUUAAUGGAUUUCCACUUCGCUUCUUCACAGUCCAAUAGGAUAGCACUUCCAUUGUUUCACGCAGUUUUCUAGUCGUAGACAUGUACCAUUAUUGUAAAUCUGCUUCACUCCGCAUCAAUUUACUGAAUUCAUUUUCAAGUUCCAGUUAGAUUUAACGGGCAUAGUGCUACAUGGUACAAAUGAUUGGCAAUUUGACAUCUAUGGUAGAUUGUCUUAGAUUGGGAGUUUUUAAAAUCCAGGUCGUGUAAAUGAAACUUCCAUUUGUGCUUGGUUAGUGUUACUUCUAAGCUAUUUUAUGUUAUGCUCUGCAGGUUCCUGGUGGUAACAUGCGGGACUCUUUUCUAGUAGAUGGUGUGGCUUUCAAAAAGACAUUCUCAUAUGCGGGUUUUGAACAACAGCCAAAGAAGUUUCUUAAUCCCAAAAUCCUCUUGCUUAACAUCGAAUUGGAGUUGAAAUCUGAGAAGGAAAACGCUGAGAUUAGGUUGGAAUUCUGUCUCCUUUUGUUAAAUGUUCUCUUCAGUUAAGCAUUUUUAUUCCUUAUUUGACUUGAGUCUUGUCAUAUGUUCACAGACUGUCAGAUCCGUCACAGUACCAGUCAAUAGUUGAUGCAGAAUGGAAUAUCAUUUAUGACAAGCUAGACAAAUGUGUCGAAAGUGGAGCUAAAGUUGUUCUUUCUCGAUUGGCUAUUGGUGAUCUAGCUACUCAGGUUUGUCGAUUCCUAAUUUCUCGAUUGACUAUUGAUGUCUUUCUUUAUUUCUAUAGAGAAUCUUUGAGGCAUUAUUACAUUGGUUGGUUAUAGGUACUACGUUCUAGUGUAUGAAGAUGUUUUAUUUCGUCAGAAACCUAACAUAUUCGUUACUCUUGUCAGUCAAUACUGUUCAGAACGAUACGUUGCAUCUUAUUGUUUAAUUUUCGUGCUAAUCAAGAGUUUUACCGUUUUUUACUCGUUUAACAGAAGACAGUUGGCGUUUUUUGCAGUAUUUUGCCGAUCGUGAUAUUUUCUGCGCUGGCCGUGUAGCAGAAGAAGAUCUUAACCGCGUGGCUGCUGCGGCUGGAGGAACAGUUCAGACAAGUGUUAACAAUAUAAUACCCGAGGUUAGUGAGAAAUGGACUUCUUUGCUUGCUAUCUAGAUAUGCUUACAAGUUUUGAGCGACUUGUUGAUUAUGUUCCUUUGAAUUAGAGAUUGGUUUUAAUUUUGUGCAGGUUCUCGGAACUUGUGAGAUAUUUGAGGAAAAACAAGUUGGUGGGGAGAGGUUUAACAUAUUCAGUGGUUGUCCUUCAGGACGUACAGCUACUAUUGUCCUCCGUGGUGGAGCUGAUCAGGUAUACUUCAAAAUUUAAACAUUGGAAGGCUUAAGGAAAUAGAAAAAAAAACCGUAUUAAUAUGAUUCCUUUGAAACGUUAAUGGCAGUUCAUCGAAGAAGCUGAGCGUAGUUUACAUGAUGCGAUUAUGAUAGUGAGAAGAGCCGUGAAGAACUCAACUGUUGUUCCUGGAGGUGGAGCGAUAGAUGUAAGUGCCCUUCAUCCACCAUGGUUUGUUUUCAAAUGGUUACACAUAAGUUAAUAACAUUGACAAUGCUCCUUGCUGUAGAUGGAGGUAAGCAAGUACCUGAGGCAGCAUUCAAGAACAAUUGCUGGGAAAUCACAGCUUUUCAUCAACUCGUAUGCAAAGGCCUUGGAGGUACACUUCUAGUUGACUUAGAUGUUUUGCUUUUAUUCCUCUCAUUUCUGAAAAUCCCAUAACUUCGUAGCUGUGUUCUGUAUUAUAAGGCAUUGAUAGAGUAGAGAUGUUUUCUGUUUACUUGUUAUUGUGUACAAUAGAAAUCUGGUAAGGAGGGUCCGAAACUCCGAAUUAAUAUUUGACCCGGACUUGAAAUUUGUUGGUUUUAAAUUCACUAUGAUUUGUGGUGUGUGCUACAGGUUAUUCCACGGCAAUUGUGUGACAAUGCUGGAUUUGAUGCAACGGAUGUCCUGAAUAAGUUAAGACAAAAACACGCCAUGCAAAGCGGUAAGCCUUUUCUUUCACGGUCACAAGCUUGAUGUAUUAGUCUUUUGAUAGGAAGCGCAGUUUCAUGUGAUGAUGCUACCAUGUUUAUGUUAUAAUAGGUGAAGGAGCUUCUUAUGGAGUGGACAUUAACACUGGUGGAAUCGCUGAUUCCUAUGCUAACUUUGUCUGGGAACCAGCAGUUGUUAAGGUAUUGCAAAAUUCUAUAAACGUCUACCUGCUAAUAUUCUAUUUUGUAUGACUAUCUUUUAUAGAAAGGUUUAUUGAUGAUCGGUUGUUUCCCUUUGCUGUGGCAGAUUAAUGCCAUAAACGCUGCGACUGAAGCAGCUUGCCUUAUUCUUAGCGUGGACGAAACUGUGAAGAACCCUAAAGUAAUUAAUAUUUUAUCUCAUUCUCUGUUGUAUGUUUUGAUAUUGUGAGUAUGUAUUGUAAUGAUAAUUGUAUCAAAUAUAAAAAAUGCAGUCUGAGAGCGCACAGGGAGACGCUGCCGCAGGUGCUAUGGGAAGAGGACGCGGUGGAGGUGGAGGUCGUGGCCGUGGUAUGAGGAGGCGAUAAGUUUUGUUAUUUUUUUAGUCUUAUGGCAAAACUUGCAAGCUUCUUCUCUGAAUUUUAGUUUUGUUGAAUUUUGUCUUGAAAUCAAAAGGAGCUAGUGUCUCGUGUUUGUGUUUAUUUGACUUAUGUCCAUACAAUUUUUGAAAUUGAAAUUUCAGUGUGGGUUUUUGUUACACUUGAGAAACUACUUUUGCUUUAUUGGAUCAAGACGGAGAUGAAUCAAACUGUAGUAGCUGGCGAUGUAUCUCUCAACUACAUAUUGGCCUGUAGUUUUUUUCCGAACCAACUGAACUGGAGAAAUUUUUUUCGGUUUUUGAUUCGAUUUCUGAUGAGAGUCCGGCUUGAUUUGAUAGAUAAGAGGGAUGGUUAUCGGUUCGGCUUAGUUCAGUAAUUGGUUACAGUUUUUUAUUUUUUCAAAAAAAAUUUGUAACCAAACCAUUACCCACUCUAAUCAAAAAUCUGAAUCAAACUAAUUAAAUUUUCAACUGAGCUUAUAGUAAUUAACUGCACUUAUCUCGAUUUGUAAUGAAAUCAAAACCUUCGGUUAAGUCUACUGGAAAUUUCAAAAACUGAAUUAAUAAAAUAGCGAACCGAACUUUGUUUUGGAUUAAUUAGGCAAGAUUAAGAUUAACUGAAUAAACCGUACUAACUGAAUCCGCAUGCCCAAACUAUACAUCAUCAUUUUGGUGAUAGCAAAAGUUGCCAUUGAAUCAGUACUUUCGUUGGUUCAGCAGAUUGAUUAGUACCCCUGUUCUAAUUUAGUACACAAAGGAGAAAAAGCUAAACAUUAAGUUUUGAGUAAAACUCGGCGAGUAGAUCUUCGUGUGAAGAGCUUAAAAACUUAGUUAGUAAUCUUACGUCAAUGCAUGGAAACUUCUUCAACUCAUCAAAAUGAUCACUAAGUAUCUCUUUAGCUUUCUCUUUCAAACUCAAACCACAGUCCACUCUCAGAACGGUACAAAGCUUCUCCACCGUCCCAACGCAAACCAUCUCUUCCACCACGGCCUUCUCCGGAGACAAUUUAGACACCGUGCUUAGGAUAAAGAGAGCUCUAUCGUCAGCUGCAAUCGAAACUCCCAACAACCGUUUUGUCACUAUAGCGAGUCCACCUCCAUGAGCAAGAAUCUCGGCUCUACCGUUUGUACAACAACAUAGACGAGACAAGACUCCUAACACAAGCUCCGUGGCUCUCUUCUCGCCAGUUGAGCUUAUCUCGAGUUCGAUGAGUUGGGAAACAGCACCGAGUUCAAUAAGGAUGUGUUUGUUGCGGCUCCACGAAGAGGUCUCUAGAAGAAUCAUCAGCGCGGCGGUCACAGCUUGUUUAAUAACCAAGUUAUAAUCAAGUUUUGAAUGUACCUUGUUUCUCACUCUAGGGUUUGAUGACUGCGCCGUGUCACUCACGUUAGGGCUAGUUCGGUUGAAACUACUUACUACUUCCUUGAGGAAACCUAUGAUCCCUUUUAAAAUCUCGGGAUUCAAUCUCUCCACGAUAUGAGAGGAAGUGUUUUCAGUUAGAUUCCUCAAAAGCACGAUUGUGUAAGCUUUGUUGAGGAAGUUUUGUUGGUUUAGAACCAAACUCAAUGAUUCCAAGAUCUGAUCGUUUUCCAUCAAGAUUGUUCUUGCGUCGUUUAAUGGAACACCGAUCAUGUGAAGAAGACGUAAAGACUCAUCUAGCUGCACUUUGAUACGACGUUGUGCCUCUUCUUCUUCUUCUUUACGGGUACACUUGACUACGAACAAGAUCAAUAACCUAUGUACGCCUCCUUCAUGCAUCAGUCUCCUAUUUGUCUCUCCCUCCAUAGCCAAAACUUCUAGCUUCCUCAACGUAUCUUCUCUUGCUAAUGCUGUUCAAUUUAAACAGAAACAUAUUUUUGUCUUAAACACUGGGUUAGGAAACCUAAACAAAACCGAAUCUAACUUAAAUUUGGUCCAGCCGAACCUAUUUCUUUAAAGAAACUAGACAUGGAAUUCGAGUACUCAUUUGGAUAUUCAAAUUUUUAGUGUGAGGGUAUAAGCCCAUUCGAGUUUUCUAAAUUUUGGAACGGGUUAGGAUAUAUGUUCAAGUAUAAUAUUUUUUUAAUUGUUUGAAUCUUUUACGUUUCGCGGUGGUUCGAAGAUUUUUACCUAAAAUACUUAUUAACUAUCCCAAAAAAAAUAAAAUAAUAAUAGACAACAUAGAACUUUGAAUAAUAUAUGUUCAAAUACCAAAAACAAACAUAAAAUUAAGGUUUUGAAUACUUAUUUAGGUUUUGAAUACUCUUUUUGGAUAAUAAUUCAUAUUUUGUACAGAUUUGUUUUGGAUACUUUUUAGGUUUUUAGAUUUUUUGGGUAUCCGUUGGUGUUCGUUAGAAAAAUAAAUUAAUAACUGAUAUACUAAAUACACACUAUAUAAUAUAACUAGAUCAUGUUUUUACAAAUCGGUUAGGCUUUGGUUAGGAUUUUUACAAGUUGAAUUCAGUUCUAUCGGGUUGAGAUACAAAUGUUGAGGCCUAAAAAGCAUUUAAUUCUUUGUUGAAAUAUGAUUUUUUAACUGAAAGGAAAAUCAAACUAAAAUGUUGCCACAUCUAGCUGAAUACUGAAAUAACCGGACCAAACCGAGUUAUCCUAAAACAUAAUACACAAUAAUACCUUCGUCUCCAAACUUUUUGAGAUUUUUGAUCUCCUCGACUACGUUAGGCUUCCCCGGAGGAAUUCUAGGCGUAGGGAUUCUAACAACACCAAGCGUCGCAUUCUCCACGCACCAAUGUUGGAUAAGACGGCGAAGCGUAUGGUUAGGCGUAAGGUCGGAGUCAGAAGAAAGAGGCUGCUUCGUCACGGGACAAGAAGAGACCUUCUCAAGCCAUUUAUCUAUGCUUUCACGGUCGUAAGUGAUGCCAGAAACGGCUAUGACUGGAUCUUUCAUAAUGUCUAGUGAAAUUGGGCAGAUGAAGUAAUUAGGGAUCUCUAUCUCCUCAUCUUCAUGAUCCAUUUAAAAAUUAACGUAUGGUUUUGUAUUACAUUGUGUGUAUAUAAAUAUCCAUAAUGAUGUAUCACAAGUGGUGGUGGUGGAAGGUAAGAGGUGGCGGCUGCGUUUACUUGAGGACAGACUUUGUCGAACUUUGAAUUCCACAAACAAGAAUAUUCACUAUCAAACAUACACGUGCAUUAGUUUUCAAUGCAAUCAUGGAUGUUAUAGUUUGAAUUAGUUACAUCUUUUCUAUAUGCUCUUUCCUAGUUUUAUAUAUGUGUUUAGGCUAUUGCCAUUAUUUUAUUGCUGCAAUAUGUAACAUGUUUUGCAAAUACACUAACCUACUAUGAUUGUUCGGAAACUCGCUCGCUAGACGAAACGUGUGAUUGAGCUGAACCUAGGCAAGUUAAAAGAAAACCGAAAAGAUUAGAAAGUGCUUGAAUCGAAAAAAUAGAAAGUGUUUUGGGUUUCUAAAGCUAUUAUCAUUUAUCAAGUUAUAGUUAUAUAUUUAAUAUUUUUUUAAAAAAUCUAUUAAAACUCACAGAAAUUUUAUGUUUGUUUAACUUUAACGUCAACAAUUUAAAUAUAUAGCAACAAAAUAACAGAGUUGACUUUUCUAAAACGUAGAAGUCCAUUCCUUAAAUUCUUCAUAUUCUAUAUUCUGUUAAAAAAAAACUGAGCAUGACGAUUGCAAAUAUCAUAGAACAAGAAGUUUUAGAUUUUACGUUCGUCGUGGAAAACGUAAAAAAGGCUGCAAUAUUAUAUACAUUGUAUCUUCUUUCACAAGUUACAAGAAAACGUCAACAUCAAGAAUUUGCGUUGGUGUCGAACCGUGGCUCACGAACACUCGUGACUAUUAUCGGUGUUAAGCUAGAUGGGCUUCUAACCUAAAACCAAUUGGUGCUAAGUGGAGUGGCCCAUCCAUCUUAUAUAUUGCUAAGGAUCCCUUCCAAUAUUCGAUGUGGGACAUUUAUCCCUAAUACGCCCCCUCGAGAUGAUGGCUCUUUGAGCGUCAAUCUCGGAAUGUUCGGGCAAGAAUCGAUGGGCCGACUUUGGGCUGGAUCGAUAAUGGAUCGGAUUGGACUGCGUGGAUCGGGCUCUGAUACCAUGUUAAGCUAGAUGGGUUUCUAACCUAAAACCAAUUGGUGCUAAGUGGAGUGGCCCAUCCAUCUUAUAUAUUGCUAAGGAUCCCUUCCAAUAUCCGAUGUGGGACAUUUAUCCCUAAUAAUCGGUUGUCUGGUACAUGUACGCAUCAUAUAUGACUGACUUGUAUAAGUUACAUGUAGAACAUUCUGAAAGUGCAUGCAAUUGAGUCACUUUGUUUUUAACUAUACGACAGAUAACGAGACUCGAUAGUCUUUAUUGGACCACAUAGAUAGGUAUUUAUUCCACCAUUCACGUGGGGUUUUUGGUCCAACUCCGACCACUUGUGGCUGUAUGCGCCUGACGAUUGAGAAUCGAAUGUUAGGACAACCCUUGUAAUAAUUUUAAGAUCAGUCGUUUGAACUAGUCAAAUUCUAAAUGUAUGGGUGUAUUAAAUUGAAUGAAAUAGUUUGUAUUGAAAUGAAAAAUUCAGUGUUAUUCAAAUAUAGUUUUUUUUUUAAAAAAAAAUUCAGUGUUAUUUUGUUUGAUUAAGUAUUUUGAAAUUCAAUGUUAUUGAAAAUACUUUAGGACCUGAAUUCUAAAAUUAUUUUAAUUAAUUUUGAGUGCUUUGAUAGAGUUUUUUAGUUAAAAAUACAAAUCUAAAUUUCAUAUUUUUAGAUAAAACUUUAACAAAAAUCAGUGUGAAUUCUGAGUUCACUGUUCACCUAAAAUCAAUUUAAAACUCCCUGAAAAGAAGAUUUUAAAUUCUAAUUAAAUUGAAUAUACUCCGUAGAAUUUAGAUGGUAAACACGUACUUAGAGUUUUUUUUGUAAUAUGCAAUAUGUUGAUUUAAACAUUGAGUGGUAUGGUAAGUCUAGCGAGUGAUCUAACACACACUAAUGAACCAUUAUUCCAUUUCAACCCCCAUUCUUAAUACAGACCUCUCAGUAACAAUUUUCGAAAUCUAAUCCAUUUGUAUUUGAUGUACAUAUGCUUGGAAUUCUAGAGUCAGGAGAAUUAUUUUGUUUGCAUGAAUGGAUUGGAUAUGUUUCACACUUGCGUGCUCCUGAGACAUCUCCAUUGCCGUGAUCGAGAGACCUUUUCUAGAAGCAUUUGUAGGCUCAUGUUGUUUGCUGACAUCCCACACAUGCACCUACACAUUUUCAUUGGAACAUAGACGAAUCUAGGUUUCAAAAUCACCUCCUUAGAUACCAACAGUAACUUCUAACUAUCAAAACAAAACAAUGUCUCUGUGUUUGGAGUAAUCUAAGUGGAGAUUCUAGUGUAAGAGAUCAACUUCGUCUUUGUAUCAAGUACUUUUAUGAUUAAAUGUUUUCAAGUAUUUUCUCAAACAAAUUUUUAUGUAGCACAGAAACUAAACAAAGUUUGUUUACAAAAUACUUACUUGCUUCGACGUGCCUUAAUUUUCAAUGAAACAAAAGAUAUGAUCCACUGCAUAGGAAUAAUAAUCAAAAGAACAAGUUAGAGAGUGAGACACACCUUUAAAUGAAGAUUGUUCCUAUCACUAUGUUUUGUCUUAAUAAAGAAUAGAUGAAAACCCAAGAAUUGGGAUAAAGAUUCACCUUAAAGACUGGCGUGACGUGAAAGUCAAUGGCCCAGUAGUGGAUGCUUUCCGUAGAGGCAACCUCCAUUGAGGGAAAACUUCUUUUGAAAAAUGUUGAGCAAUUUCUUUCAAAAAUAUCAAUUGUAACAUCCCGAUUUCUUGAUAUAUAUGAAAAGGCUUAAGAGAAUUAUUUUGGCUAUUUAUGUCACCAAAGUUGAUUUAUCUUUUCCAUUACCCAUUCGUUUAGAACUUCAGGGUUAAGCGUGAUUGGACUAGAGUAUUGAAAGGAUGGAUGAUCUAUUGGAAAGUGAUUCGUGAUACCGUGCGAGUGAGGCCAAAGCACGGAAAUAAGUCGGAUAGUGAUCGCAUGGUGAGUAAACAAGACUUUCGGACUUUGAAUAAAUUAAUGCAUCGCUCGUUAGAUGGAAUGAGACCUACGGGCCGAGAGAACGGGUGUGGGUCGCCUAUUAGCCGUAGAUGGCAUGGACGUUACAAGUAGUAUCAAAUUUGGUUAGCCAUGUCGGUUCUGAUCUGAAAGGCGUCUUGAGACUUGUCGUGGUGCGCAACGGGAGCGCUGCGCUCUGUGAGUGGGGUGAAUUAUAACAUUCCGAUUUCUGGUAUAUGUGGAAAGGCUUAAAAGAAUUGAUUUGGCUACCUAUGUCACCAGUUGACUUACAUUUUCUGUCACACAUCCGUUUAGAAUUCUAGGGUUAAGCGUGUUUGGGAUAGAGUAUUGAAAGUAUGUGUGACAUAUCAAGAAGUGAUUCGCGAUACCGAAGCCAAAGCACGAGGAAAGAUCAGAUGGUGAUUGCAUGAUUAGUAAACAAAACUUCCGGAACUUAGAAAAAUUAACGCACUACUCGUUAGAUGGAAUGAGGCCUACAUGCCGAGAGAGCGGACGUGGGUGACCCAUUAACCGUAGACGGUCGGGGUGGUACAAUCAUUUGUGCCUUCUCGGUUCUCAUUGAAAGAAGCCUGCGUUUCAUUGAUUCCUUGUCAGCUUCUACUGCUUGAAGCCUCAUAUAUAGAGUUUCGUUUUGUCAGGAUCACCAAGAUAUAUUGCCUUCUGAAUUUUCGGCCUCGAGCGUCUGCUCAGUCACUCCACUAUAAGACCAGAGUCAAUCCUGCAUAUAAGACAUUUGCCACUUCCUUAGACCUCGAGGAUUCACAAAAACAUCAGGCCUAUAAGUUCUUUUGAUGCUCCCAAGUGUUGUUAAUGAAUCAAAUCAAGAUUGUUGAAAAUAGAUGGAAGAGUCUAGAGUAACGUGGAAAAUAUGGUGAAUGCAACGAUGUCAACAUCUCAGUUUUGUAUCGUAAUGCAAGCAUGAAAUGACGAUUUGUCACUAUUUGAUAAAACGUGACGUAACUAAAUCGUACCAUACCUAUGUCUAUCUGUAAAGUUAGCGUGACAUGUGCUAACUAGCUAACGUGACACAGUGAAUCUCGAGAUCUUGUAGCAUAUUCUAAUUAAUUAAUAUGUGAUCUAAAAGAUAGUGUACUUUUUUUUUAUUACCAAAAAAAAAAAGAUAGUGUACUUUUGUGAAUACAAGUAUAUUUAUAUGUCUAUUUGAGGAGAGUUGUUGCAGACAUGAUAACUUGAUACGUAACAGUGGACCCCACUGUUCCUCAUUAAUAUUACAUUAAACGACAGAGAUUAGUCAGUAAAAAUAGAAGAUACCUCUUACACGAACAAUUACAUAGGCUUUCACAUGUUUCACAGACAGAUCUAUCUAUCCACGGAUCGCGUGCCUCUCACUCGCCACAUGUAAGGUUACGUUCGACGUGCCACGUCAUAGGAAGGAAUCUUUGGCGCGUUAUAAAAGAAUUGCGGCGGAGGAUUUCGUUACGUCUCCAUUAUUUUUCCAGAGAGAGGAGCGAGCGAAUCUCGGCGCGAUGGCUGCGAACGGUGAUGAUGCAUCUCUCCCUCUAAUAAAACCUCCACCGUUUGCAGCGACGGGAGAUAGAACAUCGGCUAUUCAGACGCUAGGGAACAUUAUCGUCUCCAUCGUCGGUACAGGCGUCCUUGGACUCCCUUACGCGUUCCGCAUCGCAGGAUGGUUUGCUGGAUCACUUGGUGUCAUUAUCGUUGGAUUCGCUACCUAUUACUGCAUGCUCCUUCUCGUUAGUUGCUUUCUUUCCCCUCUCUUUUAAUCUCCUGACUUGAAAAUGAAACUGGAUUUGGUUUCUGGGCAUUCGGAUACCUAUUCGGAUCAGUUUCCUAGAUUUUAUUCGGGUUUUAUAUAUGUUGGUUAAUAAUAUUUUGAAUUCAGGUAGAUUUUAUACCGAAUUCAAUUUGGAUUUGAUUAAUAAUACUUCAAUCUUGAAGGUUUUUCAAUAACAUAUCAAAACAAAAAAUGAAAUUGAGUAUUUGUGUUAUUUGUUUAGGUUUUGAAUAUUUAUUUAGGAUAUUAAUUCAGAUAUUCAAAUUAUUUUUUUCUGGAUAUUUGUUCGAGUUCAGAUAGAUUGGAUUUGGAUAGAUCCAGAUACAGAUCCAGGUUUUUCGGUUUAGAUUCGGUUUGGAGCUUAGUUGUAAAUGUCCAUGCCUAGUCUCUAUGGUACUAGCAAUUAUCUAACAAUUCGGAGAAGAUUUGACUUCUAUGUGCAAUUGUCAAAGUGUUCGUUAAUCUCUAGGAAUCUCAAUGUUUAUACACUCCGAAUUGUUUUUGAUAUUUUUUUUUUUGCAGAUUCAAUGCAGAGACAAGCUAGAAUCAGAAGAAGGACAAGAAGAAUCCAAAACGUACGGUGACUUAGGAUUCAAAUGCAUGGGAACAAAAGGUCGUUACCUAACCGAGUUCCUCAUAUUCACCGCUCAGUGCGGUGGAUCAGUAGCCUAUCUGGUCUUCAUAGGCCGGAACAUGUCUUCCAUCUUCACAUCAUACGGUUUAAGCAUGGUCUCAUUCAUCUUGAUCCUAGUUCCAAUCGAAGUCGCGUUGUCAUGGAUCACUUCUCUAUCGGCUCUCUCGCCUUUCAGCAUUUUUGCCGAUAUAUGCAACAUCAUAGCCAUGUGUUUCGUCGUGAAAGAAAACGUGGAGAUGGUGAUCGAAGGAGACUUCUCGUUUGGUGAUAGAACGGCUGUUUCGUCUACCAUUGGAGGUUUGCCGUUUGCUGGAGGUGUUGCUGUGUUUUGUUUCGAGGGGUUUGCGAUGACGUUGGCUCUUGAGAAUUCUAUGAAGGAUAGAGAGGCUUUCCCUAAGUUGUUGGCUAAAGUGCUUGCUGGGAUUACGUUUGUUUAUGUGUUGUUUGGGUUCUGUGGUUAUAUGGCUUAUGGAGAUGAAACAAAGGAUAUUAUAACGCUUAACCUCCCAAAGAAUUGGUCUGCCAUUGCCGUGCAGGUAAUAAACUUAUAAACUUAUUUCAUCCAAAAAAAAAAAAUUUAUUUCAUCCAGAGCCGGUACUGAAAUUUUGAGACGAUUUAGUAAAACCUUUUAAUAAACAUUUUUGUAAAAAUUUAAAAGUCUAUAUGUAUAUUAACUCUUAAAAUUUUAAAGGUCUAAAAUUAAUGUUUUAUUUAGCUAUGCCCAUGGACAGGUCUGAUUUUAUAAUUAUGAUUUUGGAUUCAUAUGCAUAACACUCUCUUUUAAUGUUGGUGUUUCUUUUUUUUUUCUCUUGUAUACUUUGGUUUGAACAGAUUGGUUUAUGUGUGGGAUUGACGUUUACGUUCCCGAUCAUGGUACAUCCGCUUAACGAGAUCAUAGAGCAGAAGCUGAAAAGGGUAGAUUGGCUUCAAAAACAUAAUCAUAACUACAGCAACGAGACAAGUUCGGUUUCUAAAUAUGUGAUCUUCACCACGAGGACGCUUUUGGUGGUAGGACUGGCUGCAAUAGCGUCAUUAGUCCCGGGGUUUGGUACAUUUGCAUCUCUGGUUGGAAGUACUCUGUGUGCACUCAUAUCAUUCGUGUUGCCGGCUUCUUAUCACCUCACGCUGCUCGGUCCAUCGCUAAGUCUAUGGAGCAAAUCUGUUGAUGUGUUCAUCGUGAUUUGUGGGCUGCUCUUUGCUGUUUAUGGAACAUACAACACAAUCGUUGGAGUGUAACAAGGGAGUCUGAGUAAAACAAACACGGCAACAGAAAGUUGGUCAGAGGCUCAGACCAUGAACCAUGUAUAGCAGUUUUACAUGAAUUUGAUAUCGGAAGAUAGUGGGUUGGGAAUAUCCAAAUUGUUGUAUGAUAAUGACAGCUUUUAAAUCUUUCGCAAAGGCAUGUUUGGUUCUGUUUUAUUGUGGAAAAGAUGUUAAAAGGUAGUAUGAAAAAUCUAAAAAGAAACACAAAAAGUGGAAAAAGAUAACGCGCCAGGUAGGGGUCGAACCUACAGCCUUCUGCUUAGGAAACAGACGCUCUAUCCACUGAGCUACAGGCGCAACUGAUUAUACAGUGACUAGAAGUUUAUUAUUUUAUCUCGACUUCCCCUUUAAUCUUCCACCUUGUUCACUUGCGUUUAUGGUUUUCUGUGUUUCUCCUCACCGCACUUAAUACUAACCUUCGCGUCUUAAACGAACGAAACACUUUCAACACUAGAACUUUAUAUGGCAUGUGCAUGAUUCUAGGUACCACCGUACUAUUUAGUGUAUACAGAAAGAUGAUAUAAAAACAUGAUUCUAAUACGAGCUUUUAAUUGUUGUGUUUACUCUUCCUCAAAAAGGUCUGGAACGUAUUAGAAUCCCGUAUUUAAUAAAGAGGCACAAGAGGAAGUAAUAACAGCAAAAAUCAACAUGAAAAUCAUACAGAAUAAAAUAUUUUGAAUCAUAGAAAAAGCUGUUCCUGAAAAUACAGAUCCUAUUUUGAGAACAAAAAAAAGCCAACGCCCUCCCAAAUCAAAGAAAGGGGCUUCUUCUGUCAUAAAAAUGAGAAUGUUUGCAGAGAAGAACGAGGGUCGGUAAAAAAAAGUCUCAGACAAUAGCAUAUUAACACCAAAAAGAGUAGUAGUGUUUGGAAGCCAAAAUAGACCACAGUUACUACUGUCAGGGCCUAAAUAAAACCAUUCUCCUGGCAGAUAUGUUUCAUUUGUGGUUAUCAUGAAAAACUAAAUUGAGUCUACAUCCUAAAAUCCUCACACCAAAACCACCCUUUAAAAUAUUCCUCCAUGGAUGGCCACCACGUCUCCUCUCUUGCUCCUCUCCUAAUUGUAUAUUUUCACCGGCUUCUCAUAUGCGUGCCGGUUCUACAACAAGAGCGUUCAAACAUAUUAUUAGCAGAGUUUAUAGAAUGAGAAAGUGCUUAGAGAGAGAUAUAGACAGAGAUAGCUUCUUACCUGAUAAGCCCUUUUAGGAGCGUUAUCAACGUGCUCCAACCCAAGAUACUGCUCCCACGCACCAUAUACAUCCUUUCUCUGUUUUCCAAACCAUUUCAGUUUUCGAAAAAAAAAGAGGGUUAAAUCUCGGAUUUUUUUUCUUUUGAGAGAUUUAAAGGAUAAGAAGUCGCUUCUUUACCUGAUGAAAGCGAUUGUAAACAACAUCUGUGUCCUGCAAGUAGUCCGGACGUCCCGUUGAAACAGAAGCAAACUUCCACUGGAUUACAUCAGAGAGAAAAAACGUUAAUAACAACAACCUUAUGAAGUUUCCAGUAGCUAUUAUCAAAUCAGACAAAGACGUGCAUACCUUGGCAAAGUCCUCAUCAGGUACAUGAAGUUUCUUUUGGAUACGGAUCUUGAUUUCUUCUAAAGUUUCACCUUCGUGGAUCACCAAAACGAAGGGGUCCCCGAAAUUAUGAACUUGCUGCAAAAGAAACAAUGGUCAAAAAAAGUUAAUGGACACCUCAAGUAACUUUUUUUUAUAAGAAACUUAAGCUUCUUAGGGGCUACCACCUGAUUUGGUCCAGACUCUUUAGUAAAAUGGUACACAUGGAUUAACCGAGCAUUGGGACCAAUAUUCUUCUCUUCCUCAGGUAUCUGAGAUUUCACAAGAUAGGAAAAGAAGAAAGUUAGCAUCUUUGAAAUCAUUAACCAGCGUUCAGAACUGCAACUAUCUUAUUUAGUAUAUAGCUCAAACACAACUACUCCUCUCAAGCAUUCAAUUAGCCUACACAACUAGGUACAAUGGGGUGUGCGCUCCUCUAAAGCAAACCAUGUGAUCUACAUCUCUGGAAACGCUCAAACUACAUCGCCAACAGCAAUGAAAUGGCCUCCUUCAAUUUACAAAUAUACUUCAACCAUAGCAAGAUCACAUCAUUGUAAUUUUGUCAAAUCUGACCUUAUAGAAAGAAUAUAGGCAAAACGUUUAUAGAAACAAGAAUCAACAUCGACAUAGAAACAAGGGGGAUAAAUAAAUAAAAAACAAAAAGCCACAAGGAAAAUACAUCGGGACAAUGACAGAACUAGAGACAAAGAAGGCGAGGCCUGGUAAUUUACCUCAUCUGCUAGUAAAGUCCAGUAACUGUCAUUGAUAUUCUCAAUUCUUUCGGUAGAUACAAAGAUCUGCAAACGUACCCAAGCAGAUUGGAUCAAAAUUUGGUACAGUCUACAAGCCAUCAUAUUAAAAUGGUAAAAAAGAUAAUAGCAAUGUCAAAGACAAGAAUUAAGCUUGUUACCUUGUAGAUUUUGUGGGAAAACACCUCAAGCAACCUCAAUUCUGCAUCUUGAUGUGAAAGCUUCACCUGAAGCACAAGUACAUAUUUUAUUUAAACCCAAAAAACAUUAACCGUCAGGAAGAGAAAAAGACUUUAAUGUGGCUGCUACGUAGAUAUGCAUGCAGCAUUAUAACAACAAGAUUGCAAGUAGAUAGAACCUUUUCUCAAAAAAAAAAAAGUAGAUAGAACCACCUUUGUUUUAAGCUCGUUAAUAACAUCUCCCACAGUACUCUGCUUAGGCAGUCUGAUAGUGUGAAUUAUCACCUGCAAAAUUUAACAGCUAUAAGGCUUGAAAGAUAAUUACAAGAAUUGAAGAUAGCUAAGUUGCACAAAUCUAAGUUCAACACGUACUUCGUCCUUUGAAGCAUGAUGAAAAGCUACAUUUAGAAUCUUAAGACCUUGCAAUUCUGGUAGAGGAAUGUCCAAAACUUCGUAAUACAAAAUGUCAGACGUCUGAAAAAACGGAAAGCAACUUAUAUAAGCAAAUCUGCAUUGGCAUAGAAAUUAAAAUAUAUAACCUUCACUCAAACCUACGUCAAUCACCUGAUUAUAGUGAGCUAACAUGUCUGAUAGAUGGUCAACUCCACGGUAUUUAAUAGGCUGAGGCUUGGGUUGCUGGGAGUAGCAAUUGUGAGGAGUAAGCCUAAUUUUCGAUGAAUCAUCAAGGCCAAUCUUCUCAGCCAAUCUAUCCACAACAUCGUCAUAUGAGUGCAACUUUGACCUGAAAGUAGAAGCAUUAUGAAUUCCAAAACUAGAUACAGGAUUUAAUGUUGUCCGUAGAGGUACUUACAACUCCAUAGUAAACUCAUCAUCGUUUGGUUUUUCCAGAGUACGAAAACGCACCACCUGCGCGGAUUAACAAACCACAUUAAGACAUGGAUGAUCAACACCUUAGACAGGGUAAUACUUGAAAGUUGAAAUUUUUCAACUGUUCACCAGAAAUAAUAGUACUUUGUAUGAUACUUUUCACUUUAACUUGCCAUGAUAAAUUAAUAAAUGCUUAUUCCGCAACUUGAUUAUACCUCUCGAUUCUGUACAUACUCCAAAAACGAUGGCACAUCCGGGUAUGGACAUUCAUUCUCCUGGAUAGAAAUAGCUUUCUGAUAGCAAAUGAUAUCACCAUCUUCAAUCUGAACGCAAGAAGCCCAUUUCAGAAGAAGAGACACCCAAACCAUGAAUAAUUGCAGUUAAUACAAUGAGAGAAACAUUACUUGAGAUAGUUUAAAAGACAUAUUCUUAUCCAGAUGUUCGCACAUUACACAAGGUUGAAACUUUAUUUCCUGAAAUGGGCACGAAAAGUAAUUCAAUGGAACGUUUAAUGCCAUAACUAUGUGAAAAGGUAGAGUUAAAAGGCACCAGCCCUCACCUCAAAAAGUUCUAUUUCCUCAUCAGGAGCAAAGCCGGCCAUUUGAAUCAGUUCCCCUAUUAUAUCCAUGGGCUUACUGGAGUUUUUCACCAUGAGCCUACCAACAUAUCUGCACCAUAUCGACAAAUUUUGUAACAAUAAUGAAAGAUACAAAUUCCAGUGAAUAUAAAACAUUUAAAAGAAGAAAGGAGUAAGGGUGACCGAUUUUUCAUUCAAGAGGAAAAUGAAAGAUAGAGACAGUACUUUAAGAGUAAAGAUUUUAGCAGCAGUAUACCACCUUUAUUUGAACAGAUGUCAAAGUAGAAAUGGGUGGAUGCUAGAAUUACCUUAGUAUUCCAUUCUCAGGGUCAUAGAGCUUAAAGAAAAGAAGAAUAUCUUCAAAUGACUUGGCUGGGAGAGGAAUAGGACGCUCAUCCUAUAUAUUUCAAUAAUUAGCAAAAUUAUUUGCUUAUUUCGUUGACAAAUUGGUUUCAGAAUUUCAUUCAAGAAAUUGGACUCAACAAUUAAACAAGGCAACAAGGAAGUAUUACCGGUCCACGCACAAUUUCCAGAAACAGCUUUAGCUCAGCAUUGUUUGCCUUGUUUGAUGCCUCUCUUAUAUGUCCAACCUACAAUAAGAUAUUCAGAAUUAUAUAUUUUAAAACAAAGACACUAUUAUAAAGUAACAAACUGGCUUAAACAGAUAUACAGUUAGUGGGAAGGGGUUUAUGAUGAGACCCAAAAAUGCCCCACACCUAGUACAAGUAUAAUCCCAACUAGAAAUAUGUCUUAACGCAGAUAAUUAUACAGAGAUAAAUCUGUGAUGGUUUUAAGGUGGUGUAUAUCAAAAAUGUCUAGUAGAUAAAUAAUCACAAAUGAAAGAGACAACCUAUAUGCAUGAAAAGGAUUAUUUAUAUAAAGAUGGAUAACUACCAUCUGUAAUUCUUCAUGGGAUAACAAGGGGCGGUUGGGACGAUAAGUAUGGUUUUGCCGCUUUGCCCAAAUCCAGAACCGCUGCAGCUCAACAGGGACACCAAAUUCUUUGGCCACCUCUUCCUACAUGAGGAUAAAUUUUACAGAUUGUUAUAGCUAGAAGUAUACAAGAACCUAGAUAACUAGCAACUAGAAGUAUACAAGAACCAAGAUAACUAGCAACAACUGGAAAGUUCCAGUUAAAGACAGUAUCUUAUAAGAAAACUUAUACAAACCAGACUCCGAAGAGCAUAAUUUUUCUCAUCAAAUCAUGAAAUCUAUACAAGAACUAGAUGAGAUAAGAACAAAUUUUGAGACCCAGUUUAAGAAAAGCAGAAAACCUUGACUGUCGUGAAAAGGUGAGCUUCAGCCUUGUAUUUUCUUUUAUCUUCUUUCUCUUCUUGUUCUUUUUUCAGCCUCACCUGUCAGAACAUGUUAAACUCAAUUCAUUUAGGCAAAACAAGACAGAUAAACACAGGAAAAAGCGUGUAACUGAAUUUCUUACCCGUAAAUGUUCUGCAACGUCUUUUUCAUCAACGUUGCAUAUUAUUUUAUCCUUGUCGCUUUCCCGGAUAUAAACAAGCAUGUAUGCGUUCGAGUACUUUGUGAAUUUAAAAGGUGGAUUGUUGAAACCAGGAUUAUUCUGUGGUAACUGCAGAGACGCCAAAUUUGAGAGUGCAUGAAGUGAGAAAAAUAUGACUUGUAAGGCAAACAUAUAAAACCUAGAACGACAACUCUACCUCUUCUUCGCCACCAUAUUGCUCUUCCAGUACCCUAUUCACAUCUUCCUUUGUCACCCGUUCAUCAUCAAAUUUAUACCUGAAAGAAAUAGAAGUUUAGGACGGAUAAAAUAUGUUAAAUAGUGCCAUCUCAACACAUACCAGAAACCGCAAAAAAAAAAGAACACCAAUUAUUUAUUUCAAUAAUAUAGUGAAUCUCAAGUAUGAAACCAAUAUCACACUACAUACCAGUUUAGUGAUGAGGGUAAAAGAUUCAAAAGAAAUCCAAUAAAAUAUCAAGUAUCACACGAUACGUAACUUCAACCAUGCUAGCCUAGAUGAACAAACUAGUUUUCAAUAGAACUACUUCAAGGGGUACAAUAUACAAAACUUAAUAUAUCAUAAAAGGAGUAAGAGACGGGGAGGUGGAGAAUAUAGAAGGAUACAUACCACUGGUCUGAGAGUUUUGGUCUGAUAUAAGCAUAAUAGUGCCCUCCAUUAACUCCACCACUAUGAACUAAGACACUGCAUAGAAAUCAGCAAACAGUUUAAGCAAGCACAUCAGGCAACACAAAAAAAAUUACUAAAACAUAAUUCAUGAUGUCUUUCACUUUCAUUAAGGAAAAUUAACUGUCCAUAUACUAAGGGAAUCUACGCUACAGUAACCCGAUUCCCUGAGGAGGUACCCAGCAGAGAAUCAAAAGAACUUGAUACUUGAAGAGAACAUCCUACUACAAUUAUGAAUAGUCCUGCUUGAAUCUACUGUAACAAUUUACAAAAGGAAAGAUACAACGGAAAUAUAUACCUGUGGAGUGUAUAGAGGUUACGGACACUCUUGUCAGCAUCAGGGGAUAAAUAUUUUCCAUUCUCUCUGUCGAGAUCCAGUUGAAGAGGAAACUCAUAUCGAUCAUUUAUCUAUAAAAUAAUGGUACGUCAGACUCAGACAGAUAUUAGUGCAAACCUAAAAUUAAGUCAGCGCAGUCAGCACGUAGUGCUGACUUUGUUGGCUAAGAGGAACUUCAAAUACUAACCUUCACCAUUAUGUCUCGCAUAAAAUCAUAUUCAAACCUCUUGAGCUGAAGUUGAAGUACGGGUGGAAAGUCCAUAAACAGCACACCUUUUUUUGCAUCCUGAAAACAUAAAAUUAUUCAAAUAAAACAUUAUAGCUUUUCAGCUAGAAAGAAAAGAAGGGUACCCAAAUAAUGAAUUUGACAAUUCCCAAAUAAUGAAUUUGACAAUUCCUAAACAUUUUUCAGUACCAAAUUAUGAAAAGGAACGAAAGAACACAGCUUGACAACAUAAACAUGAAAAGAAACAAGACAGCCGACCUGCAAAUCAUAUCCUUCUGCAUGGUAUUUGUUGUCUCCUUCAAGGCGUUCAACUUCAACAUACUUGUCAAAAGAAGCAUAUACAUCUUUGCAGCCUUUAACGUCAAGCUGGAGGUCUGCCAACAUACAAUUACAAGGAUGUAAAGUUAUCUCGAUAAAGCAUAUUAGCUUCUGAUAAAAUAAAAAGCCAGACGCCAUGACAUAGGUUGAUGUUCAAAACAACAUACCAUAGAAUGAUUCUUUCCGAGUGGAUUUGUAAUCUACAUUAAUGCAUUCAAUGUAAUUCAUUUGGUGACCCUCAAAUAACUUCUGUAUUGUUCCCUCCACAACAGUUCCCUUAAAAGAGCAAAAAAAAAAUUGAACACAGAUCAAUAAGUGAGAAUGGAAAAAAAGCCACGCAUAAAAGGGCAUACCUUCAUUUUGUCCUCGAGCUUUUCACAGAGAACUCGGUUGAGUUCUUGAACAUCAUGUUGCAUGAACGAAUCAUAUGUAUCCCAGCCAAACGACUUUGUCAGCUCCUUUGUCGCUACACUGGUGUCAUUAUACUGAAGUUUGUAAAACAAACUCUGAAGCGCCAAUGGGAUGCUCGCUGUAGGUGCAUCAUUCUCAGUUGUUGGCAUGUGGUAAACAGCCUACAGGAACAGAGCAGUAUUGAGAUGUAUUAUCUCGUAUUUGGUGAAAUCCUGAUUUAGCAAAUUGAAAAGAACAAAACAAGACAUGUGUCCCACCUUUCUGAAGUAAGGUAUGUGGUACAAGGUCUCCAGGAGAGAAUUCAUGUAACAGGUAGCACCUUGGUUCUUAAGUCCAACAAAACCCGUCUCUUUUUUUGAGUCAUAUGCCCAGUAAUCAAGAACCUUCCGCACAGAAACUUCAGCUUCAAUCAGAACAGUAUCAUUAACCAAAUAUCCACGAGUGGGAUCGUAGAGCUCGCCGAGAGGCAUGAAUGAUGUAAACCCCCAAUCGCUUUCUCUUGAAUUGAAUUGAUGUUGGGUCUCUGCAGCCAUACAAAAAGAAGAAUUACCAUGAAGACUGCAUCUACUUAUUAAAACAGCAGGCCAACCCGGGGAAAAAAAUAGCAGCGUCACUGGCUGUUGAUAAAGUUCAAAAAGUACACGAUCCACAUUAAUCAUGCUCACUUCAGUUAACAAGUAAAGCAUGGUCAAUGCUUAAGAAAGCAGUCGCUCGACUCAGUCACAAGGUUCAUAAACUCUUUUACAAACCCAAACUUCGAGAAAUAAAAAUAUUGCCACUACUUAUAGGCAUGCAUUCAGAGUGUGUACAGGAAUAAGAUACCUUUUCUCACGGAAUAUCUGUUGUUGAUUUGAUUCACUACAGUCAGGCCGAAAUGUGAAAACCUACACCACCCGUAUGGCAAACUCGCAGCGUCAGCGACAUCCAAGUACAUGGCCAAAUGGUCCACAUUGUUUCCUUUCGGAAAAAUCAAUACUCUCCUGCACGAUUUAAAAAAAAAAAAAAAUCAUCUCACUCGAUGUCAACAAAAUAAUAUAUACACACCAGGAAAAAGGUGUAUAUGCCACUACCAUUUAUAACCUCCAGCAACAAAAACUUCAGAGUAAUGCUUCCUAGUGUUCAGCCUAGUGAAACCAGGGAUAAGCCAGGUGAACUUCACAGAGGGAGGUUCCUCCACUGGCGGAUUCUCCACAGCAGCAGCAGCCUCAGGUUGAGCAACUACAAAUACAUCAACAAACCAUAAUUUGAAAAAAAAAAAACUAGCAAACAGUGACACAAUCCAAAAGUGCUAUAGCAUCUCCACCAUUCAAUCAUAGCGACAACAAAAACAAGACGAGAAUACAAUAAGCGAAUCGAACCUUCCAUGGGCUGAGGUCCCUCGACUACAUCAGAAUGCGGAACCAGCAUCUCCACGUCCUCUUGCUGCUGUAAACAAGGAAAAACAAAAAAAAAAUCAGAGUUCUGACUAAUAGAAACCCUAAUUUCACAGCUCCGUGAUCGGAACGUCGAAACAGAAACCGCAAUCACUCAAUACACGAAAUCAACAGUAUCUACUCGACAUUCUACACUUAACAAAGCAAAACAAAACCCCCUAACGGAUCAGCGAAAUACAAGCAGGCUCAGGUGAAAUCAACGAAGAAACCGACGAUUAAAAAUUGAUACAAACGAAGUAUAAGGUUAAUCGGAGAUUACAUCGAGCGGCGGCGGGGUUAUCAUAGUCAUGUCGAAGAGCGAAAAGAGAGAGCGGCAAACAGAGGAGGAGGAGAAGGAAGUGAGGGAAGAAAAUUAGAAAACUUGCAGAGUAGAUCAAUCGAUCCUUUCUCGCUUUAUGAAGGGAUGAUUACGAUAUUUUCGCGAAGUUGAGGGUUUGUAUGGUAAAAUCCUCGUCGGUUUCGGAUUUUAUAGGUUCUCCUGAGGGGUUCUUCAGUGAAAAACUGAAACGUGACAGGCUAAUGAGAACGCGACAGGUGUUUAAUAUGCUGAGACCCAAUUGGAAGUCUCCACGUGGCUUGACUGUCACUAUGACCGUGACGGUGUGGGAGAUCUUUGUAUUGAUUAUCAUUAUGGGGGAGAAUAAGGUGAAUAGAAAUAAAUCUUUCACAUAUAUCAGGAAACACGCAUAAAAUUUAAUAUUUAAGAUUUUCUAUAGAUUUUUGUCAUCUAAAUCAUGAAUAAUCUACUAAAAAUAAUCAGUAAUGUAAAACAGCAUCCACCUUCAUUUAUAAGUUUUGUACUUGUUUACAAAAAAUCUCCGAUAUAUUAAUUUUGAAGUAUUGAUUAAAUGACAAUUUUUACGUGUUAAGCUAAGAGAGCUCAUCAGCCUCUUUUUAAUUUGACUAAUUUUAUUAUGUUUAUUAAAAGAAUAACAUUAAAUGGACCACUUAAUACAUAAUUAUAUCAUGAAACUCCAAUAUAAAAAACAAUUAUUAUUUUUUUCUCUUUCUAUGUUUAGUCAUUUAAUAUAUUAUAAAAGGAAAAAAACAUGAUUAUUUUUAUAGAAAAGAAGAUUGAAAAAAAAAAGAUAAGUCCUAGGGAUUCCAUCAAACUGCAUACAUACUUGUAUAUAUAUAAUGUUUUCAUAAUAAUUUGAUCAAAAUUUGGUUGCAUAAUCCUAUUUUCUUUUUUUCUUCGUUUUUGCCGAUAGAAUGCUUUCGAUUUCCUCUAUUGAAAAUCUGAAAGAAAUGUUUUUAACUCAGUCUAUUUGAAUUUUUUGGCUUAACAUAAGUUUAAGAAUCUAUAAAAUAUGCUGAAUAAAAUGAAAUGAAAAAUUGUAUUACAUUUUAUAUACGUAAAAUCAAUUAUGAUGAGGUAAACAAAAAAAGCAAACUCAAUUUUAAAACAAAUACCACAUCAAACUACUAAAAUAAAAACAAUAUAACAUUAUUUAAUAUUUAUUAUCAUGUCUAUGUUUUAUUAAAUUUGAAAUAUGUUUUUGUACACAGAGAAAAAAAUUUGCAAAUAGUAAUUGAUUCUAAUUGCAAACAUAUCAUUAUUUUAGGUAUUUCAUUCCGCGUAGGAUGCAGAUUAUCAUGUAGUAUGAAUUUUACUUGUCCAAAUAAUAUUUAUCAGACCCAUAAAAUAGUCCCCCUUGUUUGAAAUUAUUAUAUUUACAUAUAUUUUGCUAGAUUGUUUUAUUUUUGAUUAAUCAUCUUUAGUUUGUAUGAAAGAAUGAUUUAAUAACCGACUGUCGAGUGUUAUAUAUCUAAUUCAAAAUAAACUAUUGACUUCAUUCACAGUUACAUCUAAUUCUAAAUAAACUAUUGACUCAUUUGGUCAAAGAAAAUAAUGGUGUUUAUAGGACAAAGAGAGUUUUAUUGCAACAAAAUAUUAUUUACCAAAAAUAUGAUUGGUGCCAUAAAUAUUCCAGAAGUCUAUUAUUUAGAAUAUAAAAUGAUUUGGACAAUUUAUUAUAUGAAAAUUUUGCAUAUUAUAAAAUGGAUUUUGCAACAAAUUGAUAGUAACUGAUAAAAAAGUGUGUAUACCAAUAAAUAGGCUGGUCUUCAUAUAUAGAAAAAUUUAUAUGUUGUAAAGGUUUUUCAUUUGAUAUCCAACAUAUUCUAAACAAAAAAUAUAACAACCUACGAAUUUGUAUACUAUUUGAAGUUUUGUUGUGAAGAAAUGCGAAUAAAACUUAAAAAAACAAAACAUAUUGAGGUAAAUAUCUAUUUAUAAAGUUUAUAUAUUAUUAUGCGAAAGAAUAUUUUAUAAUUUAUAUUUAUAACAGCUUUAAAAUUUAUAUUUUUCUUUUGAAAUAUACAUAUAUUUAUAAAAGUGCUGUACCAUGGAGUCCGAUUUUCGACACAUAGAUUUAAGACAUUUUCAGGUGCAAUUGUCUGUAUUUUACUAUUGUCUAUUUUGAUUCAGUUCAGUCAGUUCUCGAAUUUAGUAUCGUUCUUAGGUUAUAAUUGUUUCUUUUUGGAAAAAAAGAAAAACAAACAAUAAAGUGGAGGCAUGUCUGUCUUAUUCCACGUUACAAUCUGAACCAUGCAUGCCACGCGUCCGUUAAGUUUCGUGACUUAUCAUCAUUUGCAUGUAAUAUAUAAAGCAUUACAAAGGAAAAACAAAGUUUGUCACAUGGUCAUUUAAUUGAAAUUAUAAAUAAAAAAGGAGAUCAAUGGCGGAGGAUCAAGCAACGGCGACGUUGAAAACAUCGACGGUGGAGAAGCAGCCGGAGACUGAGCCACCAAGAGUCAUGACAACAACAAAAAGGAUGAUGGUUGCGAUCGACGAGAGCGAUUCGAGCUUCUAUGCUCUUCAAUGGGUCAUUGACCAUUUCUCUAGCCUCUUAAUGACCACCGAGGCAGCUGGAGCGGAAGGUGACUUGCUCACGGUGGUUCACGUACAGUCUCCGUUUUAUCACUUUGCUGCUUUCCCGGCUGGACCCGGAGGCGCAACAGGUCCGUCAAUUGGUCUCGCUUACUUCCUUUUUUCAGUUUUGUUCCUUUGAUUAACUCUCGUUAAAAAUCAAUAUAUAGUUUUGAGUUUGCUUCUAUACUAUAGGUGAGCUGAAAACAUAUCCACUACAGUAUAACAAGAUUAUUUAUCUGUUACGAUAUAAAUAUAACCUGGUUCUAUGAACCGAUGUACAUAUAGCAGCAGUCUACGCAUCGACCGCGAUGAUAGAAUCAGUGAAAAAAGCACAACAGGAGACCUCUGCAGCUCUUCUCUCGAGUGUACUCCAAAUGUGUCGAGCCAAACAGGUUACGUAUCAAUUUUGAUUUUACACAUAAACUCUAUUAAUUACUUGGAACUUAUAAGCCUGGUGUCCGUAUCUAUAAGCUAUAACUAUUUGGAAUAACGUAGGCUACGUAGCUAGUGACUCAAAACAGGUUUCCAUUACAUUUUCUUGCAAGUCGGAUCCGGUUAAGCAGUACAGGAAGAACAAACAAACCUAUAUAUGUGUGUUUACUAUCAUAUUAUAGUUUUAUUUGAAUCCUUUAUAUAAAUGCAAGGAUGAUUAUUCACUACUAUCUAACACGUUUUUGAUGCAUCAUCCGGGUUAUCUUUGGAUAUAUAUAUUCUAGUGUAUUAAUGCUGAAUUACAUCUUGAUGAUGAGUAUUAUUUCAUUAACUAACUAGAUUUCACUAUUUCGCAUCAUACAAAUAUAUACAGAUCUUGUAUGAUACUUUUUUUUGUAAAAUGUUAAAUCUUAUACAAAUUGUGACAAAAAUACAUAGACAAUACUAAGAAAGCAGAAAAUCGUGUGUGAUACAUGCAGAUACGUGCUGAAACUCUGGUGCUUGAAGGCGAUGCAAAGGACAUGAUUUGCCAGGCGGUGGAGCAAAUGCACGUUGAUCUUCUUGUUGUCGGUAGUCGUGGCCUUGGCAAGAUCAAAAGGUGUAUUACAAUACUUUUUCACAUUAUUUACCCUUCCUAAUCUAAAAUUUACGACUUAUGUUUCAAUUUGUUUGCCUUUUGUGCGUAAAUAUUACAUAUGUCAAGUGAUUCACGUUUUCGUAAGAAUAAAAUUCAAGUUCAUUAUUGGAUCAUACUCGUCCGUAAUAAGCUACGUUAAAUAUGAUGCAUUUUUAGGUUAAUUUAAUCACAUUAAGUUUACAUUUGAUUAAGAAAAACUCAUUAAUAUAACUGAAAAAGACAAGAAUUAAAAUAUUUAGGUUCAUUUAAUGACAUUAAGUUUAAAUUUGAUUAUGGAAAACUCAUUAAUUUAACUAGAAAAGACAAACAUUAAAAUAGGUAAUUCUGUUUAAUUCUCAGUGGCAUGGAAGUAUAAAUAAGUUAGAAAACUUAGGGAUAUUUUUUAAUGGGUACUUCUCUUUUAAUAAUAUAAUGGAAAAAGACAAAUUUUAAAUUUAUUGUUUCCUCUUCUGCAAGCAGAUCAAUUACCGAAGUAAUAUAUCAAUUGGUUGUAAUCAAAUCUAUUCUUAUAAUUAGUGUAAUUAUGGUUACAGUUUCUAUAUUUAAUAAGUACAUUAAAGAUACGACAUUGAAAAUAUUAUGUUUUGAUUAAUAGAAUAUAUUGGAUUUUGAGUUUGUAUUUAUUGAUUUGUUUUUAUUAUAAAGCUUAGAAAAUCAAUAUGAUGAUUGGUUGGUUAUAAGGUCUACUACUGUAUGGGCAAAAGUGUGUCGUAUGUACGUGUGGUUGAAGACUAAUGUCAGUGACAUGAAUCGAGUCAAAUAAAUGCAGUAUGUAACCUAUAGUUUGUGCGGUGACUUAAGUUUAUCACUUGUGUGCACCAAAACUGAAUAAACUGAUGCUUAUCUAUUAAAAGUAACUAGACUCUCAUCCACGCGGGUAUGAAUUUUCGGUUUUUGAUUAUUUAUUUAAUUAAAUAAUGUAUUUGUAAUAUUUGAUGUAUUAUAUUCAUCAAAUAAAUACUUUUUGACAUCU